rnacentral:lncRNA from 1 species
AGAGUACAUGGCUGCUUACAACGCACAGGCGCAACAAGCAAUGAACGUGAGUGUCUUAUUUAUUCUCAACACGCUCGAUAUUGGUUCUAUAACUAAUAUAUUAUAUUUGCAACAGUCUUGGUUUCCACAGCAGGCACAGCAGCAACCAUUUGUUUUCCCUCAAUUUCAGCCGCCGAUGCCUCAGUGGGGAUUACAUGCUCCGCCACCUCCACCUCCACCUCAGGUUAUUCAAUUUAGUUAAGACUUGUCGUUUGUAUCAACCUAAUUGUCAAAUCUUUACUAAACUUGAUUUUGUAGGGAUCCGGGGUCAUGGGCCACAACACGCCACCACCGGUCAUACCAGCACCAGGAGGAGCUUAUGCAGGGGAGGGAGCUUAUGCAGGAGAGGUUAGUUUGAGAAACAAUUUGUUUGAAUAGUCGUUAUACAUGUAACCAAUGCCGUUAUUAAUGUCAUCUUUUUUUUAGGAUCCAAACCCGUUACACGACUUCGUCGACCAGUUAUUGGCUUCUGGAGGUAGUGGACACAACUCCAACGACCCCAAUGUGUGAUUAAGUUAGCUUUGUGCCGCACUGUGUUGUAAUGAACUAUUUGUGGACUUUAUGUUUGUAUGGACUAUUUGUGGACUUUAUAUUUGUAUGGACUCAAGUUUUAUGUUGUGAACUCAAGUAUGAAUUUUCUGUUAUUGUAUGGAAUUUCUGUUAUUGUAUGAAUUUUGUAUGAAAUUCUGUUAUUUUUCGCAUUUUUUUCAAUUUUUUUUGCUCUGAAAUUAGUAAUUUUCGGCGGCCCCUCUGGCCGCCGAAAAUAGGUAUUUUAUUUUCGGCACUGUUUAUUUCUGGCGGCUGACUGUCUGGCCGCCGAAAAUAAUAUGUUAUUUUCGGCGGCCAGGGAGCCAGCCGCCGAAAAUAAUCUAUUUUCGGCGGCCAGGCCCUGGCCGCCGAAAAUAAAGCCUUAUUUUCGGCCAGUUUUUUUUGGCGGCCAGAAGCCGCCGAAAAUAAGCCAGUUGCCGCCAAAAAUAGCUUAUUUUCGGCGGCAACUGGCUUAUUUUCGGCGGCUCCUGGCCGCCGAAAAUGACUGUAGGUGUUGUAGUGUACAUGCUAAGAUAGAAGAAUUAAAUAUUUGCAAACCUUCUACAUCUACUGUUGAUCAUGUUUCUAUUUGCACUAGAUGUAGAGAUAUUAAUGUAGAUGCUAUAAAUGAUCACCUUGCUUUAAUUAAACAACAAAAUGAUCAUAUAGCUCAAUUAACUGCUAAAAUUAAUGAGCAUGAAAUUGAAAAUGAAAAGUUUAAAUUUGCUAGAAGCAUGCUCUAUAAUGGGAGACGCCCUGGUAUUAAGGAUGGUAUUGGUUUCCAACAGGGAAGCAAUGUCAAGUUUAAUGCCCCUAAAAACUGUCUAAUUUUGUUAAGGGCAAGGCUCCCAUGAUUUAGGAAAAAGAGGGCUACAUUUUAUAUCCUGCUAAUUAUCUUGAGCAUAAAAUUAGGAGAAUUCAUAUUAGGAAACCUCAUAAUGUUUCUCAUCAUGCUUUUAUGUACAAGAAUGAGGCAUCUAGCUCUAGGCAUACCACACAUGUUAAAAUGCCUAGAAAGAAAAUUUCUACUGCAUCAAAUGAACAUAACAUUUCAUUUAAAACUUUUGAUGCAUCUAGUGUUUUAACUAACAAAUCAGGCAAAGUAGUUGCCAAAUAUGUUGGGGGCAAACACAAGAGCUCCAAAACUUGUGUUUGGGUACCCAAGGUGCUCGUUUCUAAUGUCAAAGGACCCAAGACUGUUUUGGUACCUAAGAACAAGGCCUAAAUUGUUUUGCAGGUUUAUGCAUCCGGGGGCUCAAGCUGGAUAAUUGAUAGCGGAUGCACAAACCACAUGACUGGGGAGAAAAGAAUGUUCUCCUACGAGAAAAAUGAAGAUCCCCAACGAGCUAUCACAUUCGGGGAUGGAAAUAAAGGAUUGGUAAAAGGUUUAGGUAAAAUUGCUAUAUCAACUAACCAUUCUAUUUCCAAUGUUUUUCUUGUAGAUUCUUUAGAUUACAAUUUGCUUUCAGUUUCUCAAUUAUGCAAAAUGGGUUACAACUGUCUUUUUAGUGAUAUUGGUGUUACUGUCUUUAAAAGGAGUGAUGAUUCAAUAGCAUUUAAGGGUGUUAGAGGGACAUCUAUAUUUAGUUGAUUUUAAUGAAAACAAAGCUGAACUUGACACUUGCUUAAUUGCUAAGACUAAUAUGGGUUGGCUCUGGCAUCGCCGACUUGCCCAUGUUGAAAUGAAGAAUCUUCACAAGCUUCUAAAGGGAGAACACAUUUUACGACUAACAAAUAUUCAUUUUGAAAAAGAUAGGAUUUGUAGCGCAUGCUAAGCAAGAAAGCAAGUUGGCACCCAUCAUCCACACAAGAACAUCAUGACGACUGACAGGCCACUGGAGCUACUCCACAUGGAUCUAUUCGGCCCGAUCGCUUACAUAAGCAUCGGCGGGAGUAAGUAUUGUCUAGUAAUUGUGGAUGAUUAUUCUCGCUUCACUUGGGUGUUCUUUUUGGAGGAAAAAUCACAAACCCAAGAAACCUUAAAGGGAUUCUUAAGAUGGACUCAAAAUAAGUUCGGAUUAAGGAUAAAAAAUAUAAGAAGCGACAACGGGACGGAGUUCAAGAAUUCUCAAAUUGAAGGAUUUCUUGAGGAUGAGGGCAUCAAGCCUGAGUUCUCUUCUCCCUACACACCUCAACAAAAUGGUGUAGUGGAGAGAAAGAAUAGAAUUCUAUUGGACAUGGCGAGGACUAUGCUUGAUGAGUACAAGACACUGGACCAGUUUUGGGUCGAGGCGAUUAACACCACCUGCUACUGAGAGCACCUAGAGGGGGUGAAUAGGUGAUCCUGCAAUAUCAAAUAUUAAAUAGCCACAAAACUUAGUUAUUAAAGUGUUAGCGUGACUAAGUAGUUUUGAGGCGAGUUCAUGUGGACACUACAAUCACAGAGAAAGCAACACAAGAGACACGUGAUUUUUAUCCCGUGGUUCGGCCAAGUAACACUUGCCUACUUUCACGUUGUGGCGUCCUAAUGGACGAGGGUUGCACUCAACCCCUUUCAAUGGAUCCGAUGAUCAACUUGAAUACCACAGUUUUUUCCUUUAGAGUAUUCCUGUUUGCGAGGAAUCUCCACAAUUUGGAGUCUCUCGCCCUUACAAUAGAGAUCACAAAGAAAGCACAGAGUAAGGUUGAGAGAGCAACACAUGCAAGACUUAAAUCCGCAGCACACACACGCACACAAGCCAAGACUUGAGCUCAAAACACAGCACAGGGAGUACGCGACUCAAACGGAGCUCAAAUCACUAACACAAUCCAUCAAAUGCGUGGAGGUAGAGUCUGGAUGUCUUGGUAUGCUUAGAGAAUGCUUGGUGUACUGCUCCAUGCGCCUAGGGGUCCCUUUUAUAGCCCCAAGGCAGCUAGGAGCCGUUGGAGAUCAACAUGGAAGGCUAUCCUUGCCUUCUGUCGAGUGGCGCACCGGACAACCACUGUAGCAUGUCUGGUGCGCGAUUUCCUUCCAAAUCAGGCACAGCCGACCAUUGCUCCUCCGGGCCAGAUGGCGCACCAGACACUGUCCGGUGCACACCGGACAGUCCGGUGCACCCAGCCGACCAUUGGAGCGAGCCACGUGUCGCGCGUUGAUCGCGCGGCUGACCGUUCGCGCUGGUGCCGUUGGCUCACCGGACAGUCCGGUGCACCACCGGACAGUCAGGUGAAUUAUAGCCACGUCGCCCCAUUCCUUUUCCCGAGAGCGACGAGUUCACCACGGAUGACUCACCGGACAGUCCGGUGAAUUAUAGCCGUACGACUCCGUCGAUUCCCGAGAGCAGAUAGUUCACCGGAGGCCAGCCUAGGGCACCGGACAGUCUGGUGUGCCAGGCCGAGCUGGAGUUGGCUGUACAUGGCCAACUCUUCUUCAAUUCAACUUUUCUCUUCUUGGCUCUGUUUCUAGUACUUAGAUAAACACAUUAGUAUUCAAAAACAAUGUACUAAGUCUAGAAACAUACCUCGUGCCUUGAUUUGCACUUUUCCCACAUUUAGUACACAAGGAUUCAAUUAAUAUGUGUUGGGCAUCUAAUCACCAAAAUACUUCUAGAAAUUGCCCAAGGGUGUAUUUCCCUUUCAAUCUCCCCCUUUUUGGUGAUUUAUGCCAACACAUCAAAAAGCAACUAAAAAGUGCAACAUCAAAACAAUUUAAGACCAAAUUGUUUUAGCUUAUGAUUUGGCAUAUUUGGAUCGCUCUUUGCCACCACUUGGUUUGUUUUUGCAAAUCAAAUUCAUUUGCCUAUCUCUAAGUCAAACACGCUUGUUUGGGCACAUAGAGAGAUAUUUCAAGAGUAAAAUUGAUUCAAGUGCCCAAAAACUCCCCCUUUUUCCCACAAUCAAAAUUCUCCCCACAAGAGACCAAAUUUAGCAAUAAGAGCAUUUGGACAAAUAAAAAAUUCUAACUCUAUUAUUUUCAAAAUUCACAAGUGGUUGGCUGAUCCAUUUGCUUUAGCCUUAAUUUCUCCCCCUUUGGCAUUAAGCACCAAAACGGGAUCAUUUUUGGCCCUUUAACCCCAUUGCCUCACCAAAAAUGUCAAUUCAGAGCAAAAGGCAAAUAGAGCAUAAGAAUGAACUUGGAAUUAAAUACACUAAUACCGGAGUGUAGUGGAAGUCUUUGCAUUGUCCAAGUCCAUUUUCUCUUUCAAUGUACCUUUGAGACUACAACAAGUGUUCUCAACCAAACAGAUUAGUCUCAAAGGGAUCAAGUUGUAGCACACUCCCCCUAAAUAUGUGCACCAUUUGCAUAUGGACUUGUGAGGUCCGGGGAUUACUUGUACAACUUGAGCACCAUAAAUAGAUAACAAAUGAUGUAAAUGCAUGAAGUAACAUGAUCAAAGGCAUAGAACACAUGUAUGCUAUAGAUCAAUCCAAGUUACGCGAAUCUAAGACAUUUAGCUCACUAUGCAACCUGCAAAACCUUUUCUCAUCUAAAGGCUUAGUGAAGAUAUCAGCUAGCUGGUUCUCGGUGCUAAUAUGGUACACCUCGAUAUCUCCCUUUUGCUGGCGGUCUCUUAGGAAGUGAUGCCGGAUGUCUAUGUGCUUAGUGCGGCUGUGUUCAACAGGAUUAUCCGCCAAGCGGAUUGCACUCUCAUUGUCACAUAGGAGUGGGACUUUGCUCAGAUUGUAGCCAAAGUCCUGGAGGGUUUGCCUCAUCCAAAGCAGUUGCGCGCAACACUGUCCUGCGAUAACGUACUCGGCCUCAGCGGUGGAUAGGGCAACAGAUGUUUAUUUCUUGGAACUCCAGGAACCAGGGACCUUCCUAGAAAUUAGCACGCCCCUGAUGUACUCUUCCUAUCAACCUUACACCCGGCAUAAUCAGAGUCUGAGUAUCCAAUCAAGUCAAAGGUAGACCCCUUUGGAUACCAGAUCCCGAAGCAAGGCGUAGAAACUAAAUACCUAUGAAUUCGCUUAAUGGCCACAAGGUGACAUUCCUUGGGGUCGAAUUGAAAUCUAGCACACAUGCAUACACUAAGCAUAAUGUUCGGUCUACUAGCACAAAGACAAAGUAAUGAAGCUAUCAUAGACCGGUAUGCCUUUUGAUCAAUGGACUUACCUCCUUUGUUGAGGUCAAUGUGCCUGUCAGUUCCCAUCGAUGUCUUCGCGGGCUUGGCGUCCUUCAUCCCAAACCUCUUGAGAAGAUCCAGAGUGUACUUCGUUUAGGAGAUGAAGGUGCCGUCCUUGAGUUGCUUCACUUAGAAUCCAAGGAAGUAGGUCAACUCGCCCAUCAUCGACAUCUCGAACUUUUGCAUCAUCACCCUGCUAAACUCCUUACAAGACUUUUGGUUAGUAGAACCAAAUAUUAUGUUAUCGACAUAAAUUUGGCACACAAAGAGAUCACCAUCACAAGUCUUGGUAAAAAGAGUGGGACCGGCUUUCCCAACCUUAAAAGCGUUAGCAAUUAAGAAAUCUCUAAGGCAUUCAUACCAUGCUCUUGGGGCUUGCUUAAGUCCAUAGAGCGCCUUAGAGAGCUUAUACACGUGGUCGGGAUACCUGUCAUCCUCAAAGCUAGGGGGUUGUUCCACGUACACCUCCUCCUUGAUUGGCCCAUUGAGGAAAGCGCUCUUCACAUCCAUUUGGUAUAGCCUAAAAGAAUGGUGAGCGGCAUAGGCUAAUAAUAUUCGAAUAGACUCUAACCUAGCCACAGGAGCAAAAGUCUCCUCGAAAUCCAAACCUACGACUUGGGCAUAACCUUUUGCCACAAGUCGAGCCUUGUUUCUUGUCACCACCCCGUGCUCGUCUUGCUUGUUGUGGAACACCCACUUGGUUCCCACAACGUUUUGCUUCGGACAUGGCACCAGGCUCCAGACUUCAUUUCUCUUGAAGUUGUUGAGCUCUUCCUGCAUGGCCAACACCGAGUCCGGAUCCUGCAAGGCCUCUUCUACCUUGAAAGGCUCAAUAGAAGAGACAAACGAGUAAUGCUCACAUAAAUUAGCUAAUCUUGAGCGAGUAGUUACUCCCUUGCUGAUGUCACCCAAAAUCUGAUCGACGGGGUGAUGUCUUUGGAUCAUCGCUCGGACUUGAGUUGGAGGGACCCGUGGUGCUUCUUCCUCCAUAACUUGAUCUUCUUGUGCUCCCCCUUGAUCAUGCCCUUCUUCUUGCGGUACCUGUUCAUCGUCUUGAGUUGAGGGAUGCACCAUUGUUGAGGAAGAUGGUUGAUCUUCUUCAUGUGGUUCCUGUGGUCGCACAUCGCCUAUCGCCAUCGUGCGCAUUGCGGCCAUCGGAACUUCAUCUUCAUCUAUGUCAUCAAGAUCAACUUGCUCUCUUGGAGAGCCAUUAGUCUCAUCAAAUACAACAUCGCUAGAGACUUCAACCAAUCCUGAUGAUUUUUUGAAGACCCUAUAUGCCUUUGUAUUUGAGUCAUACCCUAGUAAAAACCCUUCUACUGCCUUGGGAGCAAAUUUAGAAUGUCUAGCUUUCUUCAUCAGAAUAUAGCAUUUGCUCCCAAAUACGCGAAAGUAAGAGACAUUGGGUUUGUUACCGGUAAGGAGUUCGUAGGUGGUCUUCUUUAGGAGGCGAUGCAGGUAGAGCCGGUUUAUGGCGUGGUAGGUUGUUUUCACAGCUUCCGACCAAAACCGCUCGGGCGUCUUGAACUCUCCAAGCAUCAUUCUCGCCAUGUCGAUUAGCGUCCUAUUCUUCCUCUCUACUACACUGUUUUGUUGUGGUGUGUAGGGAGCGGAGAACUUGUGCUUGAUGCCUUCCUCCUCAAGAUACUCCUCAACUUGCAGAUUCUUGAAUUCGGACCCGUUGUUGCUCCUUAUCUUUUUCACCUUUAGCUCAAAUUCGUUUUGAGCCCUCCUUAGAAAGCGCUUUAGGGUCCCUUGGGUUUCUUGUCCUGCAAAAAGAACACCCAAGUGAAGCGGGAAAAGUCAUCAACAAUUACAAGACCAUACUUACUUCCCCCGAUGAUGAGGUAGGCAACGGGUCCAAAGAGGUCCAUGUGAAGAAGCUCCAGUGGUCUUGAUGUUGUCAUCACGUUCUUGCUGUGAUGAGUGCUUCCCACCUGUUUCCCUGCCUGAUAUGCUGCACAGGGUCUGUCUUUCUCAAAAUAGACAUUGGUUAGUCCUAACACAUGUUCUCCCUUUAGAAGUUUAUGAAGGUUCUUCAUUCCAACAUGUGCUAGACGACGAUGCCAAAGCCAGCCCAUACUAGUCUUAGCCAUUAAGCAUGCAUCUAGAUCAACAUUCUCUUUCGAAAAAUCAACUAAAUAGAGCUUGUCGUCUAAUGCACCCUUAAAAGCUAAUGAACCAUCACUCCUUCUAAAGACAGAUACAUCAACAUUUGUAAACAAACAAUUGUAACGCAUGUGGCACAAUUGACUUACAGACAGAAGGUUGUAUCCUAGCGACUCUACUAAAAAUACAUUUGAAAUGAAGUGCUCGCUUGUGAUGGCUAUCUUUCCCAAACCUUUGACCUUGCCUUGAUUCCCAUCUCCAAAUAUGAGUGUAUCCUGGGAAUCCUUGUUCUUGACAUAGGAGGUGAACAUCUUCUUCUCCCUCGUCAUGUGGUUUGUGCAUCUGCUGUCGAUAAUCUAGCUUGAGCCCCCGGAUGCAUAAACCUGCAAGGCAAUUUAAGCUUGGGUUUUAGGUAGCCAACUCUUGUUGGGUCCUACAAGGUUAGUCAAAAUAACUUUUGGAACCCAAAUACAAGUCUUGUCUCCCUUGCAUUUGGAUCCCAAUUUUCUAGCCACUACUUUUGUAUUUUUGCAUGUAAGUACAAAAGAAGUAUUGCAAGCAUGAUAAAUAGUAGAAGGUUUUUUGCACAUUCUCCUAGGCGCAUGAGGCACAACAAGAUUUCUCUUAGGCCUAUUUCUACCAUAAUCAUGAGUGGAGCUAGAAGCAAACAUAGCAUUUGAAUCAUAAUAAGCAGCAUGAUCAUAACUCCUAUGAGAAUGACUAGCAGUUUUCCUAUCAUAAAUAAAGACAUGAUUCCUUUGAGGACUACUAGCCAUAGGGGCCUUCCCUUUCUCUUUGUUGAGAAUGGGAGUCCUUUGGCUUGUUAAGUUCUUGGUUUUCUUUUGAAAACCAAGUCCAUCCUUAAUUGAGGGGUGUCUACCAACGGUGUAGGCAUCCCUAGUAAAUUUCAAUUUAUCAAAAUCAACUUUGCAAGUCUUAAGUUGAGCAUUAAGACUUGCCACCUCAUUGUUCAACUUAGUAAUAGAAGCAAGAUGUUCAUCACAAGCAUUAACAUCAAAAUCCUUACAUCUAUUACAAAUAAUAAUGUGCUCUACACAUGAACUAGUUUUAUUAGCUUCCUCUAGAUUAGCUAUUAAUUCAUCAUUUAGCUUUUUUAAACUAGAGACAGAUUCAUGGCAAAUAGAUAACUCAGAAGAUAGCAUUUCAUUUCUCUUAAUUUCUAAAGCAAGAGAUUUUUGCACACUAACAAAUUUGUCAUGUUCCUCAUAUAAAAUAUCCUCUUGCUUUUCUAGUAGUCUAUCUUUUUCAUUGAGAGCAUCGAUUAAUUUAUUAAUUUUCUCUACUUUAGCUCGAUCUAACCCCUUAAAUAAAUCUGAGUAGUCUACCUCAUCGUCAGAAGAUUCCUCAUCGCUAGAAGAAGUGUACUUGGGGGUAUCUUAAAUGUGUACCUUCUUUUCCUCGGCCAUAAGGCAUGUAUGGUGUUCGUUGGGGAAGAGUGAGGGCUUGUCGAAGGCCGAGGCAGCAAGUCCUUCAUCGUCGGAGUCUGAUGAAGAGUAGUCAGAAUCCCAUUCCUUUCCUAAAUGCGCCUCGCCCUUCGCCUUCCUAUAAUUCUUCUUCUUCUCCUUCUUCCCAUGUCUUUCUUGUGCCUGGUCAUUUUCAUUAUCGGGACAUUGAGCAAUAAAGUGACCAGUCUUACCGCAUUUGAAGCAGGAGUGUUUUUCCCUUGUUUUAUUCUUGUUGGGGUACUCCUUGCGUCCUUUGAGUGCGGUCUUGAAGCGCUUGAUGAUAAGCGCCAUCUCAUCUUCAUUCAGCCUAGCAGCCUCCACUUGUGCUACCUUGCUUGGUAGUGUCUCCUUGCCGCUAGUUGCUUUGAGAGUAACGGGUCAUGGCUCGUAGACAGGUAGUGGACCGUUUAGUGCAUCGUCCACGUAUCGAGCCUCCUUCACCAUUAUGUGCCCACUCACGAAUUUUCCGAGGAUCUCCUCGGGCAUUAUUUUGGUGUAUCUGGGAUUUUCAUGAAUAAGAUUGACAAGAUGGGGUCAAUUACAGUAAAUGACCUUAGCAUGAGUCGGACGACAUCAUGAUCCGUCCAUCUUGUGCUUCCGUAGCUUCGUAUCUUGUUGACCAAGGUCUUGAGCCUAUUGUAGGUUUGUGUUGGCUCUUCUCCCCUGAUCAACGCGAACCUACCUAGCUCACCCUCCACCAGUUCCAUCUUGGUGAUCAUGGUGGCAUCAUUUCCCUCAUGUGAUAUCUUGAGGGUGUCCCAGAUCUGUUUGGCGUUGUCCAAGCCACUCACCUUAUUGUACUCAUCCCUACAAAGAGAUGCUAGCAAAACAGUAGUAGCUUGGGCAUUCUUAUGGAUUUGCUCAUUUAUGAAAAUAGGAUUGUCAGUACUAUCAAAAUGCAUUCUGUUUUCAACAAUCUCCCAGAUACUAGGAUGGAGAGAAAAUAAAUGACUACGCAUUUUAUGACUCCAGAAAGAAUAGUCUUCUCCAUCAAAAUGUGGGGGUUUCCCAAGUGGAAUUGAUAGCAAAUGAGCAUUCGAAUUGUACAGAAUACGGGAAUAAUCAAAUGAAUAGUUUUGAUUAACCGUUUUCUUCUUUGACGAAGAGUCGUCGUCGUCGUCCCUUGGCGAAGAAGAAGAUGCAUCGCUGUUGUAGUAGAUGAUCUUCUUGAUGCGUCUCUUCUUCUUACCGUCUCUCUUCUUGUGACUCGAGCCUGAGUCGGUAGGCUUGUCGUCUCUUGGCUCGUUGAAGAGAGACUCCUUCUCCUUGUCGUUAAUCACCAUCCCCUUACCCUUAGGAUCCAUCUCUUCGGGCGGUUAGUCCCUUAAGUGAAGAGUAUGGCUCCGAUACCAAUUGAGAGCACCUAGAGGGGGGUGAAUAGGUGAUCCUGCAAUAUCAAAUACUAAAUAGCCACAAAACUUAGUUAUUAAAGUGUUAGCGUGACUAAGUAGUUUUGAGGCGAGUUCUUGUGGACACAACAAUCACAGAGAAAGCAACACAAGAGACACGCGAUUUUUAUCCUGUGGUUCGGCCAAGUAACACUUGCCUACUUCCACGUUCUGGCAUCCCAAUGGACAGGGUUGCACUCAACCCCUUUCAAGUGAUCCGAUGAUCAACUUGAAUACCACGGUUUUUUCCUUUAGAGUAUUUUCCCGUUUGCGAGGAAUCUCCACAAUUUGGAGUCUCUAGUCCUUACAAUAGAAACACAGAGUAAGAUUGGGAGAGCAACACAUGCAAGACUUAACUCUGCAGCACACACACGCACACAAGCCAAGACUUGAGCUCAAAACAUAGUACAUGGAGUACGCGACUCAAAUGGAGCUCAAAUCACUAACACAAUCGAUCAAAUGCGUGGAGGCAGAGUCUGGAUGUCUUAGUAUGCUUAGAGAAUGUUUGGUGUACUGCUCCAUGCGCCUAGGGGUCCCUUUUAUAGCCCCAAGGUAGCUAGGAGUCGUUGGAGAUCAACAUGGAAGGCUAUCCUUGCCUUCUACCGAGUGGCGCACCGGACAGUCCGGUGCGCCACCGGACAGCCACUGUAGCAUGUCCGGUGCGUGAUUUCCUUCUAAAUCGGGCAUAGCCAACCAUUGCUCCUCCAGGCCAGAUGGCGCACCGGACACUGUUCGGUGCACACCGGACAGUCCAGUGCACCCAGCCGACCGUUGGAGCGAGCCACGUGUCGUGCGUUGAUCGCACGGCUGACCGUUGGCGCUGGCGCCGUUGGCUCACCAGACAGUCCGGUGCACCACCGAACAGUCCGGUGAAUUAUAGCCACGUGGCCCCGUUCCUUUUCCCGAGAGCGACGAGUUCGCCGUGGAUGACUCACAGGACAGUCCGGUGCACCACCAGACAGUCUGAUGAAUUAUAGCCGUACGACUCCGUCGAUUCCCAAGAGCAGAUAGUUCACCGGAGGCCAGCCUGGGGCACCGGACACUGUCCGGUGCACCACCAGACACUGUCUGGUGUGCCACGCCAAGCUGGAGUUGGCUGUACACGGCCAACUCUUCUUCAAUUCAACUUUUCUCUUCUUGGCUCUGUUUCUAGCACUUAGAUAAACACAUUAGUAUUCAAAAACAAUGUACUAAGUCUAGAAACAUACCUCGUGCCUUGAUUUGCACUUUUCUCACAUUUAGUACACAAGGAUUCAAUUAAUAUGUGUUGGGCAUCUAAUCACCAAAAUACUUCAAGAAAUUUCCUAAGGACAUAUUUGCCUUUUAGCUACUCCAUCAACCGGUUAUAUCUUCACCGAAUCCUCAAGAAGACAUCUUAUGAACUCCUCACUGGUAAAAAGCCCAAUGUUUCAUAUUUUAGAGUCUUUGGAAGCAAAUGUUUUAUUCUUAUUAAAAGAGGUAGAAAAUCUAAAUUUGCUCCUAAGGCUGUAGAAGGCUUUUUACUUGGUUAUGACUCAAACACAAGGGCAUACGGAGUCUUCAACAAAUCCACUGGAUUAGUUGAGGUUUCUUGUGACAUUGUGUUUGAUGAGACUAAUGGCUCCCAAGUGGAGCAAGUUGAUCUUGAUGAGCUAGAUGAUGAAGAGGCUUCGUGCGUCGUGCUAAAGAACAUGUCCAUUGGGGAUGUGUGUCCUAAGGAAUCCGAAGAGCCUACACAAGCACAAGAUCAACCAUCAUCUUCUGUCCAAGCAUCUCCACCAACCCAAGAUGAGGAUUAGGCUCAAGAUAAUGAAGAAGAAGAUCAAGAGGAAGAGCCACCUCAAGAGGAGGACAAUAAUCAAGGGGGAGAUGAGGAAAUUGAAGACAAGGAAGAUGAGCAAGAAAUUCAGGGUCAAAGACCGCCACACCCAAGAGUCCACCAAGCAAUUCAACGAGAUCACCCCGUCAACUCCAUCCUUGGUGACAUUCAUAAGGGGGUAACCACUAGAUCUCGAGUUGCUCAUUUAUGUGAACAUUACUCUUUUGUUUCCUUUAUUGUGCCUUACAGGGUAGAGGAUGCAUUAAGAGAUUCAGAUUGGGUGGUGGCUAUGCAAGAGGAGCUCAACAACUUCAUGAGGAAUGAGGUAUGGCAUUUAGUUCCACGUCCUAAUCAAAAUGUUGUAGGUAUCAAAUGGGUAUUCCGCAACAAGCAAGAUGAGCAUGGUGUGGUGAUAAGGAACAAAGCCCAACUUGUGGCCAAAGGUUAUUCACAAGUCGAAGGUUUGGAUUUUGAUAAAACUUAUGCACCCGUAGCUAGGCUUGAGUCAAUUCGUAUAUUACUUGCCUAUGCUACUUACCAUGGCUUCAAGCUUUAUCAAAUGGACGUGAAGAGUGCCUUCCUCAAUGGACAAAUCAAUGAAGAGGUCUAUGUUGAGCAACCUCCCGGUUUUGAAGAUAGUGAGUACCCUAACUAUGUCUAUAAACUCUCAAAGACGCUUUAUGGGCUCAAGCAAGCCCCAAGAGCACGGUAUGAAUGCCUGCGAGAUUUUCUUAUCACUAAUGGCUUCAAAGUCGGAAAAGCCGAUCCUACACUCUUUACUAAAACUGUUGAAAAAGACUUGUUUAUAUGCCAAAUUUAUAUUGAUGAUAUCAUAUUUGGGUCUACUAACAAGUCUACUUAUGAAGAGUUUAGUAGGAUCAUGGUUCAAAAAUUCGAGAUGACUAUGAUGGGGGAGUUGAGAUAAUUCUUAGGAUUUCAAAUCAAGCAACUCCAGGAUGGCACCUUCAUCAGCCAAACCAAGUACAUUCAAGACAUUCUUAAGAAGUUUGGAAUGAAGGAUGGCAAACCCAUAAAGACACCCAUGGGAACCAAUGGGCAUCUCGACCUUGACACGGGAGGUAAAUCCGUAGAUCAAAAGGUAUACCGGUCGAUGAUAGGAUCUUUACUCUAUCUAUGUGUUUCUCGACCAGAUAUUAUGCUUUCUGUAUGCAUGUGUGCAAGAUUUUAGGCCGAUCCUAAGGAAGUUCACCUUAGGGCCGUCAAGAGAAUCAUGAGAUACUUAGUCAACACUCCUAAGUUUGGGCUUUGGUAUCCCAGGGGAUCCACAUUUGAUUUAAUAGGAUAUUCAGAUGUCGAUUGGGCAUGGUGUAAAAUUGAUAAGAAAAACACAUCAGGGGCUUGUCAGUUUCUAGGGAGAUCCCUGGUGUCUUGGGCUUCAAAGAAACAAAACUCCGUAGCUCUUUCCACCACCGAAGUCGAGUACAUCACCGUAGGCCAUUAUUGUGCGCAAUUACUUUGGAUGAGGCAAACCCUCAGGGACUAUGGCUACAAAUUGAGCAAAGUCCCUCUCCUAUGUGACAAUGAGAGUGCAAUCCGCAUGGCGGAUAAUCCCGUUGAACACAGUCGCACAAAGCACAUAGACAUUCGGUAUCACUUUCUGAGGGAUCACCAACAAAGGGGGAAUAUUAAAAUAGCUUAUAUUAACACCAAAGAUCAAUUAGCCGAUAUCUUCACCAAACCAGUAGAUGAAAAAACCUUUAGCAAACUUAGGAAUGAGCUAAAUAUUCUUGAUUCUCAGAAUUUUGAUUGAAACAUUGCACACAUAGCUCAUUUAUAUACCUUUGAUCAUGUCUCUUUCUUUUGGUACAAAUGCAUAUUUCUUAUUCUUCUUGUGCCAAAACUAUGACUAAUGUGUUUUCAAGUGUAUUUCUAUACUAAGUCGUAGAUUGAAAGGGAAAUGGAGUAUUCGGCAAAGAACAACGCUUCCACUCCACUCCAUCGGUAUUAUUUACCCUUUGCUGGUAUUCCGCCAUCUCUCCAAUUGGUAUACUCUUUCACUCCUAUUUCUUUUAUCAAUGGGGGAUAAAAUAUCAAAGGGCUCCAAAGUUCUCUGUUUUUUGGCAAUUAAUGCCAAAGGGGGAGAAAAUAUUAAGCCCAAAGCAAAAGGAUCGCACCACCACCAUUUCAAAAUUUUCGAAAUGAAAGAUUUAAUUGGUAUUCAAAAAUGUUUGUUUUUCAAUUAGUAUUCAAGACAAGUUCAAAUUGGUAUCUAUGCUUAUGAAAAUAAGAUUUCAAAAUUGGUAUCCAUUUAAAAACCCUCUUAAAAGCUAAGAGGAGAAUUUCAUUCAGGGGGAGCUUUUAAUUAGUCAAAGGAAAAGCAUUUGAAACAGGGGGAGAAAUUUUAAAUCUUGAAAAUGCUUCUUGCAAUCUUAUUCAUAUACCUUUGACUAUUAGCUAAAGAUUUUGAAAAGAUUUCCCAAACGGAUUUGCAAAAACAAAACAAGUGGUGCAAAUGUGGUCCAAAAUGUUAAAUAAAAGAAAGCAAUCCAUUCACUCUUAUUCAUAUGUAAUAAGACUUUCAAUUGGUUUAAUUCCAAGUAACCUAUGCACUUACCAUAUGCAAACUAGUUCAUUUCUGCACUUUAUAUAUUUGCUUUGGUUUGUGUUGGCAUCAAUCACCAAAAAGGGGGAGAUUGAAAGGGAAAUAGGGUUAACCUUUUCCCACAAUUAAUUUUGGUGGUUGAAUGUCCAACACAAAUAUAUGGACUAACUAGUUUGCUCUAAAAUACAUGUUCUAUAGGUGCAUAAAGGUUCAACACAAAUCAAUAAAUAUUCAAGUUAGGGACCAAAUUCAAAGGAGCAAAAGAAACCAAGUGUGUUGCGGUCUGCCGCACCGGACAGUGUCUGGUGCACCAGGACCGUACAGAGUCCAACUAGCCACUCUCAGGUUUCUUCGGGCGCACUCCGCUAUAAUUCAUCGGACUGUCCGGUGUGCCAUCGGACUGUCCGGUGCACCAGCGGAACAACGGCUACUUCGCGCAACGGUCGACUGAAAAAGCUAAAGAACAGAUGAACAUUGUGUAACAGUGCGCGACAGAGUCAGAGCACAGAGUCAGAGGCGCACCGGAUAAUGAACAGUAGCUGUCCGAUGUGGCACCGGACUGUCCGGUGCCACAAGAAGACAACGGCGCCAACGGUCGACUGCUCCCAAACCCUAACGGUUGGGUGAAGUGGCGGCGCACCGGACGGUCUAUAGUACCUGUCCGGUGGCGCGGACUGUCCGGUGCGCCCAUCGAUAGCAGCCAUCCCCAACAGCCAUUUGGUGGUUGAGGGCUAUAAAUACCCCCAACCACCACCACACCAAGCAUCCAAGCAUUCUGAACAUUGCAUUCAAUACAAGAGCAAUAGACUGCACUCCAAGACACAAUCAAAGCGAUCGAUCCACUCAAAGUCCCCCAAUCAAUUCUAGUGCAUUAGGACUUAUGAGAGGAUCUCUUAUGUUUCCUUGUUGCUCUUGUUUGCUUGGCUUGGCCUUCUUUUUCUUUUCAAUUCUUACUCUCAAGUGCUUUGUAAGCAAGGCAAGAGACACCAAUUGUGGUGGUCCUUGCGGGGUCUAAGUGACCCGUGAGAUUAAGGAAGAAGGCUCACUCGGUCAAAGUGACCGUUUGAGAGAGGGAAAGGGUUGAAAGAGACCCGGUCUUUGUGACCACCUCAAUGGGGACUAGGUUCUUUAGAACCAAACCUCGGUAAAACAAAUCACUGUGUUCACUUGCUUUAAUUCUUGGUUGAUUUGUUUUCCCUCUCUCUCCCGGACUCGGAUUUAAUUCUAACGCUAACCCCAGCUUGUAGUGUGUGCUUAAGUUUAUAAAUUUCAGGUUUCGCCUAUUCACCCCCCCCCCCUCUAGGCAACUUUCAGGUCUCAAGAAGAAGCUGGCUGGGCGGUUUCUGUCCAAACGUCGUCGUGCAGACGUUUCAGACUAUAGCCCUACCACAGACUCUGAAGCCCAAUCAUUAGCUGGGGGCAGUGUUUCAUUGGAUACCAAAUAUGCUCCUCAUUCUCAUCCAGAUUACCCCAUUGAUAUUAUAGGAUGGACUUAUCCCAAGAUGUGUUUUCAAUGGCUAAGUAUUCCUCUAGGAGGACUAUGGAUCAAUUCUCUCUGCCCAGUGACACAAACAUCUAAUACUUCCAUACUCAGUUGCAGUUUGAUGUGUUUUGGGGGUACUCUGAUGGAUAUAAAAUUUCAUAAACAUCAAGUUAUUGACUGGGACUACAUGCAGGGCCAAACUGUUAUGGAAGGAUUGCUCGCUAAAUUCCAGGAAUGUGGUUUAUAUGAGUUCAUGGGUCAGAGAACAGACUUCAAUGAACUAACUGUCAAGCAGUUUCUUGCAACUGCUGAAAUCAACAUUGAUGAUCAGCUCAUUGUCUGGAUGACUGGGUUUAAGAGAUAUGUGGCUACAUUUCCUGAAUUCGCAGCGGCUAAUAGCCUGGAGUCGAUCUUUAUACUGAGGAUCAGUUUGAAGAUUUUGCUCAAUAUUAUGAACCUGCCAGGCUGGGUAUACCUAGGCGGUUCGGCAAGACUCCAGGGCUGCGCCAUCAUCCAGUUGUCAUCAACAAGAUUGCUAGAGUCACCAUUCUUCCAAAGAGUGGGGACAAAAGCAGGAUCCGUGACAAAUUCUGGAACAUUAUUGAUCAUGUCAUGAAAGGGGAGGUCAUGGAUGUUAUUCUUUUUAUGAUGCGCCAGUUAAAUGAUCUGAAUAUGGACAAGAACCAGAAUCUAGCAUAUGCACCAUAUAUUAUGGCUUUGAUUAAAGCCAAAACCAGAUUCGAAGGACGGUGUGAAACUGCUCACACCCCAUUCAGGCCAUUCAAAAAUGAAAUUGGUUUUCUUACCAGGCCUCUCACACCGUUUCCUGAUAAUGAGGAAGCUCAGGGACAUGCUUUUGAUGAUCAGCCUGCAGCGCAUCCUGCUCAGCACAUGCCACCACCUCCACCUCCACAACAGCAAGGUUAGUACUGGCAGCCUGCCCCUGGUUAUUUUGAUCCUUAUUUUAACCAAAUGCAUCAAGGGCUCCAGACUCAUAUUGAUGGUCAGUUUUAAAGCAAGAUGUCACAUGUUGAUGACCGGUUUGACCACAUGCACUCCACAUUUGAUGGUCAGUUCUCUGACUUACAUGAUAGAUUUACAGUUGUUGACACUCAACUGGAUGGGGUCCAUACUCAGUUCAAUGAUCUUCGUUCUCAUAUUCACACUACUGUGCAUGAUCCUAUUAUGAGCAGAAUGAACAAUAUGCAACAAAGCUUUCAGGACAAUAUGGGUGCUUUGUCCAGUCAGUUUGAAACUCUCUCUACUAGUGAUAGUGUUCACACUCUGGAUGAAAGACAACAACAACUUCAGAAUGAUUUUAGUUAGUUCACUUCGAUAUCUGACAACUUCAGCUCUCAUUUUUACAACAUGUAUCCUUGUCCUCCACCGGGUGCGCAGUGAUGUUCCCUUUGUGGAAAUUGAUGCCAAAGGGGGAGAGAGAAGUGAUGAUUCAAGGGAGAGCUUGUUGAUCUUGCUGCAUAUUUAUGCUGCUUAUGCUACAUCUGUGUUUGAUGCUACUCAGUUAUUAUGUCGCUACUCAGUUAUUAUGUCGCUUUAAAACUUUGUUUACAUUGUUGUGUUUAAGGCUCUAUCCGUUUGAAUUGUUAAUGGUUAAUCGAAGUAGUAUUUCACUUGCCGCUUUCAUUUUUUUCAUACUACUAUGUACCUCGAUAAUCAAGAUUAUAGGAAGGUCUCCGCCAAAAACUCUGAUAUACUAUGUGUGUGAAUUUGUGAUCUCGUUAUUCUCUAUGCACACAUAUAGGGGGAGUUAUUCCUAUUCUCUGAGUUUUUCUGUGAUGACUUAUCAACAUUUCGGAUGAACCUCAAAAUCCAGAUAAGUCACUCAAAACUCAUCUCAAAUCUUUUUUAUACCUAGAAUGCAAGAAAGGUUGGGAAACAAAAUAUACUUUACUAAAAAAUAUGCGAUGUUGUCAUCAAUUACCAAAAAGGGGGAGAUUGUGAAUCAUCUAGGCCCCUAAGUGGUAUUUUGGUAAUUAAUGACAACUGAUUAUGGACUAACAGUUCCUUGAGUGAUAAGAUUGCAGGACUAAACCACAAGAUACAACAAAGUUCUUGAGGACUCAUAACCAUUGAUUGUGGAUCAAGUGAAGGCAAAGGUAAAACAUAGGUUUUUGCUUUUGCCGGUCAGCUGGUGUUUAGAGAAGAAACUGACUAGAUUAAUAUGAUAGACAGUCAUACUAUUAAGAGGGGUCAAUGAACUUGAAUGGUGUAUAACUUAGUGCCUCGUAGAGCAUAAACAGUAACAUGUGCAUGAGGGCUAACAGCGCUAUGGGUUUCAAAAUUAAAAUUCUUUUGAAUCAGCGCAAAACAUUUUUUGAGUAUGACGGACCGUUCGGUCGAGACGGUCGGACCAUCCGUGACUCUACCAGAGAGGUCAGACCAUCGUCUGUCUCUGCCUUCUUCUGGCGGAUCGUCUAGCCCUGGCAGGCGGACCGUCCACGUAAGAAGAAUGGAGUUUGGGCAGGGAUAAUGUGUUUUUGAGAUUUUGUACUACGGACCAUCUGGGGUUUUUAGCCGGACGGUAAGUGGUCCAUGUGCGGACCGUCCGACCAUGAUUGGCGGACCGUCCGCUUGAAUUACUGAGACUAAUCAAGCACUCUGUUACUCAAGUUUGUCAUGUUCUAGGCCGUCCGGCCCUAGUGGGCGGACCGUCCGACUUUGACUUUUUUGACAGCUCUGAUAGGUUUCAAACGGUCGAUAUAGCCGUUACUGGUACAGCGGACCGUCCGUCCAUAGGGCGCGGACUGUCCGCGUGUCCGCAGAAAUUGUGCUAGUUGCACAUAACGGCUACGUAUGUGUUGAGGGCUAUAAAUAGAAGUGGAGCUCGUGUGUGGGAGCUCUCUUGGCCAUUCCUAGCACACAUUGAACUCAUUUGUGAGCCUCCCACUCAAACACUCACACUAGUUGAUUGAGAUCGCAUUCUAGUGAGUGAUUGAGACACUCUAGUGCAUUUGCAUUCAUUGUGAUCUUUUGAGGCACUAGGUGAUACACCGGGCAAGCGUCAUCGACUUGUUACUCUUGGAGGUUGCCGCCUCCUAGAUGGCUCGGGUGUUGUCUUCGUUGAGCUCUCCGUGAAGAUUGUGGAGGAGCCACGAGAUUGAUUGUGAGGGGUUUGCGCCUACCUCGCCGAAGCGGCAAAGGCGACACUAGUGAAAUCGAGGUAUUGAGUGAGUUAUUGUCCACUUGGCUCAAAGAUCAAGUAGUAUCUUGGUAGAGGAGCAAGUGAGAGCUUAAAUUCCACCUCAACGUGGAUUAGGGGUGAAUGGCAAUUCAUCGAUACCACGGGAUAAAUCUCGGUGUCUUUCUCUCAACUAUUUUACAUUAUUAACAAGUAGUUGGUAACUUAUAUAUUGUUUAUCUUUGUGGCAUUAGAUUAAAUUUCUCAUUACAUUUUGUUGUUCCAUCAAGGCUAGAAAUAUUUACAUCUCUUGUUGUUUUGAUUAAAUUUGUCUAGUGUAUUUUAUUUUAGUCAAAACCGUCUAUUCACCCCCCUCUAGCCGGUGUCCUAGAUCUUACACACCUCCAUUCAAGUCAUCCAAGUUUUCUGAACUUCACAUUCAAUACAAGAGCAAAAGACUACACUUCAAGACACAUUCAAUAGAUCAAAUCCUCUCCAAGCCUCCAAAUCAACUCAAUUGUUUAGUGACUUGAGAGAGGGUGUUUUGUGUUUUUUUGUUGCUCUUGUUGCUUGGAUUGCUUUAUCCUUCUCAUUCUUAUUCCUCUAAGUGCUUUGUAAAGCUAGCAAGAGACACCUAAAUGUGUGGUGAUCCUUGCGGGGUCUUAGUGACCCAAGUGAUUAAGGAGAAGCCUCGACCGGUCUGUGUGACCGAUUGAGAGAGAGAAAGGGUUGGAAUAGACUCGGCCUUUAUGGCCUCCUCAACAGGGACUAGGUUCUUUGGAACCGAACCUCGGUAAAUAAAUUACCAUGUUCACUUGUUGAUCUUCACUUGAUUUGUUUCCCCUCUUUCCUCUCUCUAAAAAGUUCCCUUGCUCAUAUCGAUUUGAGUUUGCUCCUAAAGUUAUCCGCAUUGAUUGAGCAACUCUAAGAAAGGAGAACUAUCUUCCAACCUCCGAAUUAACUCUAACGCUAACCUCGAGCAUAGUGCGUGUUUAAAGUUUGUAAAUUUUAGGUUUCGCCUAUUCACCCCCCCCCCCUCUUGGCGACUUUCAGGUGGGUUUAUAGGUUGUGACUGCUAAGAUGAUGCGUUGAUGAUGAGAUUAAAAUGGUAGGGGUGCCUCCUAGCCUUAUAUACACAACCAGAGAGGGCUCCCCGCAUUGUGCUGAUUGUAAUCUCCCUACUUAUCCCCUAAUUAGUAGCGAACGAUCUUCCAUUAUCGUGGGGAAAUCCGGUGCCCCGCGCCCGAGCUAUCAUCGGCGGUUCAGGAUGUCUGGUGCAUGGAACAAACUCGGCCCGACAUAUUCGUACUUAUGCCGCGGCUAAUUCAGACAUGGGCCUCUUUCUCAUCUAGAUCGGGUCGCUUCUGCUAGCUCCGUUUAUUCGGCCCAUAGCAGGACGCCUCAAAGGGGUGACUGUUGUGUGGCCCCGGGCGUAUUUUUGCACUCGUGUGGACCUAAGGGAUAUCCAUCCCCCAUAGCGCCCACUGCGGGAACCGUCGGUAUGACGAGCAUCGAUGGAAGGGUGGCCAUGGCCAUCAGCACGAUAGGAAUGCCCGGGACAACAACAAGAGCGACAGGGGGUGAGGCAUGAGCAAGAUGAUGCACGACGUGGCAUGUAGUGCUGCCGUCGCCGAUGAGCAUGAUGAACAACAUCGUCACGAGCGCCGUUGUGGAGAAGAGAGACAAAGCGUCACAAGUCAUUGCUAGCGUCUAGGAGAAGUGCUUCCUUAGGAGUGAGAAGCUACAAGGCCAUCGUGUGCUUGCCACGGGUCCUUGGCGAUCAUUUUAUUGUAUCUCCAUUCGAAGUUGAGCGUGUAUUGUUUCGCCAGAGCUAGGCCAGUUGGAAACGAGAUAAAGAUGGUUGGUGGCCUUCCGAUGCAAAGCAUGGACGACAUAUACAUAGUGGAUGGUUGUUGUUCAAGGCAUUUAGUUCAUUAGCUCAUCUAUUUCUGGUAGCUAGAUCAGAAUUUACCACCGCUCGUGCAUGACACAAGACGAUACUGGACACCGAUCAACUCAUGCGUGGCUCAUGCAUGCUGCAUUAUGAAUCCCUCGAUGACCUCUGUUUGAUAAUUGUUGAGGCACGUUUUCUUCUCUAUCAGAUUAUUGUGCAAAAGCCAGAGACAUCUUUAUGGUUCUAUAUGUCCAUGAAUUGUAUGUUUAAUGCGUGUGCCUAAGAGAAAAUAAAAAACAUAGGUUCAGUGGAACAUGUUGUGAGUCUUUAAAACCGGCAGGCAUACCGUGUGUUUAUAUGGAGUCAAUGUCUUAAGUUAUAAGUCAUCGAGGUUGUUACACCAUAUAUAGACCAUGAGAAGCCACCAAGUCCAAUAUGACAGGAAGCUCUACACAUAUAGGAACACCCUGUUAGCUGAAGGAGGACGAAAUAGGGAUUAAGUUCUUUAUCAACUCAUAUCUUUCUCAGUCUUUUGACUAAAAUAAAAUGUAAUGUUUAUUCUUAUCAAUUUAAUAUAUGGUCUAUAGACAAUAUGCUCACUUUGGUAUUAAAUUUAUUUACUAUUGAUAUUUUUUGGGAGGGUGUGUACGACUGGUUUACUUCGCUCAACCAUUGAUUGUAUUGCGGGUACAGCCUCGCCCUCUCAACCAAUAACAUGAAAUACGAUUGACGCACGUGUAUUAUACUAGUUUGGUUCUAUAUAAGACUAAGGAGGUGUUUGUUUUCUAAGAACUAAUUUUUAGUCCAUCUAUUUUAUUCUAUUUUAGUCGUUAAAUUGUCAAAUACAGGAACCAAAAAUCCUUUAAACUUUAGUUCUUCAUUUUUUAGUCCCUAAAUUACUAAAAACAUGACUUAAGAGAGUGGAUGAAAAUUGAUUUGUUCCCUUUUAGUUUUCAUAUUUGGUAAUUUAGAGACUUGAAUAGACUAAAUGGGUGUUUGGUUUCAAAGCACAUUAAUUUUUAGUCCUUCCAUUUUAUUUUAUUUUAUAAAUUGCCAAAUACGGAAAUUGAAAUGGAGUUUUAGUUUUCAUAUUUGACAAUUUAUAUACUAAAAUGAAAUAAAAUAGAGGGACUAAAAAUUAGUCCCUAAAAAUUAAACAUCCCCUUAAAGAUUUAGGGGAAGAACUAAAGUUUAGUCUCAAGGAACUAAACAACCUCUUAGAUGUUCGUGGCAUACAAUCAUGUAAUGUUAUCUCUAGCAGAUUACUUAUAACACCCUGAAUUUAGGGGUAUAAAAUUUCUUUCUAAUGAUCAUCCAAAUUCAGGUGUUACUCUUCUCUAUCUCACUCUAGCUUCACUCUCUCUCUAGUUUUCUCCCUCUCUUUUUCUUUUAAUUAGAGUUAGUUGUAUUAGUGAGGGAUUAUUUAAUUUAUUUUGCCCAAAACAUAUGAGUCAUGGAAUAUUGUAUCAUAUUGAGCCUAAAUAUUCUUUGAAUUGUUGCACAUAUUUGAUUUGAUUUGAAUUUGAAACUUGGUUUGAAUUUGAAUUGAAAACCCUCGAGAAAAUUAAUAGAAAAGGCAAUAUAAAUUACAGGAAAAACCAAUUUCGGCCCAGGUCGGCCCAUCUAGCCUAGCCCGCACCCGCGCGUCCCCUGUGCCUGACAGGCGGGUCUCGCCUGUCGGCGCAAGACUGCACGCUCACUCUCCCUCUCUCUCUCUGUCCCGUGGGCCCGAGCUGUCGGUGUCGUUCUUUUCCCCACGCCCACUCUCUCUCUCUCUCUGCCCCGCCAUCCCCACCUGUCAGCCCGUCUCUAACCUCUCGCCCACGAUCUCCCCGCCGUGGACGCGCCCACGUCCGCGCGUUCUCUGGCCACGUUCGAGCCCCCGCGCCCCUUUGAGCCCCGCGUCCUGCUCGCCCACCUCCUCUCUCUCUCAUUUGCGCCCUCUGCCCAGCUCCCUCGCCCUCUCUCUCUCGCUCUGCCCGCAUGAAUCAAGAGCUCUGCCACCGCCCGCCGACGCCCACCGCCUGUUCCGUGGCCGUCGUUGUGUCUGUGCCCUGUCCAGUGCCACGGUGAGCUUCGCCUUGCCGUCAGCUACUCGGGACACCCUUCGGUGUGCCCUCUCCCUCUCUGUCUCAUCCGGUCCACGCUCACCGGAGCGUUUUCUGGUGCAGCCGGAGUCCGCCACUGUCGCCCCAUCAAGCCCCUACGCCUCCGCCUCGCUUCGCGACGCCAGCGCUUCUGCUCGAGGUAAGCGACCUGCCCGUGCCCUUAAUUUGGUCAUCCCCGCUCUAUAGCUCGCGUGAUUGCUCGCUGGAGCAAUCUAGCGCCGCCGUUAGCCCGCUCUGCCAUGGUCUACGUCCUCUGGUGCCCCUGCGCCAUCGUGUAGGCCAUGGCUGAGUUCGCCAGACCUCCCUAAUUGCGCCUAGGUCAGUCCCCGAGCCUCUAGUGCCCCGUUGUGGCUGGUCUGCCUGUCUCCGGCGAACUCUCGCCGCGGAACCGAGCGGCGCCACCGCACCCAAACCAGCCCUGAUAGUUAGAUCUCGGCCGUCUGUCCGAGAUCGGAUGGUUCGGACUCAACUCGAGUAGAUCUAAUCCUAGCCCUUCGAUCGGGAUCUAACUGCCCCCCUCUGUCCCCCUCACCCGUGCCUCUGCCUCUAGGCCCGGCCGGUCAGCCCGCCCUGACCCGCUGACGCCCUGGCCCCGCUUGUCAGCUGCGCCUACGUGCCCGCGCGAUCUAAUCUCAGCCGUCGGUUUCUGAUCCAACGGUUGAGGGAGGCCGAUACCCCUUCGUGUGGCUGUUUUGCUUAAGAACCCCCUGGUUUUAGGAAAUCAACUCGUCGUCCUCUGUAUUAGCGCAUAGGUCCUUGGUUUCUUUAGAAUAGCCCCUUGGACUUUUAUUUAAUUACAGAUUUAGCCCUAAUUUCAUAUUUCAAACUUCAAAACUUGUUUAUUUCAUAUCUUUUUCAUAUGAACUCCAAAUUUAGUGGUUCAAAUUGCAAAAUGUUCACAAGAUUAUUCUCUGUUCAAAUAAAAUAUUACCAACUGUAAUCUGUAUACUUUAAUUUUUACACUUAGAAUGUGGAACUAAAGUAUAUGUUGAUUUAUUUAUUUAAUGAAAUAAAUAAAAGGAAAAUCCUAGGAGUAAAGUAUAUUUAAUCUUGUGAGGUUAGUGUUAUGCAUUUCAUGGAUUCAUUUUUGGUUUAACCUUUAGGCCUUAAUGAGAUAAAUAGAAUUAGGUAGGUAAUUAUGGAUAUUUAAAGGAUAAUCAAAUGCCUAAAUGGGAAUAGUUCAUCUUAUAAUUUAAGCUUUUCUUUGUUUAUUUAUUACUUUACCUUUUUAAGUUAUGUUCCAAACACUUAGAAAGUAAUCAAUCCCCCCACUUAGGAUUAGUCCAUUUUAUAACCUGAUGUAAUUCCCCUGUACUUAAUACUAUACCUUUUUGAGUUGUGUGCCAAUGUUUGUACAUGUUUGAUGUGCUGUUCAUUUGUACUUUUCCAAAUGUAUUGAAUGUAUGCUCGCUUUACUUAGACAACGAGCAGUCCGAGGUUCCUGAGUGUGUUGUUGGAGACCUCCCUGAGCAAUAACCUGGUGAAGGCAAGUGUCCUCAGACCUAUCAUGUCCUACUUUACUUUAUAAUUCACUGUCCCGCAUUACUUUAUUGAAACCUAAGGAUUGUCUAGUCUGUAUUUCCCUUACCCUCAUUUACCUUUUUGGGUUAAUCAUGGUUAGCAAUGAUGAUUAUAAUUCUGAUCUAUGGUAUUCCUCUUAGAGGGAGUGCCUCUAGGUAAUAACCGGGUUAUUACUAAAAUUUGGCUAUACUUAUAGUAAUAAAACUUGACCAACUAAAAGCAACCGCUUAACCUUAACUCCACAUACAUCUAGUCCACUUUAGCCAAAUAGGACAUUUGCUGAGUACGUUGAUGUGUACUCACCCUUGCUUUACAAACCACCCCACCCCAGGUUGUCCCCACUGUACUCAGUGCUCAGGAGGUGAAGCUGGUAACAUGGAAGACUUUGAGGAGUUCCAGGACUACGACGAGUUCUAGUUUACUUUAGUGGCAAACCACAGUCAGCUGCCUGUGUAGGCUUACAUUCUACGUUUCGUUACUCCGCACUUUGAUUUAAUGUUGAACACUAUAGAUAUGUAUUAGACUCUGUGGAUGUCUCGGACAUCUUGAUGUAACUAAGUACAUUUCCGCUAUUUAAUUCAAGCAUUGUGUGAUGAUGUCCAAUUAUGUAAUCGCUGUGUAUGUGAGUUCUGAUCCUAGCACGUACAUGGUUCACAUUCGGUUUACCUUCCAGAACCGGGUGCGACAUAAGUGGUAUCAAAGCCUUGCUGACCAUAGAACCGCUAACCAAGACUAGAAUGGUCACCCUAAGGACUAUAGACCCCUACUCUUACCUUGACCUUAGAGUCUUUUCAGAAGUUGGUCAUCUUGAUCAGCUCUAUGUUAUUUACUUAUCUGAAAAGUUUUGUCUCAUUUUUCUUUCUAUUUACUUUCUGGUCUCAUAGUUCUACUCUUACUCUUGUGCUUACGAUGACUUUUGUAGAUGGCCCGUAUCAGGUGCACCGCAUGUAAGUCUGUGAUCCCCUUUUUGCCUUCUUGCCUGACGGAGCAUCCACUACGUCGCAUGGUGUCUGGUCAGUCCAGUCAUCUGGAGAGACUACAUCGUCGCCUACACGAGGAGCAGGAGCGCCGAUGCCAAGAGCAGGAGCAGGAGCAGCAGGACUCUUCCCCCUCGCCUCAGCGGGAGGUGGAGUCUGAGAGGCCACCUUCCCCUGCACCUCAGCCAGAGAUGCCCCAUGCACCACCCUAGGGCAUCCCGAUUGUUGGAGGAGACCCUAACAAAGAUGGAGACGACGACGACGACGCCGGUGGCAGUUCGAGCCACGGCACGGAGCGCUCGGAGGAGCCGGAGGGAUGGAUCGCCAGACCCAUCACUUGUGACGCCGCUCGUGGGUGUCACUUCCACGACGCUCUCGAUACCUUGUUGCGUCGGGCCUUCGACCGACACAUUUGGUCCAUCGAGUACCGUUGUGUAGUCUACCAGCAUCGUCGCGGGUUAUACCCAAACCAGUGGGAGGCUACUUGCUUGGUGCGCUGUCUAGACGAUGAUCUCCAGGGUGUAGAGACCUUCUCAGAGCACUAUUCUAUCACUAAGAGGGACACUACCGAGGCAGCCAUGCAUGAUGCAACAUGACAGGCACUCUCUCAGUAUUGCUCGUUGCUCAGCGGGGUAACUGACGGCCUUGACCUGAAGUACUACCCUCGCCGAUCGACCGGUAGUGCCGGAGUUGUGAUUGUCUCGCCAGUAGGUGAGGGCAAUCCAGGCUAAGCAGCAUGGUCAACUUGGCUGUCGUGCUCAACACAGAGUUGGACCACUGAGAGCACCUAGAGAGGGGGGUGAAUAGGUGAUCCUGUAACACUUAAAACUUAGGCCACAAAAACUUGGUUAAGUGUUAGCGUAAUAACUGCCAAGUGGCUAGAGAGGAGUCUUCAACAAAACACAAUAACCACAAGAGAUCAAUCACAGAGAUGGCACGGUGGUUAUCCCGUGGUUCGGCCAAGACCAACGCUUGCCUACUCCACGUUGUGGCGUCCCAACGGACGAGGGUUACAAUCAACCCCUCUCAAGCGGUCCAAAGACCCACUUGAAUACCACGGUGUUUUGCUUGCUUUUCUUAAUCCCGUUUGCGAGGAAUCUCCACAACUUGGAGCCUCUCGCCCUUACACUUGAAGUUCACAAAGAAGCAUGGAGCAAGGGAGGGAUUAGCAACUCACACAAGACACUAAGAUCACAGCAAAAGCACACACACAAGACCCAGACUUAAGCUCAAGAGACUAGCACACUAGAACGGAGCUCAAAUCACUAGAAUGUCGAACAAGUGCGCAAGAAUGAAGUGUGAGUGAUCAAGAGUGCUCAAGGAAUGCUUUUUUUCUCCUCCAUGCGCCUAGGGGUCCCUUUUAUAGCCCCAAGGCAGCUAGGAGCCGUUGAGAGCAAUCCUGAAAGGCAGAUCUUGCCUUCUGUCGACUGGCGCACCGGACAGUCCGGUGCACCACCGAACACUGUCCGGUGCAGAUAUCCUUCCUUAUUUGGCGAAGCCGACCGUUGGAGUCUGAGAGCCGUUGGCGCACCGGACACUGUCCGGUGCACACCGGACAGUCCGGUGCACCAAUGUGACCGUUGGCUCGGCCAUGCGUCACACGCGGAAUCCUCGGCCGACCGUUGCCUCGGCUGACUGUUGACUCACCGGACAGUCCGGUGAACCACCGGACAGACCGGUGAAUUUUAGCCGUACGUCGUUGAUGGUUUCCCGAGAGCGACGAGUUCGCCUGUGAAUGGCCCACCGGACAGUCCGGUGCACCACCGGACCGACCGAUGAAUUUUAGCCAUACACCGCCGUCAAAGUCCCGAGAGCAGCCUGUUCGCCAGAGCCAGCCUGGCGCACCGGACACUGUCCUGUGCACCCAGACUGAGCAGACUUUGGCUGAACAAAGCCAUCUCAUUUUCAAUUCAAUUUCUCCUGUUUCCAGCACUUAGACACAAUACAUUAGUCCAUAAAACAAUGUACUAAGUCUAGAAACAUACCUUUUGACAAGAUUUGCACUUUGUCCGCCACUUUGCAUAGAUUAGCACAAAAGCACUUGUGUUGGCACUCAAUCACCAAAAUACUUAGAAAUGGCCCAAGGGCACAUUUCCCUUUCAAUCUCCCCCUUUUUGGUGGUUUAUGCCAACACAACAUAAAGUGACUAGAGCAAGCGCAAUAUCAAUGCAAAUGAAAACCAAAAGUUAUUUUGAAUCAAUUUUGGCAUAUAUGGAUCACUCUUUGCCACCACUUGGUUUGUUUUUGCAAAUCAAACUCAAAUUCCUAUCUCUAAGUCAAAUUCACUUGUAGAGACAUAAAGAGAGGUAUUCCAAAGGAAAUUGAUCAAGGAAUUCAAAAACUCCCCCUUUUUCCCAUAAUCAACACUUCUCCCCACAAGAGACCAAAUUUUGACACAAGAGACAAUAAAAGAGUUUUGACAAACCAAAAGCUCUAAUCUACCAUUUUCAAAAUUUCUCAAGUGGUAGCUGAUCCAUCUAUUGCUUUGGCCUUUAUUUUCUCCCCCUUUGGCAUCAAGCACCAAAACGGGAUCAAUCUUGGCCCUCGAACCCCAUUGCCUCACCAAAAUCUUCAAUAAGAAUGCAAAGGCAAUAAGAGUACAUGAGAUUAACUUGGAAUAAGUUACCCUCUCAUCGGAGUGCAGUGGAAGUCUUUUCAUGGUCCAAGUCCACCUUUUCCCUUUCAAACCUCCUUUGAGACUAAAUCAAGCAAACUCAAGCAAACGGUUAGUCUCAAAGGGUCAAGUUGUAACACAACUCCCCCUAAAUAUGUGCAUCACUUGCACACGGACUUGUGAGGUCCGAGGAGUGUUUGUACAACUUGAGCACCACAAGUAAGCAACAAAAAGCAUAAGGAACAUGAUCAAAGGCAUAAACACAUGUAUGUUAUAAAUCAAUCCAAGUUCCGCGAAUCUAGGAUAUUUAGCUCACUACGCAGCCUGCAAAAGGUCUUUUCAUCUAAAGGCUUAGUGAAGAUAUCGGCUAGCUGGUUCUCGGUGCUAACAUGAAACACUUCGAUAUCUCCCUUUUGCUGGUGGUCUCUCAAAAAGUGAUGUCGGAUGUCAAUGUGCUUUGUGCGGCUGUGCUCAACAGGAUUUUCCGCUAUUCGGAUAGCACUCUCAUUGUCACAUAGGAGUGGGACUUUGCUCAGAUUGUAGCCAAAGUCCCGGAGGGUUUGCCUCAUCCAAAGUAGUUGCGCACAACACUGUCCUGCGGCAACGUACUCGGCCCCAGCGGUAGAUAGGGCAACGGAAGUUUGUUUCUUAGAGUUCCAUGACACCAGGGACCUUCCUAAGAAUUGGCACGUCCCCGAUGUACUCUUCCUAUCGACCUUACAUCCAGCAUAGUCAGAGUCUGAAUAUCCAAUCAAGUCAUAGUUAGACCCCUUUGGAUACCAGAUCCCGAAGCAAGGUAUAGCGACUAAAUAUCGAAGAAUUCGCUUCACAGCCACUAAGUGACACUCCUUAGGAUCAGAUUGAAAUCUAGCACACAUGCAUACGCUAAGCAUAAUAUCUGGUCUACUAGCACAUAAAUAAAGCAAAGAACCUAUCAUGGACCGGUAUGCUUUUUGAUCAACGGACUUACCUCCUUUGUUGAGGUCGGUGUGUCCGUCAGUUCCCAUCGGCGUCUUUGCGGGCUUGGCGUCCUUCAUCCCAAACCGCUUUAGCAAGUCUUGCGUGUACUUUGUUUGGGAGAUGAAGGUGCCGUCCUUGAGUUGCUUCACUUGGAACCCAAGGAAGUAGUUCAACUCGCCCAUCAUCGACAUCUCGAAUUUCUACGUCAUCACCCUGCUAAACUCUUCACAAGACUUUUCGUUAGUAGAACCAAAUAUUAUGUCAUCGACAUAAAUUUGGCACACAAAAAGAUCACCAUCGCAAGUCUUAGUGAAAAGAGUUGGAUCGGCUUUCCCAACCUUGAAAGCAUUAGCAAUUAAAAAGUCUCUAAGGCAUUCAUACCAUGCUCUUGGGGCUUGCUUAAGUCCAUAGAGCGCCUUAGAGAGCUUACACACGUGGUCGGGGUACCGUUCAUCCUCGAAGCCAGGGGGUUGCUCCACGUACACCUCCUCCUUGAUCGGUCCAUUGAGGAAAGCGCUCUUCACAUCCAUUUGGUACAACCUGAAAGAAUGGUGAGCGGCAUAUGCUAGCAAAAUACGAAUUGAUUCUAGCCUAGCCACAGGAGCGAAAGUCUCCUCAAAGUCCAAACCUGCGACUUGGGCAUAACCUUUUGCCACAAGUCGAGCCUUGUUCCUUGUCACCACCCCGUGCUCGUCCUGUUUGUUGCGGAACACCCACUUGGUUCCCACAACAUUUUGCUUGGGGCGAGGCACCAGUGUCCAAACUUCAUUGCGCUUGAAGUUGUUGAGUUCCUCCUGCAUGGCCAACACCCAGUCCGGAUCCAGCAAGGCCUCUUCUACCCUGAAAGGCUCAAUGGAAGAGACAAAGGAGUAAUGCUCACAAAAAUUAACUAAUCUUGAACGAGUAGUUACUCCCUUGCUAAUAUCACCCAAUAUUUGGUCAACGGGAUGAUCCCUUUGAAUCGUCGCUCGAACUUGGGUUGGAGGUGUCUGAGGUGCUUCUUCCUCUUCAACUUGAACAUCCUGUGCUCCCCCUUGAUCAUGCGCCUCCACUUGAGGUACCUGUUCGUCAUCUUGGGUUGGGGGAUGCACCAUUGUUGAGGAAGAAGGUUGAUCUUGCUCCUUUUGUUCCAGUGGCCUCACAUCUCCAAUCGCCAUGGUGCGCAUUGCAGCCGUUGGAACGUCUUCUUCAUCUACAUCAUCAAGAUCAACAACUUGCUCUCUCGGAGAGCCAUUAGUCUCAUCAAAUACAACGUCGCUAGAGACUUCAACUAAACCCGAUGAUUUGUUGAAGACCCUAUACGCCUUUGUAUUUGAGUCAUAACCUAAUAAAAACCCUUCUACAGCUUUGGGAGCAAAUUUAGAAGUUCUACCUUUCUUCACAAGAAUAUAACACUUGCUCCCAAAUACACGAAAAUAAGACACAUUGGGUUUGUUACCAGUUAGUAGCUCAUAUGAAGUCUUCUUGAGGAGGCGGUGAAGAUAGACCCUGUUGAUGGCGUGGCAAGCCGUGUUCACGGCUUCCGACCAAAAACGCUCGGGGGUCUUGAACUCUUCAAGCAUAGUCCUCGCCAUAUCGAUGAGCGUCCUGUUCUUUCUCUCUACCACACCAUUUUGCUGAGGUGUGUAGGGAGCGGAGAACUUGUGCUUGAUCCCCUCCUCCUCAAGGAACUCCUCCACUUGAAGGUUCUUGAAUUCGGACCCGUUGUCGCUCCUUAUCUUCUUCACCUUGAGCUCAAACUCAUUUUGAGCUCUCCUAAGGAAGCGCUUGAGGGUCCCUUGGGUUUCAGAUUUAUCCUGCAAAAAGAAUACCCAAGUGAAGCGGGAAAAAUCAUCAACUAUAACAAGACCAUACUUACUUCCUCCUAUACUUAGAUAGGCGACGGGUCCGAAGAGGUCCAUAUGAAGCAUCUCCAAGGGUCUUGAUGUGGUCAUCACAUUUUUGGUGUGAUGAGAGCCUCCCACCUGUUUCCCUGCUUGACAAGCUGCACAAGGUCUAUCUUUUUCGAAAUGUACAUUAGUUAGACCUAUCACGUGUUCUCCCUUUAGAAGCUUGUGGAGGUUCUUCAUCCCCACAUGUGCUAAGCGGCGAUGCCACAACCAGCCCAUGCAAGUCUUAGCCAUUAAGCAUGCAUCUAGACCGGCCUCUUCUUUUGCAAAAUCAACCAAAUAAAGUUUGUCGUCUAGUACACCCUUAAAAGCUAGUGAACCAUCACAUCUUCUAAAGACAGACACAUCUACAUUUGUAAAUAGACAAUUAUAUCCCAUUUUGCAUAAUUGACUUACAGAUAACAAAUUAUAUCCAAGCGACUCAACUAAAAACACAUUAGAAAUAGAGUGCUCAGAUGAAAUAGCAAUUUUACCUAACCCUUUUACCUUGCCUUGGUUCCCAUCACCGAAUAUUAUUGAAUCUUGGGAAUCCUUGUUCUUGACGUAGGAAGAGAACAUCCUCUUUUCCCCCGUCAUGUGGUUCGUGCAUCCGCUGUCGAUAAUCCAGCUUGAACCCCCGGAUGCAUAAACCUGCAAGGCAAAUUUAGGCUUGGGUCUUAGGUACCCAACUCUUGUUGGGUCCUACAAUGUUAGUCACAAUUGUCUUAGGGACCCAAAUGCAAGUCUUAUCUCCCUUACAUUUGGCCCCUAACUUCCUAGCAAUCACCUUCUUAUUUUUUCUAUAAAUGGCAAAAGAAGCAUUGCAAGCAUGAUAUAUCGUAGAAGGUUCAUUAACUUUCCUAGGAAUAUUAACAACAUUUCUCCUAGGCGUAUUAUAAACAACAUUUUUCCUACCAACAUUUCUAUCAUGCACAUAGGAAGAACUAGAAGCAAACAUGGCAUGAGAAUCAAAAGCAUCAUAUGCAUUACAACUUCUAUAAGUAUUUCUAGUCUGUCUCCUAUCAUAGUACAUAAAAGCAUGGUUCUUUUUGGUACUACUAGCCAUAGGGGCCUUUCCUUUCUCCUUGGCGGAGAUGGGAGCCUUAUGGCUUGUUAAGUCCUUGGCUUCCCUCUUGAAGCCAAGUCCAUCCUUAAUUGAGGGGUGUCUACCAAUCGUGUAGGCAUCCCUUGCAAAUUUUAGCUUAUCGAAUUCACUUUUGCUAGUCUUAAGUUGGGCAUUAAGACUAGCUACUUCAUCAUUUAAUCUAGAAAUUGAAACUAGGUGUUCACUACAAGCAUCAAUAUCAAAAUCCUUACACCUAGUGCAAAUCACAACAUGUUCUACACAAGAUGUUAAUUUACUAGAUUUUUCUAACUUAGCAUUUAAAUCAUCAUUUAUGCUCUUUAAGCUAGAAAUUGUCUCAUGGCAAGUAGAUAUUUCGCAAGAAAGCAUAUCAUUUCGUUUAACUUCUAAAGCAAGUGAAUUUUGUGCACUAACAAAUUUAUCAUGCUCUUCAUACAACAAAUCCUCUUGCUUUUCUAAAAGUCUAUCCUUUUCAUUCAAGGCAUCAAUCAAUUCAUUAAUUUUAUCUAUUUUAGUUCUAUCCAAUCCCUUGAACAAACUAGAAUAAUCUAUUUCCUCAUCGCUAGACUCAUCAUUACUAGAAAAAUCAUAAGUGGUAUCCCGAGUACAUACCUUCUUCUCCUUCGCCAUGAGGCAUGUGUGACGCUCGUUGGGGAAGAGGGAUGACUUGUUGAAGGCGGUGGCGGCGAGUCCUUCAUUGUCGGAGUCGGAGGAGGAGCAAUCCGAAUCCCACUCCUUUCCUAGAUGUGCCUCGCCCUUGGCCUUCUUGUAAUUUUUCUUCUUUUCCCUCUUGCUCCCAUGUUCCUGGUCACUUUCAUUAUCAGGACAGUUAGUAAUAAAAUGACCAAUCUUACCGCAUUUGAAGCAUGAGCGCUUCCCCUUGGUUUUGGUCUUGCUUGGCUGUCCCUUGCGACCCUUAAGCGUCGUCUUGAAGCGCUUGAUGAUGAGAGCCAUCUCUUCAUCAUUGAGUCCUACCGCCUCAACUUGCGCCACCUUGCUAGGUAACGCCUCCUUGCUUCUCGUUGCCUUGAGAGCAACGGGUUGAGGCUCAUUGAUUGGACCAUUCAGUGCGUCGUCCACGUACCUCGCCUCCUUGAUCAUCAUUCGCCCGCUUACGAAUUUUCCAAGGACUUCUUCGGGCGACAUUUUGGUGUACCUGGGAUUCUCACGAAUAUUAUUCACCAAAUGAGGAUCAAGAACGGUAAAGGACCUUAGCAAUAGUCGGACGACGUCGUGGUCCAUCCAUCGCGUGCUUCCGUAGCUCCUUAUUUUGUUGAUAAGGGUCUUGAGCCGGUUGUAUGUUUGGGUUGGCUCCUCGCCCCUUAUCAUCGCAAAUCUUCCUAGCUCGCCUUCUACCAACUCCAUCUUGGUGAGCAAGGUGACGUCAUUCCCCUCAUGAGAGAUUUUGAGGGUGUCCCAGAUUUGCUUGGCAUUGUCCAAGCCGCUCACCUUAUGGUACUCGUCCCUGCACAAGGAGGCUAACAACACAGUAGUAGCUUGUGCAUUUCUAUGAAUCUGUUCAUUAAUAAAAAUAGGACUAUCCGAACUAUCAAACUUCAUUCCAUUCUCAACAAUCUCCCAUAUGCUUGGAUGGAGAGAGAACAAAUGACUACGCAUUUUGUGACUCCAAAAUUCGUAGUCCUCCCCAUCAAAGUGUGGAGGCUUGCCGAGAGGAAUAGAAAGUAAAUGUGAAUUUGAACUUUGAGGAAUACGCGAAUAAUCGAAAGAAAAGUUUGAGUUAACCGUCUUUCGUUUGUCGUAGUCGUGGUCGUCGUUGUCCUUAUGGGAAGAAGUGGAUUCAUCACUGUUGUCGUAGUAGACGAUCUCCUUGAUGCGUCUCGUCUUCUUCUUCCUUCCAUCUUUGCGUCUAUGGCCCGAGCCCGAGUCGGUAGGCUUAUCAUCCUUAGGCUCGAUGACGAAGGACUCCUUCUCUUUGUCGUUGAUCACGAUUCCCUUCCCCUUAGGAUCCAUCUCUUCGGGCGAUUAGUCCCUUUGUGAAGAGAACGGCUCUGAUACCAAUUGAGAGCACCUAGAGGGGGGGUGAAUAGGUGAUCCUGUAACACUUAAAACUUAGGCCACAAAAACUUGGUUAAGUGUUAGCGCAAUAACCGCCAAGUGGCUAGAGAGGAGUCUUCAACAAAACACAAUAACCACAAGAGAUCAAUCACAGAGAUGGCACGGUGGUUAUCCCGUGGUUCGGCCAAGACCAAUGCUUUCCUACUCCACGUUGUGGCGUCCCAACGGACGAGGGUUGCAAUCAACCCCUCUCAAGCGGUCCAAAGACCCACUUGAAUACCACGGUGUUUUGCUUGCUUUUCUUAAUCCCGUUUGAGAGGAAUCUCCACAACUUGGAGCCUCUCGCCCUUACACUUGAAGUUCACAAAGAAGCAUGGAGCAAGGGAGGGAUUAGCAACUCACACAAGACACAAAGAUCACAGCAAAAGCACACACACAAGACCCAGACUUAAGCUCAAGAGACUAGCACACUAGAACGGAGCUCAAAUCACUAGAAUGUCGAACAAGUGCGCAAGAAUGAAGUGUGAGUGAUCAAGAGUGCUCAAGGAAUGCUUUUUUUUCUCCUCCAUGCGCCUAGGGGUCCCUUUUAUAGCCCCAAGGCAGCUAGGAGCCGUUGAGAGCAAUCCUGGAAGGCAGAUCUUGCCUUCUGUCGACUGGCGCACUGGACAGUCCGGUGUACCACCGAACACUGUCCGGUGCAGAUAUCCUUCCUUAUUUGGUGAAGCCGACCGUUGGAGUCUGAGAGCCGUUAGCGCACCGGACACUGUCUGGUGCACACCGGACAGUCUGGUGCACCAAUGUGACUGUUGGCUCCACCACGCGUCACGCGCGGAAUCCUCGGCCGACCGUUGCCUCGGCUGACUGUUGACUCACCGGACAGUCCGGUGAACCACCGGACAGACCGGUGAAUUUUAGCCGUACGCCGUUAAUGGUUUCCCGAGAGCGACGAGUUCGCCUGUGAAUGGCCCACCGGACAGUCCAGUGCACCACCGGACCGACCGGUGAAUUUUAGCCGUACACCGCCGUCGAAGUCCCGAGAGCAGCCUGUUCGCCAGAGCCAGCCUGGCGCACCGGACACUGUCUGGUGCACCACCGGACAGUCCGGUGCACCCAGACUGAGCAGACUUUGGCUGAACAAAGUCAUCUCAUUUUCAAUUCAAUUUCUCCUGUUUCCAGCACUUAGACACAAUACAUUAGUCCAUAAAACAAUGUACUAAGUCUAGAAACAUACCUUUUGACAAGAUUUGCACUUUGUCCACCACUUUGCAUAGAUUAGCACAAAAGCACUUGUGUUGGCACUCAAUCACCAAAAUACUUAGAAAUGGCCCAAGGGCACAUUUCCCUUUCAACCACACCCUUGACGAGUUGGGCAAGGUUCGGACGGAGGUUGCGGAAUUGCGUGCUGAGUGCGUGGCACGCCACUAUCUUGAUGGUGGUUCUCCCGCCCCUGUAGGGAUUCAGCACCCUUACCGUUCACCGUCCCGUGGUCGCCUCGACUAUGGUACCCCAGACUGCAGGACCCACAUAGAUUUAGAUCCAUAGAUCGAUGGAGUCGGAGUCUGUAAUAAUGCUUACUUCAGUGUCUUAGUCUAGUUAGUCUUAGUUCGAGUUAGUUUGCUUAUCAUAUGUUGAAAUGCUUGUCAUGAUGAACAUGUAAUGAAGUUGGAUCUUUGUAAUGAUUGUCAUCAAGCUGUGGGUAUCCCCUAUAACUUGGUGUAGUUAUUAGUAAAGUCAGUUAUUUAGUUGGGUAAUCCAUGUGUUUCCACUUCCCUCUUUAUUUGAGAAGCUAUCAGUGAAGAUGAUCAAUUGUUCAGUGCUAUGAAGAUUUUCGUAUAUCUUUUCUUAUGCUGAAAGACUGCAGAGUCAGGUCUAAUAUGUGUGUGAUUUCUAUAGAUGUCUGAGAACAGGCGCAGAGGUGCGAGGCGUGCUCAGCCAGAACAGCAGGCACCCCAGGAGGAUGCAGCUCAGCAGCAACAGUUGCCACUGCCACCCCCGAUGACAGUCGAGCAGAUGUUCAUGAUGUAAAAUCAGGCAGUUUAGGCAAUUGGUCAGACCUUAACAGCGAUGCAGCAGGUGCAGCAGCAGCCACCCCUGCCUCAGCCUCAAGUGCAAGUCCAGAUGCCACGGUGCCCAGAGACAAGCGAGCAGAGUUCAUGAGGGGCCAUCCCCUGUCUUUGCCCACUCAGCAGAUCCCAUGGACAUGGAAGAUUGGUUGCGUACCGUGGAGCGAGUUGCACACUACCCAGUACAACGAUCAUGAGAAGGUGUUGUAUGGUCCCCGACAGCUGAGGGGAGCAGCCUAGUCUUGGUGGGAGUCUUACCUCGCCACCCAUGCCAACCCUAAAGCCAUUACUUGGGAGGAGUUCAGGGACAACUUCUAUCGCUACCAUGUGCCCGAAGGACUGAUGAUAGUGAGGAAGGAGAAGUUUCUCGCCCUGAAGCAAGGUCCCCUGUCCGUCAGUGAGUACAGGGAUUAGUUUUUGCAACUAUUACGCUACGCCCCAGAAGAUGUUAACACGGAUGCUAAGAGGUAGUACCACUUUCUGAGAGGAUUGGUUGAUCACCUCCACUACCAUCUGAUGAACCACACUUUCUCCACCUUCCAGCAUUUGAUAGAUAGAGCAAUUAUGACUGAGAGGAAGCGUCGGGAGAGGGAGGAUAGGAAGUGCAAGAUUGGAGGACCUCAGGCCAGGAGUAGCAGUCGUCCCUGCUACUCAAUCAACUCGCCCCAGCAAUUCAAGCAAGGUCACCAGCACCAGCAUCAGCAUCAACGUUAGCACCAGCACCAGUACCAGAGGCGGUUUCCUCAGCAGCAGCAGUACCGUUAGAACACCCAGCCUGGAGGAAAUCAGUACCAGCGUCAGAACAACCAGGCAACUCGCCUUCCUGCCCAGCAACCAACCAGAAUGGCCAAGCAGCCCCAGCACAACUAGGAGGUCAUGCAUGCUUCUACUAUGGAGAACAAAACCAUUGGACGAAGAAUUGUCCCAAGAAAGCAGCUCAGCAGCCACCAGCAGUCAAUGCCCCAGCAAGACAAGGAGCACCACAGCAAGCACCAAGAGUCCGUGGUUAGGCCUACAACCAUGGAAAGGUGAACCACCUGGAGACCGAAGCAAUCCAGGAUGCUUAGGACAUGGCAGUAGGUAUGUUUCCAGUCGAAUACUUGAAUCCUACCCAGCAAAAGUAUUAUUUGAUACUGGUGCCACGCAUUCUUUUGUUUCUACAUCUUGGGUAGAAUCACAUAACAUCCCCAUAGAACCAAUGAUCCCACCUCUAAGAGUUAAUUCAGUUGGGGGAAAAGUUCAGUCCGAUAGGAUUUGUCCGAGUCUAAGGAUUGAAAUAAGGGGGAUAGACUUCCCUGCUAGCCUAGUAGUAAUGGGAACUCAAGGGUUAGAUGUCAUCCUAGGGAUGAAUUGGCUACACAGAAAUCAAACUACUGUCAAUUGUGAUAAGAGAACAGUUAAGUUGGUGUCCCCGUCCGGAAAGGAAGUAGUAACCAAGUUGUACUUACCUGAACUAGAAGGAGCCAGUCACCAUUUAUCAGUAGAUGACAAGGAGUCCAAUCCAAUUGAGGCAAUUAGGAUUGUGUCAGAAUUCCCCGAUGUAUUCCCUGAGGAGUUACUAGGCAUGCCACCUGAAAGGAAAGUUGAAUUUGCCAUAGAGCUUAUCCUAGGCACAACCCCUAUUUCCAAGAGAGUUUAUCGAGUGUCUGGACCAGAGUUGGUGGAACUCAAGAAGCAGAUUGAUGAGUUGUUGGAGAAAGGCUACAUCAGACCAAGUACCUCACCGUGGGCAGCCCCAGUAUUAUUUGUGGAGAAGAAGGAUGGUACGAAGAGGAUGUGCAUCGAUUACAGAGCUUUGAAUGAAGUCACUGUCAAGAAUAAGUACCCCCUGCCCAAAAUUGAAGAUUUAUUUGAUCAGUUGAGAGGAGCCAGUGUGUUCUCCAAGAUAGAUCUGGGGUCAGGCUACCAUCAGCUCAAAAUCUGACCCGCAGACAUAUCGAAGACAGCAUUCAUCACCAAGUAUGGACUAUAUGAGUUCAUGGUUAUGUCAUUCGGACUGAUGAAUGCGCCAGCUUACUUCAUGUAUCUGAUGAACAGUGUGUUCAUGGACUACCUCGACAAGUUCAUAGUGGUGUUCAUUGAUGAUAUUCUCGUAUAUUCCCAGAAUGAGCAAGAGCAUGAGGAACAUUUGAGGAAAGUACUUCAAAGGCUACGAGAUUGCCAGUUGUAUGCCAAGCUUAGCAAGUGUGAGUUCUAGAUCAGUGAAGUUCUGUUCUUGGGUCAUAUUAUAAACCGAGAUGGACUAGCUGUGGAUCCAAAGAAGGUAGCAGCGAUUCUGGACUAGAAAGCACCAAAAGAUGUCCGAGGAAUCAAGAGUUUCAUUGGAAUGGUCGGUUAUUAUCGGCGUUUCAUUGAGGGUUUCUCCAUGAUUGCUAGACCAAUGACAGCCCUUCUAGCAAAUAAGGUUGAUUUCAAGUGGACCCCAGCGUGCUAAGAAUCAUUUGAGAUGUUGAAGCAGAAGUUGACAACAGCACCAGUGUUAGUUCUGCCAGAUGUUCACAAGCCAUUCAGUAUACUAUGAUGCUUCGUACACUGGACUAGGAUGUGUGUUAAUGCAGGAAGGGAAAGUAGUGGCAUACUAGUCCCGACAAUUGAAAGUUCAUGAGAAGAACUACCCCACUCAUGAUUUGGAGCUAGCAGCAGUGGUUCAUGCAUUGAAGACCUGGAGACAUUAUCUUUAUGGGCAGAAGUGUGAUAUCUACACGGACCACAAGAGCCUCAAGUACAUAUUCACUCAGUCAGAGCUAAACAUGAGGCAGCGAAGAUGGCUAGAAUUGAUCAAAGAUUAUGAGUUGGAGAUCCAUUAUCACCCAGGCAAAGCAAAUGUGAUUGUAGAUGCUCUUAGCAGGAAGAGUCAAGUCAAUAUGUUGGCCGCUCACCCGAUGCCGUUCGAACUAGCAAAAGAAUUUGACAGGCUGAGUCUCGGAUUUCUGAACAACACUUAAGGAGUGGCAAUUGAACUAGAGCCCACUCUAGAGCAAGACAUCAGGAAAGGUCAGAAGGAGGAUGAGAAGAUCAACGAGAUCCGACAGCUAAUCAUAGAUGGGAAAGGUCUAGAUUUCCGUGAAGACGCCGAAGGAGUGGUGUGGUUCAAGGAUAGGCUAUGCGUUCCCGACAUCAAAUUGAUCCGAGAACUGAUUCUCAAGGAAGCUCAUGAGACAGCGUAUUCUAUACACCCUGGUAGCGAGAAAAUGUAUCAAGACUUGAAGAAGAGAUUCUGGUGGUAUGGUAUGAAAAGAGAGAUAGCAGAGUAUGUGGCCAGAUGCGACAGCUGUCAGAGGAUCAAGGCAGAACAUCAGAGACCCGCAGGCUUGUUGCAGCCGUUGUAGAUUUUCUGAACAACAUCAGAGUAGGUGGCGGAGCGAAACCCUGUGCGGCGCCAAGGCUCUGCAUAUACUGGAACAUCUCUGCCAUCCUCUGAUGAUCUGCCAGGCGAGCCUCCCGCUCCGCCAUUAUCCUCGCCUCCAUCUCUUGACGUUCCCUCCUCUCUUCUUCUAGUUGGGUCUGUAAUAUUACAAGCCAACGUUAUAGUAACUCAAAGAGAAGGUAUAUAACUCAAGGAAGGACGAGUUACAUAAGCACUAACCUCGAGUUGCUGUAUGCGAUGCUGUGAGCUAUCGUGCUGAGGUCGUAUGGCUGGACUCGAUCCCGUGCUCCUUGCUCGCACUUGAGACAGAGUGGGAGUGGAGGACGAGUCGAUUGCCCUGUCGGCAAUCCAGUACCGCCCAUGUCUCUUGCCUCCUCCGACCCUCGUGAGCACAUCGGGUUCGAUCUGCUCGGUGCUCGGAUCAUAUUCUGGGCCAUGGACCUCCUGCGCCAUGGCAGUGUAGUCAUGAAGGCGGCUGUAGACGGCAGGGUUGGUGUAGGCCUCGGGCCCAUCAUCCGGGCUGUAGGUGACGUCGGACGUCGCCUUGCCCUUAUGGGCCAUAGCAUAGGCCGAGAAGAUGGAGCAAGGCCAGCCACCAUGUGACGCCGACUGCAAGAAAACCAAUGAGAUAGUUAGAAAUAAUAUCUAAUCCAGUGUUAUAUACCUAAAUAAAAAAGAGGGCGUACCCAUGCUUCUGCAUAUUGGCCUAGGCUCCGGCUGUCUUGGUGGUGGGAGGGACCUUGCAUCAUCAUACGCCGUUCCCGGCUAGCGUUGUGCGCCUCGUCCCACUCAGCCGAACACCACCUAUCCACCAUCUGCUCCUAGCACAGAGGAUGUGUGGCGCACCAAUGUGGAAUCAUCUACAAAGUAAACACGUAAAGUGCAUAUCAGAAGAUAAAAUAAAAUUCAUGCAUGGAGUACUGGUACCAAACAUGCAUGACUUUACCUGCAGGUACCGGUCCCUGGUCAAUGACAUGGUUCGGGCUUGCUGCUUGGUCACCUUCUCCCCAAGGACGGAGCCGUGGUAGCUGACGAUGGCCUGGAUUCAGGCCUCAUAGUGCAUGUCCACGACGAGCUUCUUACAGCUCGUGGUGGCCACCACAUCCGCCCUAGCCUCGUAUCCAGCCUCGCAUCUGAAGAAAUCCUGCAUACAAAAUGUCACACCCGGAUUUUAGGGGUCCAAAACCCGGGCGCGAACAUAAUCACCAGGUGUGCUGGGACCAAGUCUCACACAUAUGAUGAAUCAUGGCACAGGAUCGAAUGUCACAUCUUUACUACAUAACAGGAGUUCUAUACAAAAUAAAUAAUUACAUUAUAAGGAGACAACGGUCCAGCAACCCAAAGUUGACUGGGAGACGACGACCUAGAUCUCUCUCACGAACUCAUCGCAGCAUCCUCCAUGUGCCUCAUCCUGCGGUACCUGUUCUUGACCUGUGGGGGGUGUGAGACAGCAAGAGUGAGCUCACAUACGUUCAUCGCUCAACAAGUUGUGGGGAAUAAUGUGCAUGAACUCGCCAAAGGUGGGAGCUCACGUGAAGUGUAAGGCUUACCAAAGAGUAUGGUUAGAGCUGAGCAUUGCUUUUAAAGUUGGUCAAAAUUUUAUUAGCAAUUACUAAGUAUAAGUAAAUACCAACCCAAUUAAAUAGUAGAACAGAAGUAACAACAUCACCUGCGAUGCAAUGCAUAUGACAAAUUGAAUUUAAGUUCCAUAAAUUAAUCAUGUGAGGGUCCGAGCUGCUCAUGACCGUCAGCACGGCUAGUAUACCAGUUUUACACUCUGCAGAGGUUGCGCAUCUUUACCCACAAGUCAUGUUACCCAUCUGCCAAGGGAUCACGACUUCCCAUACACCUCUACCGAGGAGGCGAGGCAGGGUAACACUACGAGGCCUUUACAAAGUUCCACUAGCUUCAGAAAACCCGCUACAGUUUAUAGGAAGCUCCAAUGCAGGAAUCCCUUGCAGGACCGCCAUCGCAGCAAAAUCCUCCCGAGGGCCUCCCUACACUGACCACUCCCCUACUGCCCUUGCCCCUUUCGGGUAAGGUAGUCCUCCACUAGCUUUCCUAAUUAAUCAGCCAAGGGCAUCCCAUUAUACCCUUGUGGUAGCACUGUUUUCCCGGGUGGUCGCUCCAUGUUCCAAUUAACAUAAUGAUCUUACCAUGAACAGUAAAUAGCAACUGAUAACAAAAGUAUGAAUAAUAUGUAUCUCAAUGCCCAAAUCCACAUAUAGCACUAGCAAGUACUACCCAGAAAGUUUAGUGGUAAACAAGGCAUAAAGAUAGACAAACUAGGGUAACCUAUUAGGUCCCAUCAAAAUUAACCUAUGCAGAUCAUUAUGAUUAAUUAGAACAUGAGUGGGUAAAAAGAAGUGAUCAAGGGCACAACUUGCCUGGGACUUGAGAUUCUAGGUACCAACUUGCUCUUCAGAUGACACGUGACCUCACUGCUAUCGUAGCAAUACAAACAAACAUGUAUAGACAAAAUUAACAUCACACCAAACACAAGAAUAAACUACAUAAUAAUAAUUUACAUGUUGUAACGAGAUCGUGGGUUCGAAAACUGCUAAAUUCGGAGUUAUGGUUACGAAGUUAUGAAUUUCCGAAGUUAUUAAGCACCUAGAAUAGAUUAAUUUUAAAUGAACAAUUUUAAUUCAAGUUUUAUGGUAAAACAGUGUUACUAUUUGAUAGAUAAUAUUAAAACAAAAUUAUUACAACUGGAAUGAAUCCAUUUGUAGCCAAAAUGAAUUAAAUAUGGAUUUCACAAGUUUCUAGUAUUGUUUUUGUAUUAAAAAUCAUUUUCUAAAAUAUAUUAUGAAUUUCCUCAGGCUUAUGGACUGCGGACACCAUUUUCCAGAAGCCCAGGGGGCUCUGCAUAAUUUCCAGGACUAAACGGUAAUGGUCUUAACACUAACUUGGACGGCGGGUUAGUUUAAGAAAAGCCGAGGGGCCUACUUGCAACACCGCACGGCCGAAAGGGUACGGGCCAACUGGGGCCGCCCGAUGAAGGCUCAAGGGCCCAGAUUAGAUUCAGAACUUUAAGCGAACCGUUAAGCGUUGGUGGUCGCCCGAUCCGAGAUCUACGGAUCGGAUUUAAAAUACCCAAGGUGGCUUCGAAUGCGCCCGAUCCCCAUCCAACGGUCCGGAUCAACCUCACGCAGAACGUUUACUCAGAUCCAAUCUAAGCCUUUGAUCUACCGAUUGGUGGUCACGAUUUAACGCAGCAGGAGGUAUACACGACUCCAAAUCUGGUGCGCCCGUUGAGCAUCCAACGGCCGAGGUCGAACCAACCUCCCAUUGUCCUGAGUCCGGUGCCGCCGACGACCAGCGCGGUGGCGCCAUCGCCGGUGAAGGUCAGGACACGAUUCUAGCGCGUAAACUCUCAGAGUAUCGGUGUUACAUGUGAAGGAGACGAUGGCGAACUCAAGAGAGGGGCACUUACCGACUGUGGUGAUAGAGACGAGGUCAGCCACGACGAUUGGCGGCACCCGAGCUACGGUGAGCAAUUCACCGAGACUUGGUUACGCCCCGAGUUCCGAUGCCCAUUGUAAAGUCUCCACGAAGCUCGAGGAUGUCCUUAAACCCGAAAGCGAGAACGCGACGACCGUGUAGGCUUGAUUAUCCUACGGCGGAUCUAUGGUGGCGGCGGCGCUCUCGAGGGUUGAUGGAGGAUGGCUCAGGGGAGAUGCCAGGGCUUAUAUACAAGAGGUGAUCUCGCAGCCCGCCCUUCAACAACCCGAGCAUUGCGCGAGAGAUACGGAAAAAUCCAUUGGGGUUGGGGGUGCGGCAUACAGAGUCCGAGCCAUGAAUACACGCGUUCGGUUGGGUUUGACGGAAGGAAGAAGAUACGCCGGACAGACGGGGCCCACAUGCCAGCGAUACAAACGCACAGCGUGUAACGAUCCCGGCCCAAGUGGCCCACCUGGCGGUGAGGGGUACCGAGUGUGAGUGAUAAGCCGCAGCACAAGCGACCAGAGGCUGACAUGGUGGAUCCCACAUGUCACAGGCACGAAAGAAAAAGAAAAGGGGAGGGAGUAGAGUGGGCUGGCGCAGGGGAACUUAGCGCAGUGGGCCGAAAACGGCCCAAGGGUUAAGAGAGAGUUCACCCUUUUAUUUUCUUUGGAUUUCUAUUUUCCUUUCUUAUUUCCAUUUCAAAUCAGACCAAGUUUUACAUUCUGAAUUUCAAAUUUAUGCACAGAAAAAAAAACUCCACAUGAUGCACAAUUUCUACAUAUUAUUUCUUUAUUUAUUUUAUUAUUAUUUUAAUUAGGUAAUGUUUUCAACAUGAAGUACACACCACAUUAUAGCAAUAUAUUAUUAUUUGAGUGUGUGGUCAAAUUAAAGGUAUAUUCAGAAAUUCUUCAUUUGUUUUGUUAGCAACAUUUUUUUCCAAUGUCUAAUCUCUAUUAUGAUUUAUUUUAACCAUCGUUAUUUUAUUAUGAUCAUUUACCUUUUAAAAAAAAGUGAAUUAUAAAGUUUAAUUAUUUAUCAAGGGUACUUUGCUUAGAUUUCUUCUUUCAAUCCCAAAUUCAAAAUUUGGGUGUUACAAAUCCUACCCCCCUUAAAAAUAAUCUCGUCCUCGAGAUUUGUAAGAAAAGGGAUAUAAUAGGUUUGGUCUAGAAUUUUAGUUUCUCAUUUGGUUUUGGGAAUCAAAGUUUUGUUCAAGUUUUUUUUUAACAGUUAGUAGAUGAUAUGAAUAUUGUAUGUCUAGAUAUUCAUUAGGUCAGGUACGGUUAUGGCAAGUAGAGGUUGUGGCAAGGGUAUAAUAAGGAAAGACUUCAUCCUAAACUAUGGAUCUUGAUUCCGCUGGCGAUUCAACUUGAUCUUUGAAGUCUUGAGUUGAUGCUUAUCCUUCUUUGACAUGGUUGGUCUUCUUUGGCCUUUAUUUCUUGGAGUUGUCAUCCGAGUUAAGGACAUAUGGCUAGGACAUAUGUGAGUAGGAUGGAUUGUAUGGUGUAGGUAGGUUAGAAUCUCUUGCUAGGUUAAAAUUGUGGGGUUAUGCAACUAUUGGAUGGUUAAGGUAGUUGCAUAUGGCCAAGUCGAUCUGUCAUUGUUAAUUUAGUGCAGGGUGAACUAAGUUAAGACCCGUUCUAUAGGAGUAGAGUUUAAUCUAUUUCAUCAGUAUUAUCUAACAUGUUUGAUAAGUCACUUUAGAUUAGAUCAGAUUUAGGUUAGAUUGGUGUGACUUGUUUGACUAGAUAAGAUCUUAUUUAUUUUAGGCUAGAUCAUGGUUGUUACACUAGCGUGGGAUAAAUAUGCUUAUUGGGGUAAGAUGAAUCCAUAAGGAUAAGGUAGAAUCUUUUGAGGUCAGAUAGAUCUAUUAGGAUAAGAUAAAUCUAUUAAGUUAAGAGAAUAUCUUUUAAGAUAAGAAGGAUCUUAUGAAGCUAGAUAUAUUUUAAUGGAGGAUAUUCUUAGUUGAUCUGGUUAUAUUAUGAUUUCUUAUGCCUUUAUGUAUAUGCAGAUGGAAUUGUGGACAUUACUCCACAACUCAUCACACUCAAUCAAAAAUCCAAAUCAGACAAAUAUCAUAAGAACAAACAUUCAAGUGCAUAGAUAAAAUAGUUUUGUUUUUAUUCCUAUGAGUAGGUCUCCUAUUCCUAAAGGUCACUUUAGGCACAGGAUUUCAAUGUGUGAAAUCCACAUUGGUCUUUAGAAGGAACAGGUAAGAAUAAUCAGAGUAAAGCGGAAAUAGAUGAGAAAAGAUUUAAGGAAAGUUUAGAAAGAAUCAGAGUGGCAAAGGUAAGUAAAGAAUGGUUGUCCAGUUCUAUCUAGGUUUCGUCCUACAGUCAACAUUCCUCUGAUACCACUUCUGUCACACCCGGAUUUUAGGGGUCCAAAACCCGGGCGCGAACAUAAUCACCAGGUGUGCUGGGACCAAGUCUCACACAUAUGAUGAAUCAUGGCACAGGAUCGAAUGUCACAUCUUUACUACAUAACAGGAGUUCUAUACAAAAUAAAUAAUUACAUUAUAAGGAGACAACGGUCCAGCAACCCAAAGUUGACUGGGAGACGACGACCUAGAUCUCUCUCACGAACUCAUCGCAGCAUCCUCCAUGCGCCUCAUCCUGCGGUACCUGUUCUUGACCUGUGGGGGGUGUGAGACAGCAAGAGUGAGCUCACAUACGUUCAUCGCUCAACAAGUUGUGGGGAAUAAUGUGCAUGAACUCGCCAAAGGUGGGAGCUCACGUGAAGUGUAAGGCUUACCAAAGAGUAUGGUUAGAGCUGAGCAUUGCUUUUAAAGUUGGUCAAAAUUUUAUUAGCAAUUACUAAGUAUAAGUAAAUACCAACCCAAUUAAAUAGUAGAACAGAAGUAACAACAUCACCUGCGAUGCAAUGCAUAUGACAAAUUGAAUUUAAGUUCCAUAAAUUAAUCAUGUGAGGGUCCGAGCUACUCAUGACCGUGAGCACGGCUAGUAUACCAGUUUUACACUCUGCAGAGGUUGCGCAUCUUUACCCACAAGUCAUGUUACCCAUCUGCCAAGGGAUCGCAACUUCCCAUACACCUCUACCGAGGAGGCGAGGCAGGGUAACACUACGAGGCCUUUACAAAGUUCCACUAGCUUCAGAAAACCCGCUACAGUUUAUAGGAAGCUCCAAUGCAGGAAUCCCUUGCAGGACCGCCAUCGCAGCAAAAUCCUCCCGAGGGCCUCCCUACACUGACCACUCCCCUACUGCCAUUGCCCCUUUCGGGUAAGGUAGUCCUCCACUAGCUUUCCUAAUUAAUCAGCCAAGGGCGUCCCAUUAUACCCUUGUGGUAGCACUGUUUUCCCGGGUGGUCGCUCCAUGUUCCAAUUAACAUAAUGAUCUUACCAUGAACAGUAAAUAGCAACUGAUAACAAAAGUAUGAAUAAUAUGUAUCUCAAUGCCCAAAUCCACAUAUAGCACUAGCAAGUACUACCCAGAAAGUUUAGUGGUAAACAAGGCAUAAAGAUAGACAAACUAGGGUAACCUAUUAGGUCCCAUCAAAAUUAACCUAUGCAGAUCAUUAUGAUUAAUUAGAACAUGAGUGGGUAAAAAGAAAUGAUCAAGGGCACAACUUGCCUGGGACUUGAGAUUCCAGGUACCAACUUGCUCUUCAGAUGACACGUGACCUCACUGCUAUCGUAGCAAUACAAACAAACAUGUAUAGGCGAAAUUAACAUCACACCAAACACAAGAAUAAACUACAUAAUAAUAAUUUACAUGUUGUAACGAGAUCGUGGGUUCGAAAACUGCUAAAUUCGGAGUUAUGGUUACGAAGUUAUGAAUUUCCGAAGUUAUUAAGCACCUAGAAUAGAUUAAUUUUAAAUGAACAAUUUUAAUUCAAGUUUUAUGGUAAAACAGUGUUACUAUUUGAUAGAUAAUAUUAAAACAAAAUUAUUACAACUGGAAUGAAUCCAUUUGUAGCCAAAAUGAAUUAAAUAUGGAUUUCACAAGUUUCUAGUAUUGUUUUUGUAUUAAAAAUCAUUUUCUAAAAUAUAUUAUGAAUUUCCUCAGGCUUAUGGACUGCGGACACCAUUUUCCAGAAGCCCAGGGGGCUCUGCAUAAUUUCUAGGACUAAACGGUAAUGGUCUUAACACUAACUUGGACAGCGGGUUAGUUUAAGAAAAGCCGAGGGGCCUACUUGCAACAUCGCACGGCCGAAAGGGUACGGGCCAACUGGGGCCGCCCGAUGAAGGCUCAAGGGCCCAGAUUAGAUUCAGAACUUUAAGCGAACCGUUAAGCGUUGGUGGCCGCCCGAUCCGAGAUCUACGGAUCGGAUUUAAAAUACCCAAGGUGGCUUCGAAUGCGCCCGAUCCCCAUCCAACGGUCCGGAUCGACCUCACGCAGAACGUUUACUCAGAUCCAAUCUAAGCCUUUGAUCUACCGAUUGGUGGUCACGAUUUAACGCAGCAGGAGGUAUACACGACUCCAAAUCUGGUGCGCCCGUUGAGCAUCCAACGGCCGAGGUCGAACCAACCUCCCAUUGUCCUGAGUCCGGUGCCGCCGACGACCAGCGCGGUGGUGCCAUCGCCGGUGAAGGUCAGGACACGAUUCUAGCGCGUAAACUCUCAGAGUAUCGGUGUUACAUGCGAAGGAGACGAUGGCGAACUCAAGAGAGGGGCACUUACCGACUGUGGUGAUAGAGACGAGGUCAGCCAUGACGAUUGGCGGCACCCGAGCUACGGUGAGCAAUUCACCGAGACUUGGUUACGCCCCGAGUUCCGAUGCCCAUUGUAAAGUCUCCACGAAGCUCGAGGAUGUCCUUAAACCCGAAAGCAAGAACGCGACGACCGUGUAGGCUUGAUUAUCCUACGGCGGAUCUAUGGUGGCGGCGGCGCUCUCGAGGGUUGAUGGAGGAUGGCUCAGGGGAGAUGCCAGGGCUUAUAUACAAGAGGUGAUCUCGCAGCCCGCCCUUCAACAACCCGAGCAUUGCGCGAGAGAUACGGAAAAUCCAUUGGGGUUGGGGGUGCGGCAUACGGAGUCCGAGCCAUGAAUACACGCGUUCGGUUGGGUUUGACGGAAGGAAGAAGAUACGCCGGACAGACGGGGCCCACAUGCCAGCGAUACAAACGCACAGCGUGUAACGAUCCCGGCCCAAGUGGCCCACCUGGCGGUGAGGGGUACCGAGUGUGAGUGAUAAGCCGCAGCACAAGCGACCAGAGGCUGACAUGGUGGAUCCCACAUGUCACAGGCACGAAAGAAAAAGAAAAGGGGAGGGAGUAGAGUGGGCUGGCGCAGGGGAACUUAGCGCAGUGGGCCGAAAACGGCCCAAGGGUUAAGAGAGAGUUCACCCUUUUAUUUUCUUUGGAUUUCUAUUUUCCUUUCUUAUUUCCAUUUCAAAUCAGACCAAGUUUUACAUUCUGAAUUUCAAAUUUAUGCACAGAAAAAAAACUCCACAUGAUGCACAAUUUCUACAUAUUAUUUCUUUAUUUAUUUUAUUAUUAUUUUAAUUAGGUAAUGUUUUCAACAUGAAGUACACACCACAUUAUAGCAAUAUAUUAUUAUUUGAGUGUGUGGUCAAAUUAAAGGUAUAUUCAGAAAUUCUUCAUUUGUUUUGUUAGCAACAUUUUUUUUUCCAAUGUCUAAUCUCUAUUAUGAUUUAUUUUAACCAUCGUUAUUUUAUUAUGAUCAUUUACCUUUUAAAAAAAAGUGAAUUAUAAAGUUUAAUUAUUUAUCAAGGGUACUUUGCUUAGAUUUCUUCUUUCAAUCCCAAAUUCAAAAUUUGGGUGUUACACAAAAAUGAUGUAUCCAUACAUUAUUUAAAGAAUUUGCAACGAAUGCGACAUAUUUUACAUUAUACUAAGACUUACCCACAGAUCUUGCUUCACCCACUCCGCCUUGUUAUUGAAUUCCCGGCCGUCCCGGUCUACUGCAUCGGGGGCGACGGCGUAGUGGUCGAAGGUGUAGGCUGGACCCGUCACUCUGGCGUACUCAACCAGUCCAGGGAAGUGUUCCCUGCACAGCAGGCCGAGAAUGCCAUUGGGGAGGCGACGAUGACCCCCAGCAUAAUCCACAACCGUCCAAGACCUAUCCAAGUGAUAAAUAAAAAGUAUUAGUUUAUAUUAUGAUUUUGAACACAUAAUAUGAACAAGAAUGAAGAACAUAAAGUUACAUGCCUCUCCCCAUCCGGCCGAAUCAGUGGCCGCCUGUCCCGAAGUAUGGGACGCUGAGGGAGACUCACGGGACCUCACAGGUAGAUGCUCCUCGAACCUGAGGCGCCAGAACCUGAGGCGGUCUGCUAAGCUUCGUCGUUGUCCUGUUGCUGGUCGUUGUCAUCCUACUGCGCCGCCUGCUGCUGGACAAGGUCAUCCUGCUGCGCCGCCUGCUGUGCCUCGUCCUGCUCUGCCUCAUUCGCUAUCCUGCUCCUCCUCCCCCUCCUCCUCAGCCAACUGCCCUGUAAGGAAAAUGGACCCCGGGCCAUUUGGCUAAUUGAGUUUUGGUGUUUGAUGAACAACACAAUCCAUGAACUAAUAAGUUUUCUAGUGUUUGUGUUUGUAGUUCACAGGAUGCAAGAUGUACUUGGACUAAGGAAUUGAGGAAAGCAACACCUCAAAAGAAGACAUUAAGAAGAUCCAAGAAAAGUCCAAGUGUGCUGCUGCGGACUGUCUGUGCGAGGCGCACCGGACUGUCCGGUGGACUAUGGAACACCAGCCCAACGGCUAGUUCCAGGUGGCACUCGGAGAGAAGACCACUGGACUGUCCGGUGUGAGCACUAGACUGUCCGGUGUGGAAAAGCCUGCGGCGCCAACGGUCACCUACUCUGACAGAGCAACGGCUAGGCGCACCGGACAGGCUAUAGUGCGCUGUCCGGUGCACCACCGGACUGUCUGGUGUGCCGCAGAGAACUGCAGCUUUUGUCCAACGGCUAUUUUGGAGUUGGGGCCUAUAUAUACUUCACCUAAUCAGCCAUUUGAAGGUGUGGGAGCCCAAGCAACAUACCAAGGCAUAUAGUGCAUAUUUCCAAGAGCUCAAACACCCAAGUUCUUAAUAGAAUCACUCGGUGAUUAGCUUAGGUGCUUUGCGAAGUGCUUAGGUUAGUUAGACCGCUUUAGCGCUUGCUCUAGGUGAACCCUAGUUAGUUGAGUGAGUUUAGACAAACCACACAACCCCUCGGCUCUUGCGUGAGUCGUUGUAAUUGUACCGAGUGGGGCGAGAGUCUUGCGAGACCGUGACAACCGCGUUUGUGUCACGGCCGCCACCGUGUACCAGAGGGAACGAGGCACGCGGCGUUUCGGCCGGAAGCUCGAUAGUGGAGACGGCGGGGAGCGUCCGAGAGGAGCCGGAAGAGGAGAACCACUUGCGCGUGGAGAAGGCCUGUGGCUCUCUACGGAGUUACUCGACCGUGGUGCUUGGCCCUCGCGUGGGCUUCCCUUUGCGUAGGGGCACCAACGAGGUUUAGUCGGGACCUUGCGUGGUUCCGGAUACCUCAGUAAAAAUACCAGCGUCAUCCACGAGAGUUUGCUUCUCUACUUUGCUCUUUAAGUUUCCGCAUUUAUAUUAAGCAUUUAAGUUUCAAUCUUGUAUUCAUACUUAUUUAGUGUAGAUUGAAACUUAGCCUUUGCGAUAGAGAUAGCAACACUUAGACAAAACCUAGUUUGCACAUUCUAGUUUGAUUAUUUGCAUAGGUUUUGAUCUAGGGAUUUAUUUGUGGCCUAGUUUAGUGAAAGUUUUAGAAGUCCUAAUUCACCCCCCCCCUCUUAGGCGUCACCCGUUUCCUACAAGUGGUAUCGGAGCCCGGUUUGGCUUAUUUGAAACGCUUUAGCUUCACCGCUAAAAGAGCCGACGCUUUUUAGAGGAAGGGAUGGAUACCCAUAGGCCACCACACUUUGACGGCACUAACUUCCCAUAUUAUAGUGCUAGAAUGGCUUGUUACCUGGAGGUCGUUGAUCUAGGUGUUUGGAGAGUCACUCGUGACGGGAUGAAACCCCUCAAGAAUCUCGAGAAACCCACCACGAGUGUGGAAAAAGAAAUUCAUUUAAAUGCUAGAGCCAAAAAUUUCUUGUAUGAAUCUCUUAGCAUGGAUAUUUUUAAUCAAGUAUUUACCUUGAAAACUGCUAAUGAGAUUUGGCUAAAAUUGCAUGAGCUCCAUGACGGCACAUCCAAUGUCCGUGAGCAAAAACAUUGCCUAGUCUUAAAUGAGUAUAAUUCUUUUGUUAUGAAAGAUGAUGAGCUUGUUAGAGACAUGUAUUCUCGUUUGAAUCUAAUUAUCAAUGAGCUCAAUUCUAUUGGCAUUAAUAAGCUAGGUGAUGCGGACAUUGUGAGGAAGAUUAUCUCCCUGCUACCACAACAAAGAUAUGGGAGCAUCAUCACCAUCCUUCACAACAUGGAGGACUUGAGCAACAUGACCCCGACCAUUGUGAUUGGGAAAAUCGCAGCUUUUGAGAUGUCGCGAAAAAUGAGUCGGGGAGAGGAGCCAACUUCCUCAAGACCAUAUGCUUUUGCAUGUGAUGAAAGGAAGGGCAAAAAGAAGGCUCCCACUCCAAGUUCCUCAAGUGAAGAAGAGGAAGAAGAAAGUGAUGAUGAUGAAGAUAAUCAACCAUGCACAUCAUCAUCCGAGGACGAAGAAACAAUCCGACACGUUAGAAAGGUAAUGAGGAUGAUCUGCAAGAUUAAUCUAAUGGGUGUGCCCCUGCAGGUCGAAGAUCUUCUCUUUAACAUUGACAGGAAAAAGCAAAGGAAGAGAGAAUGCUUCGCAUGUGGGGAGAAGGGCCACUUCAGGGACAACUAUCCAAAUAUGGCCAAACCCAAAAAGGAGAGGAGCAAAGGCAAGGCGCUAACAAGUGUUAGAACUUGGGAUGAUUCUUCAAGUGAAGAUGAACCUCCAAGGACGCGCAGCCACCGGUCCUCAUCCCGGUCAUCACACAAAUGCCUUAUGGCAAGAGGUAACAAAAGCAUUCCAUCCUCUAGCGAUGAUAGCAGUAGUGAUGAUGAAGGUGAGGGAAAGCCCUCCAUAGAUGAGCUUGUGCAAGCCAUUGAAUUUUUUCAGGAUGAUUGCACUAAACAAAAAGCUCAACUCAAAACCUUGAAAAACAAGUUGGUUAGCUCUCAAAAUGAUUACAAAGGUUUGCUAGAAAAAUUUGAAACUUUUGCAAACUUAAAUAGUGAGCUACCAACUAAAAUUGAGCUAUUAGAAUCUAGUGCUCCAUCCACUGCUACCGAUGAUAGCCUUAUUAAAAAGAAUGAAAAACUUAAGGCUAAGUUAGCUAGCUCCCAAGAAGCUAUUGAAAAUUUGUUAGAGAAAAUGGAAAUUCUUAGCAUACACAAUAAUGAGCUAACUACUAAGCUAGAAAAUAUUGGUAGCACCCCAGCAGCAUCUUUAGUUGAAAUACCUGAAAUUAUUAAGAAAGAUGCUUCUACCUCCUGCUUUGAUUUAAUUGAUGAUUCUAACCCCUGCAACCAAGUCGUUGUUGAGAAUAUUGUUGUAGAGACAUGUUCGGAUGAGGUUGCAAAGGAAAAUGAACAAUUAAAGCAAGAAGUGGCUCGCCUUGGCAAGGCUUUGUAUGACAAGAAAGGCAAAGCCAAACAAAUCCGACCUCCACAGGAUAACACCACUGUGGGAGUGAACAAGCCUGUAGAGGGAGAAACUGUGAUUUGUAGGCUAUGCCACAUGGAAAGCCACAAGUCUUUCUAAUGCAAGGCGAUGACCGGGGAUAAACAAAGGCAAAAGCUCAAGCAAAAGCCAUCAAGCAAAAUCUCCAGCACCCACAUCAAAAAGGUGAACAAAAAGGAUGCUACACCAUAUUUGAUCAAGAAGAAAAAGAAUGGAAAGGUGAUAGCAAUCAAGGCCAACAAGCAAGCCAACAAAGGAAAGGAGGCCAAACGCAUCUGGGUGCCAAAGGAAAUAAUUUCAACCAUGAAAAGCACCAAGAAGGUUUGAAUCCCAAAAGGGAAGUGAGGGGACCGAAGGUCAUCGGGAAAUUUGGAGACUUAGCAAAUUUGGGAUGUAUAUCAUGGGAUACAUCAUAUUGCAUCAAGUUUACUUGCCAAGUGGGUUAGUAAAAAUUUUGGACCCAAAUUUCCCACCCAUGACUAAGGUAACUAGAUUUAUUGUAUUUCUUGUUUUUAGAUAUGCAUAUCUAUUUACCUUGUACUAGUUUACCUUUCUUGCCUAGUAUUACAUUUGUUAUUUACCUUUGUUUUAAAUUAUGCAUACUAGGUGAAUCAUAUGGUAGGAUUGCUUGUUUUCAAUUCAUAUACUUAAGCAAACCUACAUGGUUUAAAAUGUUUAGUUAAAAGCACAGCACAUAGCUUCUAUAUCACUCUAUAGUAAAUGAUGCAUCAAUUGAAAAUUUUGACUUCUACAAGUUGUAUCAUUUAACUUAUAUGUGCCAAAGUUCGGAUUAUAGAUAAUUUGCCCCUCGAUAUCAAAUCAAAAGUGCAAGUCUCCUACAAGUAUUCAAAACUUGUAUGCACACCUUCAGGGGGAGGUUACUCUAUAAUCUAAUACUUUGAGACUAACACCUUUCCAAGUCUAUUUCAUGUGAUAGUCUCAUUGUAAGGAAAAUGAGGUCCCCGGAGAAAGACAACAAUCUUCCACUAUAAAAUCUCCAAGAACUCUCAUGUCUCUCAAGCUCGCCAUUGAAUUUCAAUCGGUAUCUUUUGAGACUACAUCUAGUAUCAUUUGCAUGUCAUUUCCAAUAUUUGAUUAGACUAUAUUUCAUAUCAUAUACUUCCAUAUUGCUAAAAAUGCAUAAGUAGUUAACUCAUAUUCUGUUACCUAUGCAUAAGGGAAGUUAGUCUUUUCAAAUCAUGUCUUGCACCUCUAAUUUUCACAUGCUUUUUCCUAAUGAUCUCUGUCAGGGGGAGCUUUUCUUCAUCUCUAAAGGGGGAGAAAACUCUUUCUAAAGGAGAACACUCACUUAGGGGGAGUAAUCUUUUGAGGACAAGCUUUUAUUUACUUCCUACAUGCUUUUAAUGUCUUCCUUUUCGGUGGUUGAUGCCAAAGGGGGAGAAGUUUAGGGACCAAAGCAAUGAAAACUAUAUCAAACACCAAACACCACAAAUUUUAAAAUUUUAUAUCUACAAAUGGUUUCUCAAGUGGUUUUGGUUAUUUGGUCCUAAAAUAGGAAGUAAGUGAAUUAUGGAGUUAGGGGGAGGCUUAAGUCCAUAAUUUCACGUUGUGGGGUCAAUCAUGCAUCCUAGCAAGUAGAUUGCAUAUUUUCAUUCAAAUACUUGUAUUAUUUGCUUAUUUUGAUUGUGUUGUCAUCAAUCACCAAAAAGGUGGAGAUUGUAAGGAAAAUGGACCCCAAGCCAUUUGGCUAAUUGAGUUUUGGUGUUUGAUGAACAACACAAUCCGUGAACUAAUAAGUUUUCUAGUGUUUGUGUUUGUAGUUCACAGGAUGCAAGAUGUACUUGGACUAAGGAAUUGAGGAAAGCAACACCUCAAAAGAAGACAUUAAGAAGAUCCAAGAAAAGUCCAAGUGUGCUGCUGCGGACUGUCUGUGCGAGGCGCACCGGACUGUUCGUUGGAUAGAAUGGAUUCGAAAAAAUCGUACUUUUCUUAUUUUUUUUAUUUUGAGUUCUUUCUUUUGUUAUUCGAGUCGAAGAAGUAUGAGAAUUUUAGAACUACUCAAAAACGACCAAUCUUUUCAUUGGCAUAACUUAUUUGUUUAUAUAGUUAAUUGUUUUUGUUACAGAAAAAUAGAUUAAUUCAUUAAAUUAAUUCCACAUUUUUUGAGGUUAAUAGUUUAUUUGUUGGGAAAGAGUGGAUCCUUCUCAUUUCAGGAUUAAUCAUCUUGAGUUCUCUGUUGAAAAUGGAAAUUCAAUAAUAAUAAUAAAUAAGUCUUAAGUAAACUAUUUUAUUCCUCUUUUUCGAACUAUGUUUCAUUCAUAUGAUAGAAUAUGGGUUUAAAUAAAUUGUAUCUUUGCAGAGUGUUCCCCGAUAAAUACUUAUUUCUUUUAUCCAAUUUUCUCCAUAGAUAGUGUGACACCCCAGUGUCACCUAGGGUUUCUCUUAAAAAGCCAAACCAAGAACCAUUAUUUCAUGUGAAUCAAAGUAAGCAUGAGCAUCAAAUUAACUUAAGUAAUAAAGAAUUCACCAAGUAUAUACUUAAAAGUGUCAUGAUCAAAACAAUUGAGACUUUUGAAAGAUAAGAAUGUGCAACCCUAAUUCAAAACCCUAAGUAAACCCCAUGAACAAAAAUUCAAGAAGAUGUGAAAAGAGGGUGAAAAGUUUAAAAUUGUGAGUUGAGCCAAUUAUAUAAGUUAAAGUAUAUUUGUUAAGCAACAAGAAAGAUUGAGAAGGCUUAGCCAAAACAACUCAAAUAAAUCCCCAAAUCAGCCCUUGAUCAAUGAACCCUUAGAGAAAUUCAGAUUUCUGAAUUUCUGAAUUUCAGACCUCUUCUCAAAGAUCAUCUGUGUUCUCUGCUUUUCCAAACUCAAAGCCAGAAGAUUCAAAUAUCAAAGUCGUGCCAAAUUACCUUGAACACAUUCUGGGAAAGUUUGAACUCAAACCAAAUUCAUUUGACACGGUUUUGGCGCAGCUCAACCUCGGGACCAGGCAUUCUGACACUGGCACCUUGGUGACGCUACAACUCCCUGUCCCUAGCCUAAAACCGUACGUCGUCCAUACACAAAAGACAAAGCUUGGUCUGGUGAACAAAUCCCUUGCAGUGAUCUUGCCCAAAUUCGCGAAGAUUUGCUCCCAAUCGGCGCUUGAACAGGGGCAGAGGCAACGGGAACACGUGUUCGACCGCGGCUCACACCCCUGGUUCACGCCCGUUCGCGCACCGCGCCUUCCCAGUGCACGCCCGCGCGCACUCGCCGGUCCACGACCGCCCGUGCACCGCGCCGUGCCUAUAAAGCCUUCCCAGGCGCGCCCCACUUCGCCCCGCACUCACCCUCACCGGCCAGCCACUUCCCCUUAGCUCCGGCGAGCUUAAUUCCGCCCGCCAUUGCCGCCAGAGCUUCAGCCAUCGUGGCCAGCCCACCCCAGCCAUCCUCUGGGCAAGCCAGUGCUUCGGCUAGCUCCGCCAGUGGCCCGUGAAGCUUGCCAAGCCCUCGGACCCGACCGGACUUCACCGGAGGCCCGAGAUCGACCUCACCGGACUUCGGUCUUCCGCCACCGCGCGUGGACCGAGCUAUCCAGUGAGUCUCCGCCCAAUUCCUUUCGCUCAUGUCUUCUCUGGCAUCCCGUGGACCUCCCUGACCUAAUUGAUUGAACUACCUCGCCGUGACCAGGCCGGUCUCCUCGCCGCCGACGAGCAUCCCCGCCUGCGCGCGUGGACCGACCGACUCCGGCCAUCUCCGACGGCGUUCCGCACACCGUUGUGAUCCCCGCGACCUCCCCUUCACCCUCGACCACUUCACCGGAACAGUCUCGCCGCCGGUAAGCCCCUCCGCCCUUUUCUUUGCCGCGGCUACUGUUUAAGGUAGAAGAAGGACCUCGGGUUAGGUUCUGUAGAACCCGAGGGGUUUUCUGUAAUGUCAGCGACUCAUGUGAAUAGUAACCUAAGGACUGAUUCGCGAAGGAAACUUAGAAAACCCGCCAGGGACCCCAGUGCAAAGUGGAUUUCCAUUUAAUCAAUUCUGUUAUUCUUUUCAAAAUGACCAGAGAAUUUAGAAAAUCCAUAACUUGAUGAAAUCUUAAUAAAAAGUUGUCAAACCAAUUUUGCUAGCUCCGGAAUAUUGUAAUCUGUCAUUUAAAAAUAGUGAACCCUAUGCUUUCUGUUCUAAAUUUUAGAGUUUAAAAUUAAAAUCAGAAACCCCCUAAACCUUGUUUAAUUAAGGAAAAUUUGUUUUUCUUUUGUGCUGAGCUUAAGAAAAUUUGUAGAUGUUUAUACCUUAUUUAGACACUGUUUAAAAAUAGUAGGAACACCAGCAUUGGAAAAUAUGAUGUAGUUAUUCAUUUAAAGCUAUUUUGUCCAAAACUUAGAGAAAAUCAGAAAGGCAUUAGAAAUUAAUGAACAGUGAUUAAUAAUAUUUUUCCUAGUUUACUUAUGCAACAGAGAACCUAGGAAAAAUACAGAGACCAUUAAUUUGGACCAGUUUUUAAUUAAGAUGAUUUAAUUAACCUUAUAUGGACUGAAAAUCAAUUAUUCGAAUUGCCAAACUAUAACCAAAGUGAUUAAUAAAAAUCCAGUGAACUUAUAACCACCAGUGCCCCACUACAAAAAUACAGAGCACCCCAGCCCAACUCUUUAAGUAAGGAAAUUAAAUGCAAGGUGAUAAUAAGGCAUUUUCCAACUAAAUCAUGAACAACCCCAAAUAAUGUGAUAAUGGGCAACCAAAAAUUAGCUAAGUCCAUGAUGAGACAGUCCACCAGAGAAAAAUGCAAACCCAUGAAAAAGAAGUAAACUCAUGCCUUUUGCUAGUGAUUAAAGAGAAAGACCACUUAAUUCAAAUAAUGCAAACCACCCCUUCCCUUAAGCAAAAAGAAGCCAAACUUCAGAAUGAUUGCUCUUGCACAAAAUACCAACUAAGAAAAAUGAGAACUCUGUUGUUUGAUGUUUUUCAAAUAUAGUGGUAGUAGAAAGCACCCAUUUGGCUAGAAACUUGAGAAAACCAUAGGAAAAUAAUUAAAAGGUAUUAAUGACUAGAAAUUUGUAUCAAGUCAUGUUAUAAUACCUAAAAGCCAGCAAAAAUGAGUUUUAAAGAAUUACCCACUGUUAAAUAAUAGUUGUAGUUCAAAGUACCCCUUCUGCCCUAAAAUUUGGUAAUUUUGUCCAGAGAAAACCAUUUACUUUCUGACCCCCAAAUUUUGAGGCAAAGAAUCAUACACCAGUAACAAGCCACUGUAAUUUUUGCAGAAUUUUUGGAAUUUUAUAAAAGCAACUUGUAGUUCAAACCCACUCCAAAACCCUUAAGAGAAUAAAAGAAAAGGAAAGAAGGAAUAAACCUCAUCCCAAUAAACCUAACUUGAGAACUUAUCAAUUCUCCCUAAGACUUAAAAGAAAUUCAGUGGAACCCCAAAAAUAAACCUACCACUUACCUUAGCUAAGUCUAACCCAACUUACCAAGUAUACCACUAAAAGGGUUUUACAUAAGUAAAGUUAACUUGUUUGAACUCAAAAAGAUCAUACACCUUUAAAAGUUGUAAUUUCUAAAAGCACAUAUCAUAUCAUGCAUAUAUCUUACGCAUUGCAUUCAUUAGAUUGUAAUCUUGCCGACGGAGAGUACGUGCUCAUCCCCGAGCAAGGACCUGUCCAAGAGGAGGACCAGGAGCAGGCUUCAGAGGCUGCUAUUGAGGAUCUCCCCGCAGCCCCAGCAAUUGAAGGCAAGCCCCGGUUUUAUGCAUAACCAUGUUAUUAUAUGCUACUUUACUACACUUAAUGCUUGUAGGAUUGCAAUGUGCACUUAAGUGUAGGAGUUGCCUGAAACCUCUAGUUGCAUGAACUUAGGAUUCCUUUUUGAGAUGAAUACUAGUAUGCUAGGUCGAGUUGCUGCUUGCUAAUCAGGAUCUCGGUAGAAGUCGAGUGAUUUUUCUAGCACUCGCGCGAGGUCAGGAAUUGAUUGUAUUCAUCUUGAUAACGGGAUUUAUGUUGGUCUAUGGACUUGGAUCCAGGGAGGAUGCCUUGUCCAUGAGACGGGGAAAAAAUGAAUUAAGGAUUAAUGUGUGGAUACCUGAGUCAAGCUUUUGAACGUACUAAGCACAUGCCGGGAAAAAUGGUAACCGGUAAACCUAGUACCUGAGUGAAGCCGGGCGCGGACUUUAUCCCUCAUGCGACCUGAGACUGGGUCUCCCAUGCUAGCUAUGGUGGGUACAAGUGCGGUCACUGCACGGCGGCAGCCGGGGUCAGUGGAGCAUUGUAUGCCAAGGCGGUGAGGCCUGGACGCGAACGGGGAAUCGAUGGGGACGGUUGUCAUGUGUGGGGUCGGAGUACCCUGACUUGACGUGUGUUUAGGUUUACCUUGCAAGGUUUAAAACUCGAUUCGAAUCGUCUGCUUCUCGCAGCUAAUGAGACUGCUUGAUUCCUUGUACUGCAUCGAGUAAGAAGUGAAAUGUGGUUAUAUGAGAUAACUUGUUGAUUGAACUAAUUGAUUGUUACCAUGAAUUCUUAGAAGGAGCAAAUCUAGCUAAGUUAAUGAUGGUAGAAUUUGAAAAGCUAAAAAUUGAUUUUAGAAACCGCUAGUGCUUUUGGCAAACCAAACCCCUUAGCCAAACAGCUGCAUAGUCUAGAGGUAGAGGAGUAGACUCCUCACAUCGGUUAAGUCUAGCUGAGUAUUAGUAUACUCAGCCUUGCUUGUGGCACCAUUUUGCAGGUACCAUGCAGGAUUUGGUUGAUGGUGUGACUUGGCCUACCACCCUGCCACCGGGUUGGACGGUCGAGUGGGAUGUGGCUCCGGCAGGAGAGGAGCAUGAGGAGUAGUGGGCUAGGCCUUGCCCAUUUCCUCAUUACCGACGACAUCGAUUAUCCGCUGCACUUUAAUUUAUGAACUUUAUUUGCUACUCAAAAACUCCGAUCUAUGUAAUAAUUCAGUACUUAAUCUGAGGUUUCCUGUUUUAUUGUAUUUCUUCUGUGACUCACCUUCGAGUGAGAUUGUGGAAUUUGAUCCUGGUUAAGUGGCUUCAUCAGACUAGAUCUGAGGGACUGACGGGUUAUUCCGAUUUAAGUGUGUUACGGCCCCUGAGGCGUGACUUAGGCACUUAAGCUGGAAUAAUUCGGGUGGUUCUGCCACAGAUAGCAGGUUUGAAUUAGUAUACAAAAGCAAUGACUAUUCAUGAUUCCAUCCAUAUUGGAUCAAUUCUCGAUACCAUUUUGCAAUGAAAUUAGAGGAAUGUUAUGGUAAAACUUCGUUUAAAACGAUGUGGUAGAAAGCAACGUGCGACUUGAAGGACAUGAUCGAUUGUGGAUUUGCUUAUCCAUCAUUUUCCAUAGUAAUGAAAAUGCUCUUGGCUCGACAUAGUCUGUUCUAUUCGUCCCGAACCGAAUUUUCGCUGGGUUGUUUGUAAGUAAAGUAAAUAGUACACGAUGGAGCUCGAGAGGACAGAAUUUCUUUUUGAUCAAGGGAAAGAAUCUAGGGUUAGUGAAAACUAAUAAAUUAGGCCAACUUUGUCAGUCUAUCCUUAAUAUAGAAAUCAAAAGGUUAAAAUAAGAAAAAGUCUAAUUUUGGAAGAUUGUAAAAACUUUUUUGAUGAAAAGUCUAUCUGAAUCAAUUGUUCAUAUUUGAUUUCUAUAGAAGAGUGAAAUGCUUUAUCGAAGGAAAUAAGAAAAAAGAAAGGGUAUGUUGCUACUCUUUUGAAAGAAAAAAGAAUAGGAGUUCCCGAAGUAAUGUCUAAACCCAAGGAUUUCACAAAUCAAAGAUAAAGGAUUCCGGAACAAGUAAACACGAUUUUCAACCGUCUCAACAAUAGAAUUAGAUCUGAAUAAGGAAUAAAAGUCAAUUUGUUCGAGAUCUACCUGCCGGGUUGCCCGCCUAAACCAGAGGCUGUUAUAGAUGCCCUAACAAAACUUCGUAAGAAGAUAGCGCGAGAAAUAAUUGAGGAUCAAACUCUAUGUCAAAGUCAAAAGAAAAAUAGAUCUUUUACUACCCGUCACAAACUUUAUGUUCGGUGGAGUACUCACACUGGAACUUACGAACAAGAAUUGCUCUAUCAAUCACCAUCUACUUUAGAUAUAUCUUCUGAAACUUUUUUCAAAUCCAAAAGUUCAGUAUCUUCCUACAAAUUAGUGAAUUAGGAGGGGUCUGUCCGGUGGCACACCGGACUAUCCGGUGCCCACACGCCGGACUGUCCGAUGCACUAUGGAACACCAGCCCAACAGCUAGUUCCAGGUGGCACUCGGAGAGAAGACCACCGAACUGUCCAGUGUGAGCACCAGACUGUCCGGUGUGGAAAAGCCUGCGACGCCAAUGGUCACCUGCUCUAACAGAGCAACGGCUAGGCGCACCGAACAGGCUACAGUGUGUUGUCUGGUGCACCACCGGACUGUCCGGUGUGCCACAGAGAACUGCAGCUUUUCUCCAACGGCUAUUUUGGAGUUGGGGCCUAUAUAUACUUCACCCAACCAGCCAUUUGAAGGUGUGGGAGCCCAAGCAACAUACCAAGGCAUAUAGUGCACAUUUCCAAGAGCUCAAACACCCAAGUGCUUAAUAGAAUCACUCGGUGAUUAGCGUAGGUGCUUUGCGAAGUGCUUAGGUUAGUUAGACUGCUUUAGCGCUUGCUCUAGGUGAACCCUAGUUAGUUGAGUGAGUUUAGACAAACCACACAACCCCUCGGCUCUUGCGUGAGUCGUUGUAAUUGUACCGAGUGGGGCGAGAGUCUUGCGAGACCGUGACAACCGCGUUUGUGUCACGGCCGCCACCGUGUACCGGAGGGAACGAGGCCCGCGGCGUUUUGGCCGGAAGCUCGAUAGUGGAGACGGCGAGGAGCGUCUGAGAGGAGUCGAAAGCGGAGCCCCACUUGCAUGUGGAGAAGGCCUGCGGCUCUCUACGGAGUUACACGACCGCGGUGCUUGGCCCUCGCGUGGGCUUCCCUUUGCGUAGGGGCACCAACGAGGAUUAGUCGGGACCUUGCGUGGUUCCGGAUACCUUGGUAAAAAUACCGGUGUCAUCCAUGAGAGUUUACUUCUCUACUUUGCUCUUUAAGUUUCCGCAUUUAUAUUAAGCAUUUAAGUUUCAAUCUUGUAUUCAUACUUAUUUAGUGUAGAUUGAAACUUAGCUUUGCGGUAGAGAUAGCAACACUUAGACAAAACCUAGUUUGCACAUUUUAGUUUGAUUAUUUGCAUAGGUUUUGCUCUAGGGAUUUAUUUGUGGCCUAGUUUAGUGAAAGUUUUAGAAGUCCUAAUUCACCCCCCCCCCCCCUCUUAGGCGUCACCCGUUUCCUACACGCCCACCAUAUUUGUCCAAAAACCUGCAAUUAAGAGUAAACAAAUAAGCACAUAUAAAAGAUAUAUUUAAAAACAGAUGCAAAAUAAAAAGUCAUAUAACAUUACAUCGAUUAAAAAUAAUCUUCAUAUAUGUCGGGGUUAGCCGGAUCAUAACCCUCAUCAUCACUAUCAACCAUUUCAUAGUCAACACCAUCGGAAGACGCAAGUUUGUCAUUAAUGUCAUUGCCUUUAAGGAUUACUAAGUCAUUAUCAUUUUGCACCUCAUCAUCCUCCUCAUCAACAACCAUUUCAAUAUCUACGUCCAUUUUGAUAUCUUCGGUUAAGUCUAUCUCAAAUCGCCCUUCUAGCCCAUCUUCUUGGAAGAACUCUCCAUCAUAUGUGUUCGGGUCUAAGUUAUAAUCUUCAUCGUUAGGAACAGGUAACCUCCUGCACGGCGAUACCUUAUACACAACAUUCCAACCCUUAAGAUGUUCUUUCGUUUGGCAAGCAUAUGGGAGAUAAUACACUUGUGUGGCUUGUUGGGCCACGAUAUAGACAUCGUCUCCUGCUAAGGUGGAACCUUGUCGAAUUUCGACUAUCCCAAGAUUAGAAUGUGUCCGUCUCGUCACUUGAGGGUCAAACCAAUGACAUUUGAAUAUCACUGGAGUAAGAGGUUUGGAACCAUAAAAAUUGAGCUCAUAUAUUUCUUCGAUUCGUCCAAAAUAAUCGACAUCGUCAAGGCCGGGCAAAAAGACUCCAGAACACGUUGUUUUCCGAUUGGGCCGACUUUUGUCGUAGUUUGUUGUGCGAAAACGAUAUCCAUUGAUGUCAUACCCAGAAUAUUUCUUGACCCUAUAAGCAAAGCUAUUGGCUACUUGUCUCAACUCGGCACUCAUAGACGGAUCUCUUUGGCCCUGCAAGUAUUCGCAAGUUAAAAGACGUUAAAUUGAGUUCAUAGACGGAUCUUUUUGACAAACUAAGUACGUACCUUACGUUUGAACCAGGAAAUGAAAUCAGACAACCCAUUUCUCGCACCCUUUCUAAGAAGAGUGUCAUAUUCCUGUGGAGUGGGGUCCCUUGAUCGACGCCAGAAUUCAUGAAGAAAUUAUUCCAUGUAUGGCGUCACCUCUUCAAGGUUGGUCAAUACAUAUUGCAUGAUAUGCCGCCACUCUUCAUGUGUCAGGGUCUUGUUGGUCGAGCCACUUAUGCUUCCGAGUUGGCCUCGAAAUAUGCUAAGGUUCGAUUCAUUGUCGCCAUUAUUGUAACGAGGGGGUGGAUUAUGCACGCUCGGUAGCUUGUCACCAUAAUAAGUUGUUGUGAAGUUUGACACCUCCUCUAGAAUGUAUGCCUCUGCAAUGGAAGCCUCAAUUUUGCAUUUAUUUCUACAUUUCUUUCAAAAAGUCUUUAGACAUCUCUCGAUUGGAUAGCACCAACGUCCCUGCACGGCCCCCCCAUUCGUGCCUCAUAGGGGAGAUGAAGAAUCAAAUGCUGCAUUGGAUUGAAGCCGGGUGGAAAUAUCUUCUCAAGAUUACACAGUAACACAGGUGACAAUCUUUCCAAAUCUGCAACCACGGUCCGAGAUAACUCUUUGCACAAAGCUGACGAAAGAAAUAGCUCAACUCUGAAAGCGCUAGCCAGACAUGCUCAGGGACAUAGCCUCGAACCAUCGCAGGAAGAAUCUGUUCCAUCCAUAAGUGGAAGUCAUGACUCUUCAUCCCUAAGACUCGCAUAGUAGAUAAGUUCACCCCCUACUCAGGUUAGCUGCAUACUGUCGGCGUUUCGACCCCGGGGGGGUCCCUGGACCGACGAGUAAAUUGUUGCUGCGUGUCCUUGCCCAGAUGGGUUGGCGCAGGAUAGAACACAAGAUGUGGGACAAGCCUUGUAUUAUCCUGCACCAGGGGUGCCGCUCGCAGUAGGGGUUACAAGCGCAUCGCGUGAGGGAGAGAGAGAGAGAGGGACACAGAGCUCGUCCGCCGCUUCCCUCGCGCGAACCUCUCUCAGGGUGGCCCUGGACUUCCCUUUUAUAGAGGCAAGGAGAGAGUCUAGGUGUACAACGGGGGGCGUAGCUAUGCGCUAACGUGUCCGGCAGUGAAGUGCCUAAGCCCUGUGUACAUGCCAACGUGGCCGUUGGGGGAGAGCUUGGGCGUUGUACAUGUGAUGGCGUGGCCGCCGGAGGAGCACCUGAGUCCUGUAGGAGCACAGUUGGCAGCGCGGCGAGGACCCUGCUGACGUCUCCUUGCUGUCGUAAGGGGCUGAGAGCCACCGGCGUCAUGGCGCACGCGGGGCACCAUCAUUACCCGUCACUGGGGUAAGCCAGAUGGGACGCUGGUCUUGUUCCUUGUAGCCUGAGCAGGCUAGGAAUAGGGGAAUGAUACAUCCCCUAUCAGCACGGUAGGUCCGAGCCCAGGGUCGGUCGAGGCGGAGACUUCUCUUGAGGCCGAGGCCGGGGUCGGGCGCGGACGCGAUUCCUCCCGAGACCGGGGUCGAGGCUGAGUCUGGGGGUCGGGCGAGACGGAGACCUCCUCCCGAGGCCAGAGCCUGAGGUCGGGCGAGGCGGAGACCUCCUCCUGAGGCCGGAGCGUGAGGUCGGGCGAGGCGGAGCUUCCUGUUGCACCUGAGGCUUGAACUCGGUGGUUGAUCGUGACUUGUUGUCAGUCGUUGCCGGGGUGGCUGACACGGCAGUCGGAGCAGAGCGAGUGGCGCUGUUUUCCUAUCAUAUCGGAUAGUAAAGAGGAGGGGUGAAGUGACUGCGGUCACUUCGGCCUGGCCGACUGAGGCGCGUGUGUCAAGAUACGGCGUCAGGCAUCCCCCGCAUUUAAUGCGCCUGCGAAGCGGUCGGUUGGUGAGGCGGUAUGGCCAAGGUUGCUUCACAAUGAAGCCUCCCGAGCCGGGCCUCGGGAGGGCCAAGGGGGCGCCUGUCGUCUGAGGAGGCCCUCGGGCGAGGCGUGAAUUCGUCUGGGACCACUGUUCCAACCCGAGGCUAGGCUCAGGUGAGAUCGCGUCCUUCAGGUAGACGAAGUCCUGACUUGAACCGUACCCGUCAGUUGGUCUGAGGGUGUUUACCAGCCAUGAUUAGGAGCGUUGGGGGUACCCCUAAUUAUGGUACCCGACAGUAGCCCCUAAGCCUCGAAGGGAGUGAUGGUACUCUCUUGGAGGCUUUUGCCGCGUUUUCGGUGAGGGGAUCGGCCUUUCUCGGUUUUUGCCUUGUUCUGGUGGGUGCGCGCGAGCGCACCCGCCGGGUGUAGCCCCCGAGGCCUUGGAGGAGUGGUUUGACUCCUCUGAGGUCUGGAUGCUUUUCGUGGUGCUUCGGCCGGUCUGAUCGUUCCCUCAUGCGGCACGGCAGUAGCCCGAGUGCGUCGUUGGGUUCCAAGUUAUCAGGCUGGUUUGUUGACGCUGUCAACAGUUUUGGCCGUAGCCGGGUGCGAGAGCAGCCCCCGAGCCUCUCCACGGAGCGAGAGGACGAUCAAGGACUUUCUCGACUUUCAUUAUACGCCCCUGCGUCGCCUUUCUGCAAGGAGGAGGGGGGAAAGCGCCAUGUUGCCCUCGGAGGGCGCCGAACAUGGUGUUUCCAGUUAGCUGCUAAUGGGUGAUCCGAGUGGACGCCCGUGCCCUGUUCGUUAGGGGUCGGCUGUGGCCUAGAGGCGCGCUCCAAAAGUACCUGCGGGUGAUUCGCCGGACCCAGACCCCUUCGAAAGGGUCCGAGGGCUAGAUGCCUCCCUCCGGUGGGAUUCCGUUACAAAUCGUUCCCGCCGGUCUCGGAAAUGUCCUAGAGUACCUCGGGAGCGUAGCCUGAGCCUUGGUUAUGUAUCGAACGUACCCAGAGUCAUCCCUCACUCUACAUGCUCUGGGGCGACUGUCGAAUCCUUCCGAGGGGCCAGCCUACGAACCCCUGAUCAGUAGUGGGCAUGGAGCCCGGGCGCUCUAGGGCUGCUGUCGAAACCCUUCCGAGGGGCCAGCCUUCGAACCCCUGAUCAGUAGGAGGGCUCGAGGCCCGCUUCCUCCGCCGAGAAGGAUCCUUUCCACAAUGUCCCUUUCCCGGUCCCUGUGGCAAGAGAGAGAGAGAGGAGGAGGGGAAGGAUGUGAAUUUAAAUAAGGUGGUGCACCUUUUUUGACGCGGUCAUUAUGGCGAAGACGAAGCGACGCCCGCCUCGCCUGCCAGAGGUGUUGCCUGCUCCGUCAGGGAGUUAAUGCGACGGGAUGGGCGAUUCGCGUGGCACCCGUUGCGCGUGUGAGCCGUUCGAGGAACGGGGCAUGGGCGCGUCGUCUUCACGCCGUGAGAGAGGGCUCUCCCGUCGCUUCAGGAGGGGACGCGAGCCUGCAGGCGACUUGACUGCUGCCUCCGCUCGUCUGCCGCUGCAGUUACAGACGGCCCACUUUUAACCAUGCCAACCAUCGUGCCUACCCCGCGGCUGACCGACCCAUGGCUGUCACCUUUAAUUGGCACUGUUGGGUCAUGCGCAGGGGUACCUCGAGUCGCGGUACUGGUCCCGCAGUCAAGGAGGCGCAGCAUUGGCGUGAGUGGCGGUGUAGCUUCUUGCACGUCAUAACCAGCGCGCCGGUUACAUGACAUGCGGGCCCGCUUCCUUUGCGCUGGUCCACCGGAUGUGGACGGAGCCGAAGGGGCGCACAGUUGUGGUGCAGUUGGAUGCUUGUCGCGUGGCAGUCCACCCUUUCGACCACCGGUUUCUGCGAAGAUGGGAGAGCGCUUGUAACCGCGGGACGGUUACAUGCCUUGCGCGCGGCGGUUCGCCUUCUUCGUGCUUCGGAUCAGCUCGUAUGACGUGUGGGUCCUAGCCCCCGUGUCGUGGGGGGAGAACCUUGGAGGAUGUCAGUGGGGACUUCGCCUGUGAUGCUAAGGGGUGCAAGCGAGGAGGUCUGCCUAUAAAAGGGGGAUCGAUCUCAUGGGCAGUUGGGGGUCGUCCUUGCUGCGCCGCCGGCUGUUGGGGGGUCGUCCAACACGUCGUACGCCGUGAGGGCGGCGUUCGUGUUCUGGGACGGUCCCGUUCUCGUUCUUGUGGCAAGGGCGGGGGCGAGGACCUGCCGGUGCGCUUUCGGAGCGGACGUCGUACGCCGGUGCGGCGUUGGUGAGCAGGUGGCCGUCGGCGCUGAGGUGGUGGCAGCCGGAGGAGGUUGUCUUUGCCGGCGAGACCGCCAGCGCCGCUCGCACCCCGGACCUCCGUCUCUUUGGCUUGAAUGGCUGGUUCUCGUCAUUCGUGGGCGAGGGCUUUUCAGCCACAGCGUUUGCCCUAAAGCCAUUGCUGCAGCUGUCUUGCCGCCCGAGACGGAGGUCGUUGUCGCUGCUGCUGGAGCGGUUGCCGGUGAGCCGCUUGUAGUUCGUCAUCCCGUAGGCCCUCCGAUGUGGAGGUUGUUAGUACCCACAGGAACGGAACCGGAGUCCCGUUUGUAAUGGCACCUUGGGUGCCAGUGUAUGUUCAUUGUGGCUGUCGAGGCCUGAACAUUUGGGUAUUCGAGAACGAAGCUGUGUGUCUUCCUCAUUCCGAGCGCUGGGACUCGUCUGUUGGCUGACCAAACCACUUAACCGAGCGUCGGUCGCCUUUCGCGGAAGGUGACGAGUGAGGUGUCCGUAUCUCGAAGGCGUAGGAGUCCCUCGGCUCUGUCGGCCUUGCCGCUCUAGGCUUCCCUUGCUCAGUUUUUGGAACCCUCGGCUGCUCUGCGAUGAGCCGGAGCCGAAGGCAGCGGUGUUAGCGCGGACAGACGCGGAGUCAGCUCGGAAAGAGACUUCGUCGGCCCGGGAGAUGGCGGCUUCCCAGGCCGAAGAAGGUGUGGCAGCAGCCGCUGGAGCUUGGCCAAGACAUCUGCUGGCGCGGUGCUGGCGUCCUCCCUUAGGUGGAGGUCCUUUUGCCCGGGUCGCCGUCCGAGGCCGGGCCUGGUUCCGUCGAGGGUGGAAUCAACGCCGAGGGUGCUGCUGCUCCCCCUGUCGACGCCAGAACCUGCAGGAAUAGUUUGUCCGUAGCAUGCGCAUGCUUUUUCGCGGCCGCCGAGGCCUAAACACUUUAUCGUUGUGUUUAAAAAGCUGCGUCUUCUCUCCUCUUGUUUCGAGCAUCACGACUUGUCUAUCAAUAGCAGAAUCGUUUAUCCGAACGAGAGUUACUUUUCGCGGAAGGUGAUGAGUGAGGUAUCCAUAUCCCGGAGGCGUAGGAGUCCCUCGGCUCGGUCGGCCUUGCCGCUUACGUGCGCUCUCAUUUGGUCGAAGGAUUCCAUUAUUGGGACAGUCGAGAAGGCGCGAAAGUCGUUUUCUACCCGAGUGUUAGGACUUGUUCGGUAGAAGGAUCGCUUAUCCAAGCAUGAGUUACUUCUCGCGGAAGGUGAUGAGUGAGGUAUCCGUAUCCCAGAGGCAUAGGAGUUCCUCGGCUCGGUCGGCCUUGCCGCUUACGUGUACUCUCGUCGUUCUCAGGAUCCCACUAUCAAUACGGAAGUCGAAAGAACAAAGGUUGUUUUGGUAGAAAAUUUUUCCGAGGAAAAUUUUGACGCAGAGGGGGUUCCCCCCUUCUAGCCCCCGAGGCAGGGUCGGGCUUUGCUGAGGCAAGGCCGACCCUUCCUUGACGGUUAGACUUUGUGUAUGUAAACGAGGUACAUGAACGACUUAAAACAUCUUAAGGGUAGAAGCGACGUAGCUGUUGGAUGUUCCAAGCGUUGCUGUAGACCUCACCUUGGUCGUUGGCCAGCUUGUAUGUUCCGGGCUUCAAGAUUUUGGCGAUGAUGAAGGGCCCUUUCCAGGGAGGAGUGAGCUUGUGGCACCCUCGGGCGUCCUGUCGCAGGCGAAGCACCAAGUCUCCCACUUGGAAGCCUCGGGACCGAACGCUUCGGGCGUGGUAGUGCCGCAGCGACUGCUGGUACCGUGCCGAAUGUAGUAAGGCGACGUCUCGAGCCUCCUCGAGUUGGUCCAGCGCGUCUUCUCGGCUGGUCUGGUUGCUUCGGUCGUCGUACGCCUUGGUCCUCGGGGAGCCAUGUUCUAAGUCCGUGGGGAGGACGGCCUCAGCCCCAUAGACUAGAAAGAACGGCGUAAAACCCGUGGCGCGGCUCGGCGUCGUCCUUAGACUCCAGACUACCGAGGGUAGCUCUUUCAUCCACCGCUUGUCGAACUUGUUGAGGUUGUUGUAGAUCCUCGGUUUGAGCCCCUGCAGAAUCAUAUUGUUGGCACGCUCCACCUGCCCAUUCAUCAUGGGAUGAGCUACGGUGGCCCAGUCCACACAGAUGUGGUGGUCGUCGCAGAAGUCCAGGAACUUUUUUCUGGUGAACUGCGUGCCAUUGUCGGUGAUGAUUGAGUUUGGGACCCCGAACCGAUGAAUAAUGUUAAUGAAGAAUGCCACCGCCUGCUCGGACCUGAUGCUGUUUAGGGGUCGGACCUCGAUCCACUUGGAGAAUUUGUCGAUAGUGACCAGCAGGUGCGUGAAGCCCCCGGGUGCCUUCUGCAAGGGACCGACGAGGUCCAGACCCCACACAGCAAAUGGCCAUGUGAUGGAUAUCGUCUGCAAGGCCUGAGCGGGCAGAUGCAUCUGCUUUGCGUAGAAUUGACACCCCCGGCAGGAGCGCACAAUCCUAGUGGCGUCGGCCACCGCGGUUGGCCAGUAGAAACCUUGUCGGAAGGCAUUCCCCACGAGGGCUCGAGGCGCUACAUGGUGGUCGCAAGCCCCCGAGUGUAUUUCUUGCAACAGCUCUUGUCCUUGGGCGAUAGAUAUGCAUCGUUGAAGGAUGCCCGAGGGGCUGCGGUGAUAGAGCUCUUUUUCAUCACCCAACAGGACAAAUGACUUGGCGCGCCGAGCCAGCCGCCGAGCUUUGGUCUUGUCGAUGGGAAGCUCUCCUCGGAGGAGAUAUUCCAGGUACAGGGUCUGCCAGUUCGGAUCUGGCGUGACCCCAUUCUAUUCCUCUUCGACGGGCAAGGCCUCUUCCUCGAUGGCCGAGGGUGCCUCGGGUGCGGUCGAGGGUACCUCGGGCUCGGCCGAGGGUGCCUCAGGCUGGGCCGAGGCUUCCUCAGGCUCGGGCGCGUCGUCGAUCUUGACGGAUGGUUGAUGUAGGUCUCUGGAGAAGACGUCCGAGGGAACUGUCGUUCGCCCCGAGGCUAUUUUCGCCAGCUCAUCCGCAGUCUCGUUGUACCGUCAGGCGAUGUGGUUGAGCUCCAGCCCGUAGAACUUGUUCUCCAGGCGUCGGACUUUGUCGCAGUAGGCUUCCAUCCUCCGGUCACGACAGUGGGAGUUCUUCAUGACUUAGUCAAUGACAAGCUGCGAGUUGCCUCGAGCGUCGAGGCGUCGGACCCCUAGCUCGACGGUGAUGUGUAGCCCAUUAACCAGUGCUUCGUACUCGGCCACGUUGUUUGAUGCCGGAAAAUGGAGGCGAAUGACGUAGCGGAGAUGCUUUCCGAGGGGUGAAACGAAGAGCAGGUCAGCGCCCGCUCCUGUUUUCAUGAGUGACCCAUCGAAGUACAUGGUCCAGAGCUCGGGCUGGAUUGGAGUUGUCGGUAACUGGGUGUCAGUCCACUCAGCCAGGAAGUCUGCCAAGACCUGGGAUUUUAUGGCCUUCCGAGGAGCGAAUGAUAGUAUUUUGCCCAUAAGCUCCACCACCCACAUUGCUAUCCUACCCGAGGCCUCGCGGCACUGGAUGAUCUCCCCCAGGGGGAAGGAUGACACCACAGUUACCGGAUGAGACUCGAAGUAGUGUCGCAACUUUCGCCAUGUCAGGAUCACUGCGUAGAGCAGCUUCUAGAUCUGUGGGUAGCGAGCUUUGGUCUCGAAAAGUACUUCACUGAUGAAGUAGACUAGCCUCUGGACGGGCAGUGCAUGCCCUUCUUCUCGUCUCUCGACUAUGAUCGCGGCACUGACCACCUGAGUAGUCGCGGCUACGUAGAUCAAGAGGGCUUCUCCUGCGGCGGGGGGCACCAGGAUGGGUGUUUUCGUAAGGAGCGCCUUAAGGUUUCCGAGGGCUUCCUCGGCCUCGGGGGUCCAAGUGAAGCACUUGGCCUUCCUUAAGAGGCGAUACAGAGGCAAGCCUUUCUCGCCAAGGCGUGAGAUGAAGCGGCUUAGAGCCGCAAGGCAUCCCAUGACCCUCUGUACUCCUUUCAAAUCUUUGAUCGGUCCCAUGCUGGUGAUGGCCACGAUUUUCUCCGGGUUGGCCUCGAUGCCCCGCUUGGAGACGAUGAACCCAAGGAGCAUGCCUCGGGGGACUCCGAAGACACACUUCUCGGGAUUGAGUUUCACGCCUUUCGCUCUCAGACACUUGAAUGUCGUUUCAAGGUCAGAGAGGAGGUCGGAGGCUCUCUUCGUCUUGACAACGAUGUCAUCGACGUAAGCCUCGACCGUUCUGCCGAUGUGUUCUCCGAACACGUGGUUCAUGCUUUGUUUAGACCAGUGUAGUCUACACACAUCCUUCAUUUCCCAUCCUUCUUCCUUACAAGAACAGGGUUAGCUAACCAUUCAGGAUGGAAUACCUCUUUGAUGAACCCUACCGCGAGUAGCUUGUGGAUCUCCUCGCCUAUGGCCCUGCGCUUUUCCUCGUCGAAACGGCGUAGGGUUUGCUUCAUGGGUCGGGCUCCAGCUCUGAUGUCUAGUGAGUGCUCGGCGACAUCCCUCGGUAUGCCAGGCAUGUCCGAGGGACUCCACGCAAAGACUUCGGCGUUUGCACGGAGAAAGUCGACGAGCACUGCUUCCUAUUUGGGGUCGAGCUCGGAGCCGAUCCGAACUUGCUUGCUGGUGUCGUUGCUGGGGUCGAGAGAGACGGACUUGACCCCCUCAACUGGUUCGAAGUUGCCGGCGUGCCGCUUCGCGUCGGGCGCCUCCUUGGAGAGGCGUUCAAGGUCGGCGAUGAGGGCCUCGGACUUGACGAGAGCCUCGGCGUACUCCAUGCACUCCACGUCGCAUUCGUACACGUGGCGGUACGUGGAUCCGAUAAUGAUGAUCCCAUUCGGGCCUGGCAUCUUGAGCUUGAGGUAGGUGUAGUUGGGGACGGCCAUGAACUUGGCGUAGCAUGGUCUUCCCAACACCGCAUGGUAGGUUCCUCGGAACCCGACGACCUCAAAGGUGAGAGCUUCCUUUCGGAAGUUUGAGGGAGUUCCGAAGCAUACGGGUAAGUCGAUCCGUCCGAGGGGUAGGAUUCACUUCCCGGGCGCGAUCCCGUGGAAGGGUGCCGCACCGGCCCGGACUUCGGACCGAUCAACCCCUAAGAGUUCCAGGGUCUCGGCGUAGAUGAUGUUAAGGCUGUUGCCUCCAUCCAUGAGGACCUUGGAGAGCCUAACGUUGCCGUUGAUCGGAUCGACGACGAGUGGGUACCUUCUCGGGCUCGGCACAAAGUCGGGGUGCUCGCCUUGGUCGAAGGUGAUAGGCUUGUCGGACCAGUCUAGGUAGACUGGCGCCGCCACCUUCACCAAGCAGACUUCUCAGCGCUCCUGCUUGCGGUGCCGAGCCGAGGCGUUCGCCGCCUGCCCGCCGUAGAUCAUGAAGUAGUUAUGGACUUCCGGGAAUCCCUCUUCCGUGCCUCCCUCCUUCUUGUCGUUGUCAUGGCCCUUGCCAUCCUCCGCCGAGGGCCGGGUCUUAUGGAAGUGGCGUCGGAGCAUGACACAUUCUUCGAGGGUGUGCUUGACGGGCCCCUGGUGAUAGGGGCAUGGCUCUUUGAGCAUCUUGUCGAACGCGUCGGCCCCUCUAGGUGGUUUCCGAGGGUUCCUGUGCUCGACCGCAGCGACGAGAUUCACGUCUGCGGCGUCGCACUUCGCUCGCGACUUGUUUUGGCCUUCUUCAUGCCCCGCUGGGUGGACGCCUCAGGGGCGUCUGUCUUCGGCUCCCCCUAAGGCUGCUUGUCCUUCCGGAAGAUGGCUUCGACCGCCUCUUGACCCGAGGCGAACUUGGUGGCGACGUCCAUCAGUUCGCUCGCGCGGGUAGGAGUCUUGCGCCCCAGUUUGCUCACUAGGUCUCGGCAAGUGGUGCUGGUAAGGAAAGCCCCAAUGACAUCCGAGUCGGUAACGUUGGGCAGCUUGGUGCGCUGCUUCGAAAACCGCCGGAUGUACUCUCGGAGGGACUCCCCUGGCUGCUGGCGGCAGCUUCCGAGGUCCCACGAGUUCCCAGGGCGCACGUACGUGCCUUGGAAGUUCCCCGCGAAAGCUUUGACCAGAUCGUCCCAGUCGGAGAUCUGCGUAGGAGGCAGAUGCUCUAGCCAGGCUCGGGCGGCGUCGGAGAGGAAAAGGGGUAGAUUACGGAUGAUGAGGUUGUCAUCAUCCGCCCCUCCCAACUGGCAGGCCAGUCGGUAGUCCGCGAGCCACAGCUCUGGCCUCGUCUCCCCCGAGUACUUGGUGAUAGUAGUCGGGGCUCGGAAACGGGCAAGGAACGGUGCUCGUCGUAUGGCCCGGCUGAAGAAUCGUGUGCUAGGUGGUUCGGGUGAAGGACUGCGGUCCUCCUCGCUGUUACAGCGUCCCCCGCGCCUAGGAUGGUAGCCUUGGCGCACCUUCUCGUUGAGGUGGGCUCGAUGGUCGAGAUGGUGGUGCUCGUUGCCGAGGCGUUCCCAGGCGGUGGGCGCCUCGUCCCGUGUAUGCUCGGGAUGGACCGAGGCUUCCCGAAUGCGUCGAGAGGACACCGCGUGAUGCUCCGAGGGGUCAGCUCGCCUGCGGGAGGCGGAGCUCUCGGCUCGUCGAACCGCGGUGCCUUCUAGAAGAUUCUUGAGUUCGCCCUGGAUGAGCCGUCCCUCGGUGGUGGAUGGCUCCGGCAUGGCCCGAAGCAGCAUUGCCGCUGCAGCUAGGUCCUGGCCGGACCCGCUGACGGCCGGAGGCAGCGCUGCCCUGGCAUUGUCGACGAUGCGGUGCCAGAUGUCUUAGGCCCAAUGACAGGCUUCUCUGGCGAGUGAUCGGCCUAACCACUCCUGCUCGAUGUUCUGUCGGAGCUGUACAAGCCGGCCUGCUUCCCCGUCGACACGGGCCUGCAUCUCACGGAUUUGCUCGAGUUGUAUGUCCUAACCCCCCGCAGGGACUGGGACGACAGCUAGCUCCCGCGGGAUGUCAACGCGUGAUGAGGGCCCAGGGGGAUCAUCAACCUCUGGCAUACCGAGGUGGUUGCCUUCGUUGUGAUCUUCCAGAUCGACGUGGAAACAUUCGCGACUUGGGCCGUACCCUCGUCGUCAAGGUCAUGGCCAUCGUCAGAACAACCGGAGAGGCAGUGGUCACAUGCGGACAUGAAGCCCCGCAUGGCACCGGGGUCAUUGAGGGCAGAGAAAUCCCAACCGGAGUUGGGGUCGUCCUCUUCCUCAGAACCCGCCGGUCCGAAGGUUGAGACGGCUGUCAGUCGGUCCUAGGUCGACCACAUGUGGUACCCCAGAAGGUUUGGAUACGCCUUUACGAAGGCGCUCACCAUAGCGGGGUCGCUAGGUGGAUCGAAGUUGAACCGAAAAGGUAUGGGAUGGAAAAUGGACGGUACCUCUUAGUCGUUAGACGGUGGUGAAGUCGUGUCGAGGGCGGUGCACACAGUCAUCUCAGGUACGAGGGUAACGCCCAGCAGGUCCUUUGCGAGGGUGCUGGCAUCAUCAGUCCGCUUGGGGCUGACACAUCGCGGGGAAGUGACACCCGCCGUCGCCUCAGGUGCGAGGGCAAUGUCCGACAUGUCCCGCGAGGGAGUGCCGGCGUCGUCGACUCGCUCUGGUGCGACAGCCAACAAGGUGCCGCCUCCUGCGUGGCCAUGGUUGCCCUGUCUCCACCUCCUCCAACGAGGAGGGUGGCGGGGACGACUGGAGUGCUCCUCUUACGCCGCGGGGGGAGGAGUACCAUGUCGUAGCUUCCGUCGAGGGACAUGAACUCAAGACUCCCGAAGCGAAGCACCGUCCCGGGCUGGAGAGGUUGUUGAAGACUCCCCAUCUGGAUCUCAACGGGAAGGUGUUCGUUAACACGCAGCAGGCCCCUACCUGGCGCGCCAACUGUCAGCAUUUUGACCCCGGGGGGGUCCCUGGACCGAUGAGUAAAUUGUCGCUGCGUGUCCCUGCCCAGAUGGGUUGACGCGGGAUGGAACACAAGAUGUGGGACAAGCCUUGUAUUAUCCUGCACCAGGGGUGCCGCUCGCAGUAGGGGUUACAAGCACGUCGCGUGAGGGAGAGAGAGAGGGGGACACAGAGCUCGUCCGCCGCUUCCCUCGCACGAACCUCUCUCAGGGUGGCCCUGGACUUCCCUUUUAUAGAGGCAAGGAGAGAGUCCAGGUGUACAACGGGGGGCGUAGCUAUGCGCUAACGUGUCCGGCAGUGAAGUGACUAAGCCCUGUGUACAUGCCAACGUGGCCGUUGGGGGAGAGCUUGGGCACUGUACAUGUGAUGGCGUGGCUGCCGGAGGAGCGCCUGAGUCCUGUAGGAGCACAGCUGGCAGCGCGGCGAGGACCCUGCUGACGUCUCCUUGCUGUCGUAAGGGGCUGAGAGCCACCGGUGUCAUGGCGCACGUGGGGCACCAUCAUUACCCGUCGCCGGGGUAAGCCAGAUGGGACGCCGGUCUUGUUCCUUGUAGCCUGAGCAGGCUAGAAAUAGGGGAAUGAUGCAUCCCCUAUCAGCACGGUCGGUCCGAGCCCAGGGUCGGUCGAGGCAGAGACUUCUCUUGAGGCCGAGGCCGAGGUCGGGCGAGGAUGCGAUUCCUCCCGAGACUGGGGUUGAGGCUGAGUCCGGGGGUCGGGUGAGACAGAGACCUCCUCCCGAGGCCGAAGCCUGAGGUCGGGCGAGGCGGAGACCUCCUCCUGAAGCCGGAGCGUGAGGUCAGGCGAGGCAGAGCUUCCUGUUGCGCCCGAGGCUUGAACUCGGUGGUUGAUCGUGACUUGUUGUCAGUCGUUGCCGGGGUGGCUGACACGGUAGUCGGAGCGGAGCGAGCGACGUUGUUUUCCUGUCAUAUCGGACAGUAAAGAGGAGGGGCAAAGUGACUGCGGUUACUUCGGCCUAGCCGACUGAGGCGCGUGUGUCAGGAUACGGCGUCAGGCAUCCCCCGCAUUUAAUGCGCCUGCGAAGCGGUCGAUUGGUGAGGCGGUAUGGCCAAGGUUGCUUCACAACAAAGCGUCCCGAGCCGGGCCUCGGGAGGGCCGAGGGGGCGCCUGCUGUCUGAGGAGGCCCUCAGGCGAGGCGUGAAUUUGUCUGGGACCACUGUUCCAACCCGAGGCUGGGCUCGGGUGAGAUCGCGUCCUUCGGGUAGAUGAAGUCUUGGCUUGAACUGUACCCGUCAGUUGGUCUGAGGGUGUUUACCAGCCAUGAUUAGGAGCGUUGGGGGUACCCCUAAUUAUGGUACCCGACACAUACCCAUCAGGGAACAUCAACAUCUUGAUCCACUGAAGUACUUCCUUCCUAUGGGCCCUGCUUAGGACGAAAUCGGCCUUAGGCCUUCUCCAUGUCUUUCCGCCACUUGGCGGCUUCAUCUCUUGGUUUGGUCUAUCACAUAGCGCUGCCAGAUCAACUCUUGCCUUUACGUUAUCCUUUGACUUAUCAGGAAUAUUCAUAAUUGUUGCCCACAGUGCCUCGACAACAUUCUUUUCAGUGUGCAUCACGUCAAUGUUGUGUGGAAGGAGCAGGUCGUCAUAAUAGGGGAGCCGAGUCAAGCCAGACUUAUGUGUCCACAUAUGCUGCUCACCAUAUCCCACAAAACCACCUUCUGUAUUGGCCACGAGCUCAUCUAUCUGUUGACGAAUUUCGGCACCAGUCACCGUUGCAGGUGGGCGGUCUGUCACUACGACACCUUUCGUAAAGUUCUUGAUGUCUAGGCGGAAUGGAUGGUCAGGAGGGAGAAAUUGUUGAUGUUUAUCGAAGGACGAAUAUUUGCCACCCUUUUUCAACCAAAUGAACCUAAGAGCUUCCUUGCAAACUGGGCAUGGGAACUUACCGUGAACACACCAGGCACAGAAUAGCCCAUACGCCGGUAAGUCAUGCAUGGAGUACUGGUACCAAACAUGCAUUCUGAAGUUUGUCUUCGUACCUCAGUCAUACGUCCAUACCCCUUCCUCCCAGGCACGUACCAAUUCAUCGAUCAAAGGCUCCAUGUACACACCCAUUUUAUUCCCCGAGUGUCUGGGAAUUAUCAACGACACGAAUAUAUUCUGCCUUUGAAAGCACACACCAGGGGGGGCAUUGAUUGGGAUAACAAACACGGGCCAACAUGUGUACGGGGCAGCGCUCAUUAUAUAGGGAUUGAACCCAUCUGUGGCCAAUGCAACACGUACAUUACGAGCCUCUUCGGCUUUCUCACGGUGAAUGGCAUCAAAGUGUUUCCCAUCGGAUGUGUGCACCAUCUUGUCAGGAUUGUAUCGUUUUCUAUUUUUGUGCCAUGUCAUCUGUUUCGCGGAUUCCUCUGUCAUGUACAGACGCUGGAUCCUCGGUAUGAACGGAAGGUGCCGUAGGAUUGUCAAGGGGAUGUCGAGCUGCCUCUUCUAUCCAUCAACAGAGUCUACCUCCAUGAACCUAGAUGAUUUACACUUGGGACAGUACUUUGCCUCCGCGUAUUCUUUCCUAAAUAGCACGCAGCCCUUCAGACAAGCAUGAAUCUGCUCAUACGUCAUCUUGAGUGCACGAAGGAGUUUCUGUGCCUCGUACAUGCUCUUUGGCAGAACGUGAUCAUCUAGAAGCAGACUCCCAAUAACCGUCAACAAGCCAUCGAAUGCGUCUCUACUCAUGCUGUACUGCGACUUGAACGCCAUUACACGCCCAAUAGCAUCCAGUUGAGAAACCUUUGUCUGGACAUGAAGGGGCUUCUGUGCCACGUCGAACAUGUCAUAGAAUGCCUUUGCAAUCGGCUCUGGCUCGUCAUCCAUACAUCCUCCCGUGUACUGUGCUUCCUGAUAGUCAUUCAACAUAUUCGCUACCCCCGCAUCUUCAUCAUAAUCCUUGACACGUUGUCUUAGCACUUCCUCUCUCAUACGAUGCGCUUCACCAUGAAAUAUCUACCGAGUAUAGCCCGGCGUAAAUCCAUUCUUCCAAAAGUUCUACCAUGGCCUUCUUUGGUUUUCUUUUCCGGUUGGCACAUUUGCUGCACGGACAUGGGACUAGACUCGCUCCUUUAGCAGCUUCGCCAUAUGCCUGUUCUAUGAAAUCAUCGAUCUUUCUAAUCCAUUCAUGGGUCACAUCGCUCCUUCCUCUAUGGCCCAUGUACAUCCAUUCACGGUCCUCCAUCCUCUAACAUAAGCCUAACAAUAGAAAAUUUUGGCAGCACCUCCCCUGCACGGGAAGGUUUAUAAAACCUGCAAAUAAAAAUAUCAGCACGAUGGCUGACAACCACGUAUAUUUCAACGACACGAUGGCCGACAAUCACAUUUAUAUAUUCAAUCCACUCCAUAGCCACAUGCAAACUACAUUUAUAUUUUAAUCGAAUCGUUGCCGAGUGCCGAGUGCUAUCACUAUCAAACCUAAUAUCAAACCUAACAAUUCCAUAUAACCAUAUGUAGACCAACUAUAUAACUAUAUGUAAUUAUUUCAUAUAACAUAAUAAUAAUCGAAUCUAUCACAUGUAAUUGCAUAUAACCAUAUUAGAUCGUAUACCUUAGCCGGAGCGGCGGUGGUUGGCGGAGAUGGCCGAAGCGGGGAGGAUGGCGCGAGAUUGACGGGGUGAGGGCCGGAGUGGCGGAGAUGGCGCGACGCGCAUGGUUGGCAGCGCGUGGGUAGCAGGGCGCAGGGGCGGCGGCACGUGACUCGGCGGCGUGGGGGCGACGCGAGGGCCGGCGGCAGGGCCGUGCUGCGGUGGGGGCGGUGCAGUGUGCUGCGCGCGGUGGGAGAUAGAGAGUGAGCGAAGAGAAGAAGAGGAAGACAGCUGGUGUAUUAUUCAGCGGCUUUGCCGAGUGCCAGAUUACGGGCACUCGGCAAAGAAUUUCUAAAAAAUUUAAAAAUAUAUUUUGCCGAGUGUCGCGGAUCUAGCACUCGGCAAAGACCUCUUUGCCGAGUGCCGACUGACAGGCACUCGGCAAAACCUUAACUUAUUGUUUUUGCCGAGUGCCCGCCAGCUCGCACUCGGCAAAGACAGCUUUGCCGAGUGUCUUUUCUGGACACUCAGCAAAGUAUGUUUUUUAUUUUUUUCUUUUCUCAACCAAACUUUUUGUGGUAUGUUCCUACACUAUGUAGACCUACAUGUACCAUUUUGGGACAAUUAUAAUAGUGUUUUCAAUAGCUAGUAGAUUUAAUUCGUUUAUUUGAAUUUCUUCGGAAAAUUCAGAUUUGAAUUGCAAGUCACUCAAAACUUGGAAAACUGUGCAUGCAAAAAUGAUAUUUAUGUUAGGUAACACAAGUUACGAUCGAUUUCACGAGCAGACCGGAACCUUCGAGCAUCAUACUCACUAAACAUGACCGUGAACUUACCAUACAGUUGUUUGAAAAUUGUAUAAAACACAAACAAAGUCAGAAAAUCAUGAAACUUGUCCAUGUGUCAUGAUAUCAUAUAUAGAGCCUGUGAUAAUGACACGUGGACAAGUUUCAUGAUUUUCUGACUUUGUUUGUGUUUUAUACAAUUUUUAAACAACUGGAUGGAAAGUUCACGGUCAUGUUUAGUGAGCAUGGUGCUCGAAGGUUCCGGUCUGCUCGUGAAAUCGGUCGUAACUUGUGUUACCUAACAUAAAUAUCAUUUUUGCAUGCACGGUCUUUGGCAGAACGUGAUCAUCUAGAAGCAGACUCCCAAUAACCGUCAACAAGCCAUUGAAUGCGUCUCUACUCAUGCUGUACUGCGACUUGAACGCCAUUACACGCCCAAUAGCAUCCAGUUGAGAAACCUUUGUCUGGACAUGAAGGGGCUUCUGUGCCGCGUCGAACAUGUCAUAGAAUGCCUUUGCAGUCGGCUCUGGCUCGUCAUCCAUACAUCCUCCCGUGUACUGUGCUUCCUGAUAGUCAUUCAACAUAUCCGCUACCCCCGCAUCGGCAUCAUAAUCCUUGACACGUUGUCUUAGCACUUCCUCUCUCAUACGAUGCGCUUCACCAUGAAAUAUCUACCGAGUAUAGCCCGGCGUAAAUCCAUUCUUCCAAAAGUUCUACCAUGGCCUUCUUUGGUUUUCUUUUCCGGUUGGCACAUUUGCUGCACGGACAUGGGACUAGACUCGCUCCUUUAGCAGCUUCGCCAUAUGCCCGUUCUAUGAAAUCAUCGGUUUUUCUAAUCCAUUCAUGGGUCACAUCGCUCCUUCCUCUAUGGCCCAUGUACAUCCAUUCACGGUCCUCCAUCCUCUAACAUAAGCCUAACAAUAGAAAAUUUUGGCAGCACCUCCCCUGCACGGGAAGGUUUAUAAAACCUGCAAAUAAAAAUAUCAGCACGAUGGCUGACAACCACGUAUAUUUCAACGACACGAUGGCCGGCAAUCACAUUUAUAUAUUCAAUCCACUCCAUAGCCACAUGCAAACUACAUUUAUAUUUUAAUCGAAUCGUUGCCGAGUGCCGAGUGCUAUCACUAUCAAACCUAAUAUCAAACCUAACAAUUCCAUAUAACCAUAUGUAGACCAACUAUAUAACUAUAUGUAAUUAUUUCAUAUAACAUAAUAAUAAUCGAAUCUAUCACAUGUAACUGCAUAUAACCAUAUUAGAUCGUAUACCUUAACCGGAGCGGCGGUGGUUGGCGGAGAUGGACGAAGCGGGGAGGAUGGCGCGAGAUUGACGGGGUGAGGGCCGGAGUGGCGGAGAUGGCGCGACGCGCAUGGUUGGCAGCGCGCGGGUAGCAGGGCGCAGGGGCGGCGGCACGCGACCCGGCGGCGUGGGGGCGACGCGAGGGCCGGCGGUAGGGCCGUGCUGCGGUGGGGGCGGCGCAGUGUGCUGCGCGCGGUGGGAGAUAGAGAGUGAGCGAAGAGAAGAAGAGGAAGACGGCUGGUGUAUUAUUCAGCGGCUUUGCCGAGUGCCAGAUUACGGGCACUCGGCAAAGAAUUUCUAAAAAAUUUAAAAAUAUAUUUUGCCGAGUGCCGACUGACAGGCACUCGGCAAAACCUUAACUUAUUGUUUUUGCCGAGUGCCCGCCAGCUCGCACUCGGCAAAGACAGCUUUGCCGAGUGUCUUUUCUGGACACUCAGCAAAGUAUGUUUUUUAUUUUUUUCUUUUCUCAACCAAACUUUUUGUGGUAUGUUCCUACACUAUGUAGACCUACAUGUACCAUUUUGGGACAAUUAUAACAGUGUUUUCAAUAGCUAGUAGAUUUAAUUCGUUUAUUUGAAUUUCUUCGGAAAAUUCAGAUUUGAAUUGCAAGUCACUCAAAACUUGGAAAACUGUGCAUGCAAAAAUGAUAUUUAUGUUAGGUAACACAAGUUACGAUCGAUUUCACGAGCAGAUCGAAACCUUCGAGCAUCAUACUCAUUAAACAUGACCGUGAACUUACCAUCCAGUUGUUUGAAAAUUGUAUAAAACACAAACAAAGUCAGAAAAUCAUGAAACUUGUCCAUGUGUCAUGAUAUCAUAUAUAGAGCCUGUGAUAAUGACACGUGGACAAGUUUCAUGAUUUUCUGACUUUGUUUGUGUUUUAUACAAUUUUUAAACAACUGGAUGGAAAGUUCACGGUCAUGUUUAGUGAGCAUGGUGCUCGAAGGUUCCGGUCUGCUCGUGAAAUCGGUCGUAACUUGUGUUACCUAACAUAAAUAUCAUUUUUGCAUGCACGGUUUUCUAAGUUUCGAGUGAUUUGCAGUUCAAAUCUGAAUUUUCCGAAGAAAUUCAAAUAAACGAACUAAAUCUACUAGCUAUUGAAAACACUGUUAUAAAUUAUAAUUGUCCCAAAAUGGUACAAGUAGGUCUACAUAGUGUAGAAACAUACCACAAAAAGUUUGGUUGCCAAAAUUUAAAAAAUAAAAAUAUACUUUGCCGAGUGUCCAGAAAAGACACUCGACACAGCUGUCUUUGCCGAGUGCCAGCUGGUGGGCACUCGACAAAGAAUCCUCUUUGCCGAGUGACAACCGACGGCCCUCGGCAAAGGUUAACGGCCGUCAGCUUUAGACGGUCGUUGACGGCUCUUUGCCGAGCGCCUUCUUUGCCGAGGGUUCGACACUCGGCAUAGAAGUUUUUGCCGAGUGUUCUUCUGCACCGAGUGUCCUGCACUCGGUAAACAACCUCGUUACCGAGUGUAGGACUUUGCCGAGUGUGGCUCUCGGCAAAGCUGUCUUUGCCGAGUGCCCGACUAAAAACACUCGACAAAGCUCCUAGCACUCGACAAAUGCCUGGAUUCCGGUAGUGAUUGGAUGGAUUUGAAUCCCAAACAAGUCAAAUUUCUUCUUAAUUUUUUCUAAUCCCAUCCAAUCCAUGUGUAUUGGGAAUAACCGAACAAGACCUACCAUGGUGGCAGCACAGCAAGGAUAGCGUCUGAGUUGAAAAGAAAAUAUGCUAUAUGUUAUUUAUAUAUUGAUUUUGGUGAUUAAUGAUCAACACAAUACUGUAAUCUAACUAGUUUGUUAAGUAAGUGAAUACAACUUCAUAAGAAUAAGAUUGAUGCAUUCAAUGAGAAAGAUAGCUCAAACAUAGGUCAGAAGAGGUAAAACUUUGAUAAGUUGAAAUAUGAGUAGUUUUAUAAGUUUAGAUAAGUUCUAAAUGACCUUAGUAAUAUUUUUGAGCACCUUAGUAAGAUUGAGAAGUCGGAUUAUUUUUGGAAAAAAGUGCUUGUGGUGCUAAGAGUAUCUCCAAUAGAUCUCUUGAAAAUGACUUCUCAAAAUCAGUUUUAAUGGACAUUUAAAAAAUUAGUGGGGUUAGAUUUUAAUUAUUUUUCUAACAGAUCCCUUAAAACGAUAGAUUAUUUCUAAGAAGCCCAAAAAACCUCUUACUUGUAGCUACAAAUUAAAGAGUUUUAAGGGAUAUGAAAAAUUUAGGAGUGUUUUAGGGAAACUGUUGAAGACACGUUUUUUGUUUUUCCUAAAAAAUUUAAUUUAGGAGAAACUUUUAAAAAGCUCUAGGAGAUGCUCUAAGUUUGAGGUAGAUUAAGAAUAUAAGGAGGUGUUUGAAUGCACUAGAGAUAAUAAUUAUGGCUAAAAUUAGCUAGAGACAUCCAAACACCCUUUAGCUAUUAGCUAUUUUUAGUAAAUUAACUACUAGUUAGCUAACUAUUUGUUAGCUAGCUAAUUCUAUUAGUAUAUUUUUAGCUAACUAAUUAGAGCAUCUUCAAGAGACUAGCUAAAUGACUCGCUAAGCCAAAUUUUAGCUACUCAAUAGUGAAUUAAAUCUCCAACAGACUAGCUAUCUGACUCGCAAGCUAUCUGACUCUGUAAAUUGGCUCUCUCACUAGCUAAAUUUGGCUAGUCACCUGACUAGCCAAACUAAAUAGAUAGUCUGUUGGACUGAGAUGCUAUAUAUAGAAUGUAAUCUUUAUGAAAACGUAAAUAGAUAGUCAAAUAGAGAGAAAAAAUGAAGAGUCUCUCGGAGAUGCUCUUAUUAGCUUUAGUGCAUUCAAACAUACUCUAAGUCAGAGAUUAAAGAAAGAUAAAAAAACUAUGACUUAAGGGGUGUUUGAAUGCACUAGAACUAAUAGUUAGUUGACUAAAAAUUGUUAGUAAAAUUAGCUAGCUAACAAAUAACUACCCAACUAUUAACUAAUUUACCAAAAAUAGCUAAGUUAUUUGGAUGUCUCAACUAAUUUUAGUCACUAACUAUUAUUCAAACACCUCCUUAGAUUAUUAAUAGGUCGUGUAUCGGUCGACCCGUUUGGCAUCUGCAGUGGUGGGCGUAAAAUAUAUCCCGUCAGCCAUGACGCAGAUCGACGGAACACGAACGGCGCACUCAACUGCUCAUAGAACCAAAACCCCUCUCCGUCACCGCGGUGGCAACCUGCCGUCAUCGCCAUCGCCGCGUGCGUUCUCGAACGUUCUUGUGGCCUAGAAAUACACGUUUCCCAGGCCGGCGACGCCGACGCCGACGCGGUCACGCCUUUUUUUUCAGCCGGCUGGUUCACGUGCUCGACGACGGCGAGCGUCUGUCUAGGUGCGUACAGGACGGCGGGCGCUCAAUACGUCCACCCGCAAUUUCGAUUUGCUCAGUUGAAGUAUUUAAAUCGAUUCAGCGACUGUUUCUGUGACGGGAUGAUGGUUCUCGUUCCUGGCGAGGCGAAUUUUGUCAUCUCGUUCGUAUCGGGGCUAGAUUUAGUUGUUUGGCUAUAGUUUGGCUGAAGGGUAAUUUGUUAGAUAUAAAACCGGAUUGCCCAUUUUAGUCCAUGAUGAUGAUUGACUAUAUUAUGUUGAUUAAUCCUACUAGAUCAGAUGCGCUUGAGGUUUCGAGUUCUUUUUUUUUUUGCAUGACCAAUUCCAUAUGUUCCGUGCGUGCCUGACUGAUAACCUAAUCAGUAGCACUAUCACAUGCUUUUUUGGUAAUCCGAGGAAUUGAUAGCAUGAGGUGGGUCUUGUAUCAGGAGCAAGAUGGAUGGGAACAGGAUAGCUCGGUUUUCGGUCACCUGGAGGGGCAGCCAACUUGAUGUGGAUGCGGAUCCAAGUUGUACCGUGAAAGAGUUUGGGCAACUGUUGCAGGACUUGACUAGUGUUAGGCCAGAGACGUUGAAGCUCAUUGUUCCACGAUCUACAAACAAAGGCUCCAAGCUGAUCAUGCCAUUUUCGGAUGCACAUUCGAGAUUGACACUGAAUGGAGUGGGUAUUAGCGAGGUAAGAUGUGGCUAGCGUGUGCCAUUCGCAUACUCGUUAGUAUAUCACUUGACAGUGGAUAUUAUAACGGCAGAUGGCGUAUGAAAUCGUUGUGACUGAAGUUUUUCUUACUACAGGGAAAACCUAUCCGAAUGAUGGGAGUUUAUGAUGAUGAAAUCGAGGAGGUAUCCGACAAUGGCAAAAGACCUGACCAACGCAUUAUUGGAUUUGAUGAAGAAGAACAGCGGCUUAGGCAAAGAUCAUUAGGCAGGCCACAGAUUUCACUCAAACUUCCCCAGGGACAAUACAUCUUCUGCGAUUUUCGGACGCUUCACUUACCUGGGAUUGAGGUUAGUCAACCUCCCUUCUCCUACCUGCUUUGUAGUGCCUAGUGCCCUGCAGAUGUUCCAGUUUCCUGUACCUUGCUUGAAUUAUGUACACUCUUCACCUCAAUAAGUUCAUUCAGUAUGCACCUUAAAUAUUUGCUAAUGGUUUAAGGAACUACAUCAGUGUAUUUUUGCACAAAGUUCUGUCUGGGACUGCUUGUUUUGGGCUCGGAGUUGCAAAAAGUGUUAAUUGCUUUAUAGUGUCAACAAUUAUGAUUUUUAUUGUAAAACCUCGCCUAGAACAUGCUAGUACAAGUACACACAUUUCUAAUUUGUAUGUCCUUGGAUGUGCAAUGGGGUUGUUUUGACUUAAUCUGCUGUACCUGUUUACUUACCUUUUCCCUGCUAGCUGAAUCCUCCACCUUCGGAAGCUCUGAAACGAAUGCACAUGCUUGCAUGCGACCCUGGUGUAAUUGCGAUCAUGAAAAAGGUAAUUGCCUUAAAGAAGUGAUCAUAUGCUUACUAAGGGAGGUCCAUUUUUAUUUGACUUUGUUGUUGUUUUCAGCAUAAAUGGAGAGUCGGAAUCAUGACUGAGAUGGCUCCUGUUGGAUAUGUAGGCAUCAGUCCAAAAUGUAUUUUAGGUUUCAAUAAGGUGAACAUAAGCUGUCACAAUUUAUAUGCAAUAGAUUGCUAGAAAAAGUAACACAUUAGUUUCUGAAAUAUACCUGUGGGUCAUAUUAUUCAUGCAGAACAUGGGAGAGGAGAUAUCUCUUCGCCUGCGAACUGAUGAUUUGAAGGGAUUCAGGAAGUAUGAAAGUAUCAAGAAAACUCUACUUCAUGAGCUUGUAUGUUUUUUUUGGUUUUUUAAAGAUUUCCCAUAGUUUUUGUUCACUGCAUGGGGUCUUUUUUAUCUUACACUAAAGAUAUCUCUUUGCCUGUAUUGCAAUUGCAGGCACAUAUGGUGCACUCUGAACAUGAUGCAAACUUUUUUGCCCUUAAUAAGCAGGUGUUUCCUAGAUAUUCCCAUCACAUUCGGUUGCCUAUCUUGUUACAUUUGCGUUUAUUUGAUCUUAAUUUUGCUUUUUAAUUUUUGGCAGUUGAACGAGGAAGCUGCUUCCAUGGACUGGACCAAGUCUACAGGUCAUAUGUUGAGUGGUCGUAAAAUCUUCGAUUCAUAUGAAGAGGAAUUUGUUCUAGAACCAGAGAUAACUGUUGCUGGUCACAGGCUCGGGGGAGAGUCAAGUUCGCUUGCUAGCGCUCGUGCGUUGUCUGGAGCUGCUGCUUACCAGCGUUUUCUGAAUGCAUCUGCAAAUGUGGAUCAUGCUUCAGGCACUAAAAUUGAAUAUAGUUCUGAUGAUGUUCCUCGAGGUUUUGUUCAUGAAACUGUGAAGGUAGAGCCAGAUCCAGAUUAUGCUAUGCAUGUGGAUUCAGCAGCUGGGCUAUCAUUUGCAGGGCAGCAUACUAUUGGUUACUCUGAUCCUAAUCCUGACGAUGUUGGCAAGCAAAGUUUUGAUAGAUGCCUAGAACCUGAUCCUGAUGAUUCCUCAAAUGCUAAUAAUCUGAACCAGGAGCUGAGGUUUGAUGUAAGACACCUUAGUGAACCUGACCCUGAUGAUGGUAGUAAUGAAGUUCUGGAACAUGGAAACACGAUGGAAAUGGAUAGUGAACUGACAAACCACAUCACAGUUGUGAAGUAUGAACUUGACCCUGCUGAUUCCUCAAAUGCUAACCAGGAGUUGAUCAUUGAUGGGAAGCAUGGUGAAGAACCUGAUCCUGAUGAUACUUGUCAAGAUGUUUUAAAAUCUGGUAAUGGGACAGAAAUGAUAACAGAACAGAGUGGAAAUUCCAUGGUUCUGAAAGCUGAACCUGAUCCUGACGAUCAUGUUGGUGACUCAAACAUCAAUGAGCUGCAAAGGGUUGAAGAACCAGUGAGAGCCCUCUGUUCACGACUCCAGAAGUCCAUUAAGAUGCUUCGGUUGCAAGCAACACCUGUAGAGGCAGAGUCUGCUAUUCAAACUCUCUUUAAGAUUAUCAAGAAUGUUAUAGAGCAUCCAAAUGACAUUAAGUAUAAGAGAUUGCGUAAGGUAUACUUAUUUGUUCUUGUUUUUCAUUAUCCUUGCAUAUUAUGAUGCAUCAUUCAUUUGAUAAAGCUAUUUUUUCCAAAUCCUUACCAUUUCCCACAUCUGCAGUCCAAUCCACAUUUCCAAAGGAGCUUAGCAAACUAUAAAGGUAUUACUGUUUGCUCCAUCACUUGCCACUUCUUACUGAAUUCCUGAAAUGAAUCUAUACUAAAUGUUUAGUCUCUUUUACUGCAAAACCAGCUGCAAUGGAGGUUCUUGAAUUGAUUGGUUUCUGCGAGGAUGUAAUCUCAGAUGAGGUUGGGCGUGCUGAGACUUACCUGGUAUUGAAAAGGAAUGAUCCUGGAUUGCUAUGGCUGGCAAAGUCCUCCCUUGAGGUCUCUCUGGCUUGAUAAAAUUUGAUACAUCAUUCAUGGUUGCUAUUUUUCGUCGUGAAUAUAUUUGAUUGUUUGUACAAGAGAGCUAGCUAUUGGCAUGCACCAUUCUCCUGUAUGGGGACUGUUGUAUACUUGCAUAUGAAUACACAAGAAUGUAAUGCCACAUUCAACUUUAUGCUCUUUGUUUGCGUUAUCUGUGCCUUCGUCUUGGAUGGCUUUCACUCCCAUAGUCCCAUGUGAUGCACAACAAUGUACCGAGUGUGACUGAUUCAGGAGUUCAUUGUACUUGAAUUUCCAGAUUAUGCUGCGUUUGAAGCAGACAGAAGGAGCAUUUUUUUUCACUGCGAGUUUCCUAUAUUCCAUCUCUUCUGCUCUUGAUAAGCAGACACUUGGUAUUUGUAAUGCAAUUUUUUCCAGUGUUGCUUGGGACUAAAAGGCUAUGUUGAUGUUGAUGUUUAUGUUGAUGAUGUCUGGUUGCCUCUUGCAAGAUUUUAAUCUGCGUAGUUUUUGAGAGGGAUGAGAGGAGGGAAUGGUGUAAAUGGCCACCAUUCUUAGAGAGGCCUCUCAAACAGCAAUGCCCUGCUGGUCUUCCUCCAUUUUGAUUUCUUGUUUCUCCAUCUUGAAGCAACUACUGUUGCCUCUUGUUUUUACCCCCCCUUUCCAGUUUGUUUUAAUAACCGAGGAAGAUGGGUUGGCUCGUUGUCCGGACAAUCUGUGUUUCUUCCCCAUCCACAGAUUGUGGUUGACGAUGCCUACAUUUCGAGCAACCAGCCUGAAGUACAUGGUUCGUAUAGGCUUGGGAACUGGUAUAAGUUUUCUGGUAUCAGUUCUGAAAUGCAGGACGUGUCUACAGUAGGAGACCAUAGUGAAUAGAAUAGGGUGGAGUGGCAAAGAAAUAGUUACAGUUGACCAACAAACAUCACAGCACAAGGUACACAAAGCCCACAACAAUUUUAUUAGGUUUGGAGAUCUAAGAACCAUAUAUAGCAGCUAAAGAUUUCCAUAACAAUAUCCAAAGGAGAAUAACGUGUUUCAUAUUUUUUCGUGUGACUUGUGACUUUAUCUUUAGAGAGCAAUUAAUACCAUGCAACAAAGAUAUUAGUGAAAGAACUAUACCUACAUAAAGUUCUAUACAGAAGGCCACAGAUAAUUUUGGUAGAGCUCACAUCAUUGGUGGUAGGGGUCAUGGUAUCAUGUUUUAAAGGAGUUAUAUUAUUGAAUGUUGUGGCAAUCAAGAAAUCAAAGGUAGUAGUACAAAGAGAAAUCAAUGAAGCUGCAGUUUCUUCUCAAGCUAACCAUAGAAGGCAGAAGUACCGCUGGUAGUUUAUGAAUUCAUUUCAAACCCACUUUGUCGUCACCUUCACAUUGAAGGACCCAUAUCACUACCAUGGGAUGAUCGACUAAGGAUAGCAACCGAAGUUGCCAAAAGCUCUAUCCUAUCUACAUUUGGUUGCUUCAAUGUCCAAUGGUUCAUAGAGGUAUUAAGUCUGCAAACAUCUUGAUGAUGCUUUGACAGUGACAGCAAAAUGUUUCAGAUUUUGGAGCUUCUAGAUACAUCCCCACUGUUUCAGACAGGAGUGACUACGUCAGUUCGUGGAACAAUGGGUUAUUUGGAUCUAUCAUCACAUGGAUCGGUCAACAGACAAGAGUAAUGUUUUCAGUUGUGAUGUUCUUGUAGAAUUGCUUACUCGAAAAAAACCAUGUGUCUAUAAGUCAGUCAGUCAACAAGGGUUUGGAGGAAGAUGGGCAAGACAGGAAAUUUCAUGUCAGCAGCAGGUAAGAAGACUUCAAAUACGAUGCCACAACAGCAGCUGCACAAGGAACUAUGGAACAAGUCGGCAAAGUGCAACCAUCGGCGGGUGAGCUGCUUGUGUCAAUGGAGACUGGGACACCAGAUGGUCCAUGGUGAACGGCGUCCAGUUUGAUCGGAUGGCUAUCCAUAACCCACUCUUCUUCUGCCAAAUGUUCCUCUUCCUGUGAACAUUUGGCUCGCAUAUGCGGCACCGCCGACUCAUCUCUGGAGGGUGGCGUGCAGCAGGCCACACUUCUCGACCGCCAGUCCUCAACAAAGGUACACCCCUGGUUCACCCGUCGUGACUCAUGAGUAGUUCACUGGCCCAAAAAAUCUGGAGUAGUUGAUUGCUCGUUAGCUGAAUUUAGAAGAGAAAUUUCAUUGUGGGCUGUUCUUGUAGUGCCUAGCUAUGUUACCUGUUUUUUUCAUGCAUUAUUCUGUUGAGGUAGUUGUAUCGUCGAUUCUCCGGCGAUGAUGGACCUGUGAAUGGUUUUGAUGCCAUGGCUUAACCGGCUUUCUCCUAGGAUUGCAUUUCCAUACUAACCUAACAGAUGAACUAGAUUCUGGCUCUUAGCUUAAUUUUUUUAAAGUCUCCUGUGCUCGUUUGUUUCUGAGGUGGUCUGCUGUUCACAUUCCCUGCGCUAUUUUUACUCAUCCAUCUGCGUCUGUGCUGGAAAUGCUUUUUGCCAGACAUAUAAAAUGUUUCAAGGUAGAUGAUCCCCAUCUACCUCUUUCUGCAAACCAGGAAUUGGGGGAAUUUUGGCAUGCUUUGAAGUGUUCCAAAGCUGGGUUGGACUGAAAUUUUGUCAUAGACUCUAGAGCCUACUUGGCGUAGCAUUCGGGGUUUUAAAUCUGACACAUGGGCACCCUAUAUAUAUUAGAUGUUUUGUCCCCAUCCCUUGUGAGAUCGGCUAGCUUUAUUAUACUGACUUACUCUGUACUUCUCUGCUCGCCAUCUUUUUCUCUUUCCUUUCCCUGUGUCUCUGCUUAGGCUUGUUUACUGUUGACCCUUGGAUUUUCUUAGACCCAUAGUGAUACAAAACAAACUUAGGUCGGAUGACCCACUAAUAUGUACCGAUAGAGGUGGCUUUCUGUUCUCAUUUCAUAUUCGGCAUGUCUGUCCUUGUCGUCGACGUCUUCUAUUGUUAAGUAUAGCCUUACAGUCAAGUAUAUAUUUGUUUGACCCUUUAAUUGUAACCUAACCCCACAUGACCAAACAGACUCAGCAUUCUAAGUACACACGAUCUUGCUUUCUCAGAGAUCUACUGACUGAUGUGCGCACAAAGACUGAUAAAUGUGUGUUAGCUUUCACUGUGACUGUUAUUUAUUAGAGCUCAAAGUUGAAUAACCUCUCCAAUGUAUUAUUUUUCCAUCUUUGUAUUUGGUUAUUUGUUUCUGUACCUGCUUCACUGCUACCUUUUAAGUUUUAAGGCUCUCUAAAUGAUAACGAUGUCUCCGAAGGCAACACAAACAUUUCUAGUCACUCUCAAUCUGUCACCUAAUGACAGCUGCAAUAGUGCUAUCUAGCCAAGGGAUUUUGAGUUCUUGUUUAUGGCUUGUUUGCAUAGACCAGGUCAGCGAAGACUUAUGGUCAUUACUUGUAUACACUAGGUCGUCUUCAACAACUUGUCCUUGUGCCCUGUGGAACGAUGUAGUACACACUUGCCACACCAGCUCUGAACUAGUUGCAAUUUCUAUUUUGAGGCUUCAGAUGAUUAACUUUCCAUCAAUUUCAACAGCUCCCUAGACCGUAGUAGCUUGUUGCAAGGAUUUGCUUCCUAUCUUUGACUAUCUGUCUCUCAGCUGUGCCUCCCUGUGUUUUAAGGCUAACCUACUGACAGACAAUAAACUUCUGUCAAUACAAUAUGUAUACUAUCACGCCUUACUUGAAAUAUCACCUAAUGACAUCAGUAACAGCGUAGCUAUAGCAAGCAGAGACUUCCCAACUCUUCGUGUGAUUUGCAUUGACCAGGGCGGCCGCACAGGCUGUAUAUGAGGGUUCAUUGCUUAUAUAUGUAGCAUGAACUCGUGCAUCCCAUUCCCAGCAACUAAGCCUAACCAUCUGCUCCACCACUUCUGUUCCUUGUAUACCUUAGUCAACAAUGCACACACUUGCCAUAGCAGCUCUGCACCUGUUGCAGCUUCUAGCAACAAUACCAACACUAUCCUCACAAGACACAGAGGCAAUUCCCGGUUGCACCUCCAGAUGCCACAACAUAAGCAUACCUUACCCCUUCGGUAUCGGCGAUGAGCGAUGCUACUUACAUGAGGGGUUCAAGCUCGCGUGCAAGACGGAAGAACAGCCUCCGGUGCUGUACAUGAACAGCGCUGGAUAUCGAGUUGUGAAAAUUAAGCUGAACCCUAGGGUCGUGUACCUCGACACUCGUUUCCACCAGCUGUUGGGGAAAAGCAGCUAUGGCGAGAGCUGGAACCUCAGCCUGGACAACAGCCUCUACCGCUUAUCAGCCGCCCAGAAUGUGUUCGUCGCCCUGGGGUGUGGUUUCAGGUUCUCGGUCAGUCUCCCGGGAGCAGGAGCCAACGCCAGCGCCAGCACCUGUGACUCCAGCUGCCAGCAUGGGUACCCCAAGGUACCCACCGAUGGCACAUGCUCUGGCACUGGCUGCUGCUACACGGAGGUUUCACAAGACAGCAACAGCUACGCGAUCAAGCUUGUUCCCCACGACGAAGCAGCAGCGAACUCGACCAUGCCUGGCGCAAGGGGUCCGUUCAACGCCACGUACAUCGUGGAGAAGGGCGAGUACUGGAAGAGGACAGGAUUCGCCGUACCGCUGCAGCAGUACGCGGCCGCGCCAGAAUCUGUCCCGCCAGUGCCAACCCACACAGUGGUCUACUGGAUGUUUGGCAACUCGUCCUGUGCAGAAGCUCGGAGCUCCAAUGCCUCUGGCUGCCUCAGUGACGAGAGUGAGUGCCACGAUGAGCCUCCGCGAGGGUAUAGAUGCCAGUGUGGCCAAGGCUAUGUUGGGAACCCCUACAUGCCGAACGGUUGCCAAGGUACGCAUCUUCCGGUUCAGGUUCAACUUGUACCAUGUGAUUACUUUGCACUAAUUAGUAAUAACUUGUUUUUACUCAUGGUAAUAGAUGUUAAUGAGUGCACACAGACAGAUCCACCGCCAUGCUUUGGGCAAUGCAUAAAUACAAUAGGAUCAUAUGAUUGCAUCUGCCCAUCUGGCACCUCGGGCAACCCCAGAGUAAAAGAUGGGUGUAGUCCAAGCAAAUUGAAAUUAUCAGGUAACAAUAAAAAAAUCAUGAUAUCUCUUGUUUAUAUUCUAAGGAACUAAGCCUAGCUUAGUUUGCCAUGAGGGUGGAUGUACACCAAUAUCGCCCAAACUCAAGUUCUCAUCGAGACGAAUUUGGGUGCCUAUUUCUUCUUAAUUAAGUCACCUAGUUCCUCCUACAUUGGUCGAUUAUUUUACCAACACUCUUGUAGUGUAGCGAUGGACUUUCCUUUCUUAUUUUUAUUAAUAUAAUGAUGGGUACAUCUCCUACCGUUUCCAUAAAAGAAAAGGUUCGUCGAAGUAAAUAAUCUGAAUUCCAUUUUUUCACAAAUUACCCAGGAUUGAUCAUUGCAAUCGGACUUGGAAGUGGUAUUGCCAUUCUGCUGUUUGUUUUCGCCAUUGUCGUCAUAAGGAGAAAGGUCAAGGCUCGGAAAGCUAGAAUAACGAAAGAGUUUUUCUUCAAGCAAAACAGAGGCCUUCUGCUGCAGCAGCUGGUAGACAGGGACAUCGCCGAAAGGAUGAUCUUCAGACUAGAAGAGCUCGAGCGGGCCACAAACAGUUUCGACGAAACCCGAAAGCUCGGCGGCGGAGGCCACGGGACCGUGUACAAAGGUAUCUUGUCUGACCAGCGGGUUGUCGCUAUAAAGAAGUCAAGGCACGCAGUCAAGAGGGAGAUCGACGAUUUUAUCAACGAGGUCGCCAUACUCUCCCAAGUGAACCACAGGAACGUAGUGAACCUUUUCGGAUGUUGCCUCGAGACAGAAGUCCCGCUGCUGGUCUACGAGUUCAUUUCAAACGGGACGCUCCACGAGCACCUUCAUGUCAGUGCUCCACAGUCCUUGUCAUGGAAGGAGCGCAAGAGGAUCGCCCUUGAGAUCGCGAGGUCUCUUGCUUACCUGCAUUCUUCUGCUUCCAUGUCGAUAAUCCACAGAGACAUAAAGACAGCCAACAUACUGCUAGAUGAUCGGCUAGUAGCCAAAGUGGCAGACUUUGGGGCUUCUCGAGGCAUCCCCAUCUAUGAGACUUCUGUGACGACGACCAUUCAAGGAACCUUCGGGUAUCUGGAUCCAGAGUACUACCAAACAGGCCGGCUCACCGAGAAAAGCGACGUGUACAGCUUCGGCGUGAUACUGGUGGAGCUGCUGAUGCGCAGGAAGCCCUCGUCGUACGUCUCGCCUGAAGGCUCCAACCUGGUCUCGCACUUCUCGUCGGCGGUGAGCGAGGACAAGCUCCGGGAGGUCCUGGACUCUCAAGUCAUCGAGGAGGCAGAAGAAGAAGAGACCAGGGAAAUGGCCGCCAUCGCAGUGACGUGCCUGAACUCCAAGGGGGAGGACAGGCCCUCGAUGAGGCAGGUCGAGAUGAGACUGCAAGCGUUGCAGAGUCCGGCGGACAGUACUGGAAGGAACCAGAACCAGAGGAUCGAGGAAGGUGCGGCGGGGCCCAACGGCCGUCGACCUGUCCAGGGCGGCGACUCUUCCUACGCCGGUGAUCACAGCAACUUGAGCAGGCCGUAUAGCAUGGAGCAGGAGUUCUGGUCGUCGAUGAGCUUUCCUCGUUGAUCACUAUGGUUGCUAUUUUUCGUUGUGAAUAUAUUUGAUUGUUUGUACAGGAGAACCAGCUAUUGGCAUGCACCAUUCUCCUGUAUGGGGACUGUUGUAUACUUGCAUAUGAGUACACAAGCACGUAAUGCCGCAUUCAACUUUGUGCUUUUUGUUUGCCUUAUCUGUGCCUGUCUUGGGAUGACUUUCACUCCCAUGUGAUGUACACCAAGGUACCGAUUUUGACUGAUUCAGGAGUUCAUUGUACUUGAAUUUCCAGAUUAUGCUGCACCUGAAGCAGACACAAGGAGCAUUUUUUUUCCCACUGCGAGUUUGCUAUAUUCCAUCUCUUCUGCUCUUGAUAAGCAGACACUUGGUAUUUGUAAUGCAGCUAUUUUUUUCCAGUGUCUGGUCGACCCUCAAGUUAUGUAUGGGUGAGAAAGGUGGAGAAAUCCAAGAAGCAGCCAUCAAAUUUGAAGGGAGAAGAUAGCCUACAAUGAUGGGAGUGGAAAUUUCAAUGUCAACAGAAGGUAAGAGAAGACGAGGAACUAUGGAACGAGUCGGCAAAACUCGUUCAGAGCGACUGUGCUGUUCGGUGCCCGCAGUGGCACUACCACGGGAUGGUCGGUUGGUCACCACGUCGACACGAGGUAGCAGGCUGCUGGCAGAGCGUGCCCGAGACGGAAAGCUCGCCAUCUAAAAAAAACUUUCUUCUCUGUCUUCCCUAUGGAUGUAUACGAACAGUGGAAACAUGAUCUCGCCUUGCAUGGAGAUCAAAGCCGGGUAAGACGGUGAAACUAGCAAUUGAAUAUUUCACGAGCCAAACAAACAGUGGCGGGGAUAUAUAUUCUUGAUAAUGACAGACAAACACCGUCCAUCUCUAGUUUUAGCCGAAACUCUAUCUAGGUUUUAACGCCCAACAAGCCCAAGAAACCGUCUGCAUAUUGGUUGGUUUUGAGGCCCGAACCAUACACUCUGAUCUCUGAUCUUGUCACCGUUGGUCCACGACAGACCAAACAAUAAGCCCAACAUAGGCACAUAGCUAGAGAUCAACCGGCUUGCAGGAGGACUACCGUUUACUCAGUCUAUAUACAUUUUUUUAGAUAACGGGAUAGAGUGUUCCCAGCCUACAUCACGAAGAUGACGGCCUGUCACGCCAACACAAUACCAACAAAUCCAACUCAAAGAGCCACAAGCGGCGAUACAAACCCCAAACGCAGUUGGGUGGACAGCAAAAAGUAAAAACAAAGCUCACAGAGCGAUCCUAUUACUAAACUGCCACCCAUGAAAAGCGAAGAUCUGCAUCACUGUCGUCUCAAGCUUCCUGCAGGCCUCCCUGAUGACCUUGGCGUCUUCCUCAUGCCUUUGAAGUUGCGCCCAGAAACGACACCAGUAGGUUCCUCUGUAAAGUACCUGCAUGUAAGUUUUGAUCAGACUUUUAUUAAAAACCACAUCAUUCCUACUUAGCCAAAUUGCCCAGCAUAUGGCUAUAGCCCCUACUAGAAUCUUUAGUCUAUCCUUGGGGGAGAAUCCCCGGGCCCAUAGAUUAAAAAAAAUCAUAAACGCUAUAAGGUGUCCUUAACCCAAAGGUAAGACUCACCGCCCGCCACAUGAAUUUGGCAAAAUGACACUCAAAGAACAGAUGUUGUAUGGAUUCAUUGCAAUAACAGAAAACACAAUAUUUAGGACCGUUCCAAUUACGCUUAGUGAAAGGGAAAUAGGGUCAAACCUUUUCCUAAUUGAUUUUGGUGGUUGAAUUGCCCAACACAAAUAAUUGGACUAACUAGUUUGUUCAAGAUCAUACAAUUUUACAGGUGCCAACGGUUCAACACAAACCAAUCAAAAGAACAAGUUAGGUCUCAAAAGAAAGGAGCAAAAGGAAACCGAAGGCUGCCCUGGUCUGGCGCACCGGACAGUCCGGUGUGCCACCGGACAGUGUCCGGUGCACCAGGAUGAAUCAGCUUGAACUCUUCACCUUCGGGUUUCCCAGGCGCAGCUCCGCUAUAAUUCACCGGACUGUCCGGUGAGCCAUCGGACAGUGUCCGGUGCACCAGCGGAGCAACGGCUAUCUGCGUGCAACGGUCGACUCUGACGGAUGAACAGUGCCGUGGCAGAAGUCAGAGCAGCGGUCAGAGCACCGGACUGUCCGGUGUGACACCGGACUGUCCGGUGCCACAUGAGGACAAAGUCUCCAAUGGUCGACCAGCUCAGAGACCUAACGACAGGGUGACGUGGCGGCACACCGGACACUGUCCGGUGGUGCACCGGACUGUCCGGUGCGUCCAUCGCCAGUAGCCUUCUCCAACGACUAGAAUUUGGUUGGUGGCUAUAAAUACCACCCCAACCAGCCACUUCAAGUGGUGGGAGCCCAAGCAACAUUCCAAGUCAUCUAGUUGACAUACUCAAGCCCUCCCAACCACAUAUAUUCAUUGAUCCAUCCUAUACACAAGAUUUAGACCACUACAACCAACACAAGUGCCACAUAUAUUUGAGUUUAGCACUAGUGCCUUGUGAGAUUCAUUGAGAGAUAGUGUGUGCUACAUCUUUUUGUUCAUUUGCGCAUGGAGUUUUGACUCCCAUUGAACUUCCUCCAAAGUUUUGGAGGCUUGUAAAAGCUAGCAAGAGACACCAAAGAGUGUGGUGGUCCUUGUGGGGUCUUAAGUGAUCCUUGAGAAGAAGAGCUCGUCGAUCUUGAGUGAUCGGUGGAGAGAGGGAAAGGGUUGAAAAAGAUCCGUCCUUAGUGGACUCCUCAAUGGGGACUAGGCCUUCGAGGGCCGAACCUCGGUAAAACAAAUCACCCGUGUCUCGUGUGCUUAUUGCUUGUGAUUUGUUUGUCCUUUCCCUUCUAAGUUUUUCUUGCACUACUCUUUGCUAAUUCUAUUUGGUGUUGCUUUAAGUUAAAUUCUCAUUUAGUGAAGCAACACAUUGUAAGAGGGAACUUGUGUUAUUGCUCUUCUUGCCUAAGCCCUCUUGCUUUAUUCUCAUAGACUUAUUAGUAGUAUUGAUUUAUCAAUUCCGCAUUAUUUGAAAGCAAUACUCUUUACAAGCAAGGACUUAGUUUUUAUACUCCGAUAAUUAUAUAUCUUGUUCUAACCACUAAUCAAGGGAUCUAGUUGGGGGAUAAAGUUUUAAUAUUCAGGUUUCGCCUAUCCACCCUCCUCUAGGCGACUUACAAUUGGUAUCAGAGCAAGGCACUUCAUAUUGAGUCUAACAACUCGAAGUGAUGGCUCAAAGAAGAUCCCAAAAGAACAAGAACACAACUCGGAAGGAGGUAACUCUUGAGAUAUUAUUUUCCGAUUGUUCUAACUAUGAUUCAUGGUCUACUAGUGUACUAAAUGCUUUUAGAACUCUAGAUCCUCGAUUAGAACAAAUUAUAGACAAGAGUAUCAUACAUGAAAGUCGUCUAGAGGGGGGGUGAAUAGGGCGAAACUGAAAUUUACAAAGUUUAUCACAACUACAAGCCGGGUUAGCGUUAGAAAUAUAAAUGAGUCCGAGAGAGAGGGUGCAAAACAAAUCGCAAGCGAAUAAAGAGUGUGACACGCGGAUUUGUUUUACCGAGGUUCGGUUUUUGCAAACCUACUCCCCGUUGAGGUGGUCACAAAGACCGUUUCUCUUUCAACCCUUUCCCUCUCUCAAAUGGUCCCUUGGACCGAGUGAGCUUUUCUUCUCAAUCAAUUGGAACACAAAGUUCCCACAAGGACCACCACACGAUUGGUGUCUCUUGCCUCAAUUACAAGUGAGUUUGAUCGCAAGAAAGAAUGAGAAAGAAAACAAUCCAAGCGCAAGAGCUCAAAAGAACACAACAAAUCUCUCUCACUUAACACUAAAGCUUUUGUGGAGUUGGGAGAGGAUUUGAUCACUUGGGUGUGUCUAGAAUUGAAUGCUAGAGCUCUUGUAAGUGUUUGAAAGUUGGAAAACUUGGAUGACUUGAAUGUGGGGUGGUUGGGGGUAUUUAUAACCCCAACCACCAAACUAGCCGUUUGGUGGAGGCUGCUGUCGCAUGGCGCACCGGACAGUCUGGUGCGCCACCGGACACUGUCCGGUGCGCCAGUCACGUCACCAGGCCGUUCGAGUUCUGACUUGUGGGCCCGCCUGGCUGUCUGGUGGUGCACCGGACAAGUCCUGUAGACUGUCCGGUGUGCCACCCGCGUGUGCUCUGCUCCUCUGCGUGCGCUGGCGCGCAUUUAAUGCAUUGCAGUCGACCGUUGGCGCGAAGUAGUCGUUGCUCCGCUGGCUCACCGGACAGUCCGGUGUGCACCGGACAUGUCCGGUGAAUUAUAGCGGAGUGAAAAUCCGAAGCUAGCGAGUUCAGAGCCGCUCUCCUCUGGAGCACCGGACACUGUCCGGUGGUACACCAGACAGUCCGGUGAAUUAUAGUGAAGUGUCCCUGAGAAUUCCCGAAGGUGUGAAGUUUGGCUUGAAGUCCCCUGGUACACUGGACACUGUCCGGUGGUGCACCGGACAGUCCGGUGUGCCAGACCAGGGCAGCCUUCGGUUAUCCCUUUGCUAUUUUUGUUGAACCCUUUUCUUGGUCUUUUUAUUGGCUUAAAUGUGAACCUUUGGCACCUGUAUAACUUAUAGACUAGAUCAAACUAGUUAGUCCAAUUAUUUGUGUUGGGCAAUUCAAUCACCAAAAUCAAUUAGGAACUAGGUGUAAGCCUAAUUCCCUUUCAAUCUCCCCUAUUGGUGAUUGAUGCCAACACAAACCAAAACAAGUAUAGAAGUGCAUAGUUGAACUAGUUUGCAUAAUGUAAGGCAAAGGUUACUUAGAAUUGAGCCAAUAUGAAACUUAUAAGAUAUGCAUGGAUUGUUUCUUUGAUUUUUGACAUUUUGGACCACGCUUGCACCACUUGUUUUGUUUUUCCAAAUUCUUUUGUAAAUCCUUUUCAAAGUCCUUUUGCAAAUAGUCAAAGGUAAAUGAAUAAGAUUCUGCGAAGCAUUUUCAAGAUUUGAAAUUUUCUCCCCCUGUUUCAAAUGCUUUUCCUUUGACUAAACAGAACUUCCCCUUAAUAAAAUUUUCCUCUUAGUGUUCAAGAGGGUUUUAAGAUAUCAAUUUUAAAAUACUGCUUUCUCCCCCUUUUGAGCACACUAAGAUACUAUUUUGAAAUUUACCAAUUGAAAAUCCUUAGUUUUAAAAUUAGGUGGUGGUGCAGUCCUUUUGCUUUGGGCUCAUGCUCUCUCCCCCUUUGGCAUAAAUCGCCAAAAACGGAGUUAUUAGAGCCCUUUUAACUACUUUCUCCCCUUUGGCAAAAUAAAACAUGAGUGAAGAUUAUACCAAGGUUGGAGAGAUGCUCGGAGCGACGGCGAAGGAUGAGUUGCGGAGUGGAAGCCUUUGUCUUCGCCGAAGAUUCCAAUUCCCUUUCAAUACACUUAUGGCUUGGUUUGAAAUUCACUUGAAAACACAUUAGUCAUAGCAUAUAAAAGAGAUAUGAUCAAAGGUAUACUUAUGAGCUAUGUGAGCAAGACAUCAAAAGAAAUUCCUAGAAUCAAGAAUAUUUAGCUCAUGCCUAAGUUUGUUAAAAGUUUGUUCAUCAAGUGGCUUGGUAAAGAUAUCGGCUAAUUGAUCUUUAGUGUUAAUAUAUGCAAUCUCGAUAUCUCCCUUUUGUUGGUGAUCCCUUAGAAAAUGAUACUGAAUGGCUAUGUGUUUAGUGCGGCUAUGCUCAACGGGAUUACCCGCCAUGCGGAUUGCACUCUCAUUAUCACAUAGAAGAGAAACUUUGGUUAAUUUGUAACCGUAGUCCCUAAGGGUUUGCCUCAUCCAAAGUAGUUGCGCGCAACAAUGGCCUGCGGCAAUAUACUCGGCUUCGGCGGUAGAAAGAGCUACGGGAUUUUGCUUCUUUGAAGCCCAAGACACCAAGGAUCUUCCCAAGAACUGGCAAGUCCCCGAUGUGCUCUUCCUAUUAAUUUUACACCCCGCCCAAUCGGCAUCAGAAUAACCAAUUAAAUCAAAUGUGGAUCCCCUAGGAUACCAAAGCCCAAACUUAAGAGUAUAAGCCAAAUAUCUCAAGAUUCAUUUUACGACCGUAAGGUGAGCUUCCUUAGGGUCGGCUUGGAAUCUUGCACACCUGCAUACGAAAAGCAUAAUAUCCGGUCGAGAUGCACAUAAAUAGAGUAAAGAACCUAUCAUCGACUGGUAUACCUUUUGAUCCACGGACUUACCUUCUGUGUCGAGGUCGAGAUGCCCAUUGGUUCCCAUGGAUGUCUUGAUGGGUUUGGCAUCCUUCAUCCCAAACUUGCUUAGGAUAUCUUGAGUAUACUUUGUUUGGCUAAUGAAGGUGCCCUCUUGGAGUUGCUUUACUUGAAAUCCUAAGAAGUACUUCAACUCCCCCAUCAUUGACAUCUCGAAUUUUUGUGUCAUGAUCCUACUAAACUCUUCACAUAUAGAUUCGUUAGUAGACCCAAAUAUAAUAUCAUCAACAUAAAUUUGGCAUACAAACAAAUCAUUUUCAAGUGUUUUGGUAAAGAGUGUAGGAUCCGCUUUUCCGACUUUGAAUCCAUUAGUGAUAUGGAAAUCUCUAAGGCAUUCAUACCAUGCUCUUGGGGCUUGCUUGAGCCCAUAAAGCGCCUUAGAGAGCUUAUAUACAUGGUUAGGGUACUCACUAUCUUCAAAGCCGGGAGGUUGCUCAACAUAGACCUCUUCCUUGAUUGGUCCAUUGAGGAAGGCGCUCUUCACGUCCAUUUGAUAAAGCUUGAAGCCAUGGUAAGUAGCAUAGGCUAAUAAUAUACGAAUUGACUCAAGCCUAGCUACGGGUGCAUAGGUUUCACCGAAAUCCAAACCUUCGACUUGGGAGUAUCCUUUGGCCACAAGUCGAGCUUUGUUCCUUGUCACCACACCAUGCUCGUCUUGCUUGUUGCGGAAGACCCAUUUGGUUCCUACAACAUUUUGAUUAGGACGUGGAACUAAGUGCCAUACCUCAUUUCUAGUGAAGUUGUUGAGCUCUUCUUGCAUCGCCACCACCCAAUCCGAAUCUUGUAGUGCUUCCUCUACCCUGUGUGGCUCAAUAGAGGAAACAAAAGAGUAAUGCUCACAAAAAUGUGCAACACGAGAUCUAGUGGUUACCCCCUUAUGGAUGUCGCCGAGGAUGGUGUCGACGGGGUGAUCUCGUUGAAUUGCUUGGUGGACUCUUGGGUGUGGCGGCCUUGGUUCUUCAUCCUCCUUGUCUUGAUCAUUUGCAUCUCCCCCUUGAUCAUUGCCGUCAUCUUGAGGUGUCUCAUUUGCUUGAUCUUCUCCUUCAUCAACUUGAGCCUCAUCCUCAUUUUGAGUUGGUGGAGAUACUUGCGUGGAGGAGGAUGGUUGAUCUUGUGCACUUGGAGGCUCUUCGGAUUCCUUAGGACACACAUCCCCAAUGGACAUGUUCCUUAGCGUGAUGCACGGAGCCUCUUCAUCACCUAUCUCAUCAAGAUCAACUUGCUCUACUUGAGAGCCGUUAGUCUCAUCAAACACAACGUCACAAGAAACUUCAACUAGUCCCGAGGACUUGUUAAAGACUCUAUAUGCCCUUGUGUUUGAAUCAUAUCCUAGUAAAAAGCCUUCUACAGUCUUAGGAGCAAAUUUAGAUUUUCUACCUCUUUUAACAAGAAUAAAACAUUUGCUACCAAAGACUCUAAAAUAUGAAAUAUUGGGCUUUUUACCGGUUAGGAGUUCGUAUGAUGUCUUCUUGAGGAUUCGGUGUAGAUAUAAUCAGUUGAUGGCGUAGCAAGCGGUGUUGACCGCCUCGGCCCAAAACCGAUCCGAAGUCUUGUACUCAUCAAGCAUGGUUCUUGCAAUGUCCAAUAGAGUUCGAUUCUUCCUCUCCACUACACCAUUUUGUUGUGGCGUGUAGGGAGAAGAGAACUCAUGCUUGAUGCCCUCCUCCUCAAGGAAGCCUUCUAUUUGUGAGUUCUUGAACUCCGUCCCGUUGUCGCUUCUAAUUUUCUUGAUCCUUAAGCCGAACUCGUUUUGAGCCCGUCUCAAGAAUCCUUUUAAGGUCUCUUGGGUAUGAGAUUUUUCCUGCAAAAAGAACACCCAAGUGAAGCGAGAAUAAUCAUCCACAAUAACUAGACAGUACUUACUCCCGCCGAUGCUUAUAUAAGCUAUCGGGCCGAAUAGAUCCAUGUGUAGGAGCUCCAGUGGCCUGUCAGUCGUCAUGAUGUUCUUGUGUGGAUGAUGGGCACCAACUUGCUUCCCUGCUUGGCAUGCGCUACAAAUCAUGUCUUUCUCAAAAUGGACAUUUGUUAAUCCUAAAAUGUGCUCUCCCUUUAGAAGCUUAUGAAGAUUCUUCAUCCCAACAUGGGCGAGUCGGCGGUGCCAGAGCCAAGCCAUGUUAGUCUUAGCAAUUAAGCACGUGUCGAGUUCAGCUCUAUCAAAAUCUACUAAGUACAGCUGACCCUCUAACACACCCUUAAAUGCUAUUGAAUCAUCACUUCUUCUAAAGACGGUGACACCUACAUUAGUAAAAAGACAGUUGUAGCCCAUUUUGCAUAAUUGAGAAACGGAAAGCAAAUUGUAAUCUAAUGAAUCUACAAGAAAAACAUUAGAAAUAGAAUGGUCAGGAGAUAUAGCAAUUUUACCCAAUCCUUUGACCAAACCUUGGUUACCAUCCCCGAAUGUGAUAGCUUGUUGGGGAUCUUGGUUUUUCUCGUAGAAGGAGAACAUCUUCUUCUCCCCAGUCAUGUGGUUUGUGCACCCGCUAUCGAUGAUCCAACUUGAGCCCCCGGAUGCAUAAACCUACAAAACAAUUUUAGUUCUUGACUUUAGGUACCCAAAUGGUUUUGGGUCCUUUGGCAUUAGACACAAGAACUUUGGGUACCCAAACACAAGUCUUUGAUCCCUUGUGUUUGCCCCCAACAUACUUGGCAACUACUUUGCCGGAUUUGUUAGUUAACACAUAAGAAGCAUCAAAAGUUUUAAAUGAAAUGCUAUGGUCAUUUGAUGCACUAGGAGUUUUCUUCUUAGGCAACUUAGCACGGGUUGGUUGCCUAGAGCUAGAUGUCUCACCCUUAUACAUAAAAGCAUGGUUAGGUCCAUAGUGAGACUUCCUAGAAUGAAUUCUCCUAAUUUUGCUCUCAGGAUAGCCGGCAGGGUACAAAAUGUAACCCUCGUUAUCCUGAGGCAUAGGAGCCUUGCCCUUAACAAAGUUGGACAAUUUCUUAGGAGGGGCAUUAAGUUUGACAUUGUCCCCCUUUUGGAAGCCAAUGCCAUCCUUGAUGCCAGGGCGUCUCCCAUUAUAAAGCAUACUACGAGCAAAUUUAAAUUUUUCAUUUUCAAGUUCAUGCUCGGCAAUUUUAGCAUCUAGUUUAGCUAUAUGAUCAUUUUGUUGUUUAAUUAAAGCCAUGCGAUCAUGUAUAGCAUUAAUAUCAAUAUCUCUACAUUUAGUGCAAACAGAAGUAUGUUCAACGAUAGAUGUAGAGGGUUUGCAAGAUUUUAAUUCUACAACCUUAGCAUGCAAUAUAUCAUUUUUACUUCUAAGGUCGGAAAUGGUAGCAUUGCAAACAUCAAAAUCUUUAGCCUUAGCAAACAAUUUUUCAUUUUCAUCUCUAAGGCUAGCAAGAGAAAUGUUCAAUUCUUCAAUCUUAGCAAGCAAAUCAUCAUUAUCAUUUCUAGGAUUGGGAAUUGAAACAUUACAACCAUUUGAAUCAACCUUAGCUAGUAAAUUAGCAUUUUCAUUUCUAAGGUUGUCAAUAGUCUCAUGGCAAGUGCUUAGCUCACUAGAUAAUUUUUCGCACUUUUCAACUUCUAGAGCAUCAGCAUUUUUAACCUUAACAUCCUUCUCAUGGAUAGCACUAAUCAAUUCAUUUAAUUUUUCCUUUUGUUGCAUGUUUAGGUUGGCAAAAAGUGUAUGCAAAUUAUCUUCCUCAUCACUAGCAUUAUCAUCGCUAGAGGACUCAUAUCUAGUGGAGGAUUUGGAUUUAACCUUCUUCUUUUUGUCGUCUUUUGCCAUGAGGCACUUGUGGCCGACGUUGGGGAAGAGAAGGCCCUUGUUGAUGGUGAUGUUGGCGGCGUCCUCGUCGGAGGAGGAGUCGGAGGAGCUCUCGUCCGAGUCCCACUUGCGACAUACAUGGGCGUCACCACCCUUCUUCUUGUAGUAUUUCUUCUUCUCCUUUCUUCUCCCCUUCUUCUCGUCGCCCCUGUCACUAUCACUAGACAAUGGACAUUUUGCGAUAAAAUGACCGGGCUUACAUUUGUAGCACACUUUCUUGGAGCGGGGUUUGUAGUCCUUCCCCCUCUUUUGUUUGAGGAUUUGGCAGAAGCUCUUGAUGACGAGCGCCAUUUCCUCAUUGUCGAGCUUUGAGGCGUCGAUUGGUUGUCUACUUGAUGUAGACUCCUCCUUCUUCUCCUCCGUUGCCUUGAAUGCAACCGGUUGUGCUUCGGAUGUGGAGGGAUCAUCUAGCUCAUUGAUUUUCUUUGAGCCCUUGAUCAUAUACUCAAAGCUCACAAAAUUCCCGAUUACUUCCUCGGGAGUCAUUAGUGUAUAUCUAGGAUUGCCACGAAUUAAUUGAACUUGAGUAGGGUUAAGGAAAAUAAGUGAUCUAAGAAUAACCUUAACCAUCUCGUGGUCAUCCCACUUUUUGCUCCCGAGGUUGCGCACUUGGUUCACCAAGGUUUUGAGCCGGUUGUACAUGUCUUAUGGCUCUUCUCCUUUGCGAAGCCGGAAGCGACCGAGCUCCCCCUCGAUUGUCUCCCGCUUGGUGAUCUUGGUUAGCUCAUCUCCCUCGUGCGCGGUCUUGAGCACGUUCCAAACUUCCUUGGCGCUCUUUAAUCCUUGCACCUUGUUAUACUCCUCUCGACUUAGAGAGGCGAGGAGUAUAGUUGUGGCUUGGGAGUUGAAGUGCUCAAUUUGGGCAACCUCGUCCUCAUCAUAAUCCUCAUCCCCUACGGAAGGUACCUGUACACCAAACUCAACAACAUCCCAUAUACUUUUGUGGAGUGAAGUUAGAUGAAAUCGCAUUAAAUCACUCCACCUAGCAUAGUCUUCACCAUCAAAUGUUGGUGGUUUGUCUAAUGGGACGGAAAGUAAAGGCGUAUGUUUAGGAAUGUGAGGAUAGCGUAGGGAGAUCUUACUAAACUUCUUACGCUCAUGGCGCUUAGAAGUGAUGGAUGGCGCGUCGGAGCCGGAUGUGGAAGGUGACGAAGUAUCGGUCUCGUAGUAGACCACCUUCCUCAUCUUCUUUUUCUUGUCGCCACUCCGAUGCGACUUGUGGGAAGAGGAUUUAUUUUCCUUCCCUUUCUUUUUGUUGCGGGACUCUUCCGAUGAAGCCUUCCCGUGACUUGUAGUGGGCUUGUCGCCGAUGGGCUUGUCACCGGUCUCCAUCUCCCUCUUGGCGUGUUCUCCCGACAUCACUUUGAGCGAUUAAGCUCUAAUGAAGCACCGAGUUCUAAUACCAAUUGAAAGUCACCUAGAGGGGGGUGAAUAGGGCGAAACUGAAAUUUACAAAGUUUAUCACAACUACAAGCCGGGUUAGCGUUAGAAAUAUAAAUGAGUCCGAGAGAGAGGGUGCAAAACAAAUCGCAAGCGAAUAAAGAGUGUGACACACGGAUUUGUUUUACCGAGGUUCGGUUUUUGCAAACCUACUCCCCGUUGAGGUGGUCACAAAGACCGUGUCUCUUUCAACCCUUUCCCUCUCUCAAAUGGUCCCUUGGACCGAGUGAGCUUUUCUUCUCAAUCAAUUGGAACACAACGUUCCCACAAGGACCACCACACGAUUGGUGUCUCUUGCCUCAAUUACAAGUGAGUUUGAUCGCAAGAAAGAAUGAGAAAGAAAGCAAUCCAAGCGCAAGAGCUCAAAAGAACACAACAAAUCUCUCUCACUUAACACUAAAGCUUUUGUGGAGUUGGGAGAGGAUUUGAUCACUUGGGUGUGUCUAGAAUUGAAUGCUAGAGCUCUUGUAAGUGGUUGAAAGUUGGAAAACUUGGAUGACUUGAAUGUGGGGUGGUUGGGGGUAUUUAUAACCCCAACCACCAAACUAGCCGUUUGGUGGAGGCUGCUGUCGCAUGGCGCACCGGACAGUCCGGUGCGCCACCGGACACUGUCCGGUGCGCCAGCCACGUCACCAGGCCGUUGGGUUCCGACCGUUGGAGUUCUGACUUGUGGGCCCGCCUGGCUGUCUGGUGGUGCACCGGACAAGUCCUGUAGACUGUCCGGUGUGCCACCCGCACGUGCUCCGCUCCUCUGCGCGCGCUGGCGCGCAUUUAAUGCGUUGCAGUCGACCGUUGGCGCGAAGUAGUCGUUGCUCCGCUGGCUCACCGGACAGUCCGGUGAAUUAUAGCGAAGUGGAAAUCCGAAGCUAGCGAGUUCAGAGCCGCUCUCUUCUGGAGCACCGGACACUGUCCGGUGGUACACUGGACAGUCCGGUGAAUUAUAGUGAAGCGUCCCUGAGAAUUCCCGAAGGUGUGAAGUUUGGCUUGAAGUCCCCUGGUACACCGUACACUGUCCGGUGGUGCACCGGACACUGUCCGAUGGCACACCGGACAGUCCGGUGUGCCAGACUAGGGCAGCCUUCGGUUAUCCCUUUGCUCUUUUUGUUGAACCCUUUUCUUGGUCUUUUUAUUGGCUUAAUGUGAACCUUUGGCACCUGUAUAACUUAUAGACUAGAUCAAACUAGUUAGUCCAAUUAUUUGUGUUGGGCAAUUCAAUCACCAAAAUCAAUUAGGAACUAGGUGUAAGCCUAAUUCCCUUUCAAAACCCUCUGAUUAUGAUGCUUCCGAGGAAGAUCAAAGAUGUAUACGCUUAAACCAUCUAGCUAUUGAUAUCUUAGGUAAUUCUCUUAGCAAAGAAGAUUAUCAUGCCUUCAUUACAAAUUAUGAUGAACAUAUUCCUGAUGCGCAUGAUAUUUGGACUAGGAUUAAAAAUAAAUUUGAUGAGUCCAAAUAUGAUAGUUCAUUUUGUGCUUCUACUUCCUUUGGUCCUUGUGAUACUAACCCUUGCAAGGAAGAAGAAGAAAAUGACCGAUGGAGACCAAACGAUGAAUCCACCUCUCCAAGAGGUUUGUCUUCCCAUUUCGAUUCCCACAUGUGUUGUGUGGCUAAUGAAAAUGAUAGUGGAAGCACAAACGAGGAUGAGGAGAAAGAAAGAAGCUCCGUGCAACUCUACGCUCGCCUAAGCCAAGAAGAUAAGGCGGUCAUGCUCAAACUUCUAGAAAGAGCAAGAGAGCAAAGCGAAGCUCGUCAAAGACUAGAGAAUGUUCUCUCCAUGAAAAUGCAAUGCUUUGACAAGUUGACUAAAGAACAUGAGGAGCUAAAACGCUCUCAUGUUGAUUUGGUCCAAAGGUAUGAAACUAUUUCAAUUGAGCAAGAUAACGCUUUAAAUUGUAUCUCUCAAUUAGUAAAUAGGAAUACCUUGCUUAAGGACCAAGUAGAAAAGCUAAAAAAUGAAAAUCUAGCUUUUCAAGAAAAAUAUGAUAUGCUUCUAUGCUCUCAUGAAAAUCUUAUGGAUAAUCAUGUCAUAUUAAAUAUUGCUCAUGAGGUUGUGAUAGAAAACUUGAAAUCACAACAACCUCACUCAUGCGCAUGUAUUCAAAUUGAACCUAUAUUACCAUGUGCUAAUGCUUGUUGUCCGUCGACAAGCAAAUCUUCCCUUGAGCUAGAAUUUGCAGGAACAAACGAUAAUACAUAUCAAAAGCUCAAAGAAGAAAAUGAGAGGCUAAAAAUGAGCUUGACACAACUAAAAGGGAAGUGCAUUGCUCAACCUUCUCAAGAUAACCGUGAUCACAUGGUGAAGAAGCUUGAGAUGGGAACAACCGUGGAAUACACUAAAUCCCUUGAAGAAAAUGUCAAAGACUUGAGGAUUGCCAAGAGGAGGAAACAAAAGAAGAAAAUCAAUACCUCUUACAAAAGCCUCAACCAUGCCUCCAUAAAAGGUAACAUCUAAGGUAAUAAUCAAGUCACACUUCACACUAAGGGAAGUAAGAAGUGUAGUGAAUGCUUUGAAAAGGGGCACUUGAUUAGGUCAUGUCCCUAUAUUAAAAAUGACUUGAUUAUUAACAAGGAUGAUAAACUUUGUUUUAAAUGCUCCAAGAAGGGACACUUGUUUAGGUCUGGUCCCCAUUUGAAACAAAAGGGCAUAGUGUUAGAAAAGAAAAUAUUCACUAACCAUGUAGCAAGCAAGAAACAAGGAAAGAAGAAAUCUUCAAGACUUGAGGAUCGCCUAUGCUACAUAUGCCGAAAGAAAGGACAUCAAUGCAAGGAUUGUCCCAUGGGUAACUAUCCCACCUCUAGCUUGUCAAUUAAUUCUCAUGUAACUAGGCAACCCAAAAUUGCAACUUGUGCUAGAAAGGUAAUGAGUUUACCUAGCGCUAACACAAAGGACAUUUGGGUUCCUAGAUCUUUGUUGACUAACCGUGAUGGACCCAUCAAGCGAUGGGUACCAAAAUAUGCUUGACAAGCUUUACAGGAAAAGAAGAUGAUAUGAAGCUUUGGAAUGCUUGAGAAAAUCAAUUCAAGUUUUAUUUAACUCAAGCUAUCAAUCUUCAAUGAUCUAUAUCCAAGAUUGAUCCAAGGUUAUUUUAAAUUGUUAUAUCUAAAACUCAUAUCAUCUCGGGAAGAUACUAAUGUUGUAGGAAAUAAAGAAUUAAUCCCAUGCCGAAAAAUCAAGGCCUACAACAUGGAGGAAAGCCAAAGGAUGGUAACAAUUAUACUUUUAAGUGCAAGUAUCAUAAAUUAUCAUUUCUUAUGUGUCUUGUGUAGUCACAUAGAAAAAGAAAAGCACUUACAAUGUCUUUAAAUUAUGUUACCAUUCCUUGAAGAAAUUCCUCUCAUUUGGUAGAUUGUGUAUUCAUCAUUUCUAUAUUAUGACAAUCUACAUACUUUAAAUUGUUGGAAGUACCCAUGGCAUGUUUUACACUAUUAUUGCCAUGUUCUAGAUAUAGAGAGAUAUUCCAUGUUCUUAAAAGAAUAAGGUGUCAAUUAAGGAAUUCAAUUCCUUAGGACACUUAUAAAGGGAAUCUCUCUUUAUAUCUAGAAAUCGUGAGACUAAUGUUUUUGUCUAAAUAACCCAAGUAGCCUCACAUAUAGAGAAUAAGUUGCGUAAUUUAACAUAAAAAGAAAAGUCAAUCCAAUGAUUUAUGUUGUUUUGCUUCUUGCUUAUAUUGGAUAUGAUUCUUCUACAUUUAUCGCUCUCCAUGUUAUGAAUUAGAUUUAUUCCCAUAAUCCUAAAGGGCUAACUAUGCUUGUUCCAUAAGUUAAAACUGAGCAUACUUCAAGGAAUAACCUAGUUCAUAUUAUAAAGUUUCCAUGCUUUAAUAAUCUAUUUUCCAUUCUUUAUCAAAAUGAUUACACAAGGGGAAACUAGUGCUUGUGUUACUAAUGACAUAUCCUUUGAGCUUUCUUAUAAAAAUCUACAAGAGAGCAAGUGCAAGCCGCAAGCCACAAGGGUUACUCUUCACCCAAAGGAAGAAAGGUAAAAGCAAAGGUAUGGGAACUCAUCUUCUUAAUCAAAUAUAGUUCCCAUCAAUAGUUGUUUACUCUAAUCUAUCAUAUACUAGCUAUGUGAAGAAUAGAUUCUUUAUUGGACUUAAUUUUUACUAAGUGUGCAUUCAAUCUCAUUCUCAUAAAAUGCACUUAGAAUCUAAUUCAUGCCUUUGCUAUAUCUGUUCUCAUAUUGACUUGCUUCUAAGUAAUAAUUAAUAAAUUCAAUAUGAAGAAGUAAAUUUCCUAUGAUUGAUCAAAUGUUUAAUAGUGCCUACUCCUUUUUAAAAUUAUGCACUAAUGUUAAGAAGUUUACUUCAUGUCUAUGUGACUUAUGGAUGAUGAAUCGUCUUUAUUUUCUAUCUAAAGAAAUCAUCGUUCAUCAUAUACUCCCUUGCACCAUUAACAUCUCUCUUGAGUAUUUUCAAUAAGCUUGGAAGGAAAAAGAGUCAACUACAAGGGAGGAAACUCAAAUAAAAAAGGGAGGACAUCAAGAACAACAACACCUACUUGGAUAAUAAGAUCUUCAAAACAUCAAUGGUGUGGUUGUAAGCACUCUAAAACUUUUUCAUUAAGAAUACUAGGCAUAAAUUGUUUAUUGCAAAUAUUAUAAGCCUUGAUAAAGAUGAAUGAUGCUUCUUCCUAUUUGUUUCUAAAGUUGAAUGCAUCUAUUCUUUUCAUUCCAAUUCUUUGAUGCAUAUCUCUAGGGGGAGCCUUUUUCUAUAUCUUGAUCAUAUCGAAACUAUCGCUUUAUCCUAGUAAUCUUAUAUAGUCUCUUGCACGAGAAUAAGUUUCUCAUGAUGUAUGCUACUACAUAUCAAUCCAACUUGUUAAAACAAUGUCGCUCUUAUCAAGGAGUGUUGCUUUCAUUGCUAAAGUAGCAUAUUUAUUGGAUUCUCCUAUUUUUGAGCUUAUUUGAUAAUCUAAUGCAUAUGUUUUUCUUUUGAUCACAUCUGUUAUUUGUUUGAUCAUUGAAUAACUUCAAUUAACACUUAUGUCUCUUAGUGCCGCAUGUUCUAUCAAUCGAUAUCUCUCUUGAUAUGCACUAAGUUAAAAGGAGAAUUCAUGAUAUAUUUAUGCAACUUGUGAUCUACUUGAUAUAUAAUAAACACUGACUUAGAAAAGGAUCACUAGUUGUAGAACUCUCUCUUGUGCAAAAUAUUUCCAUAUAUUGUCUUGAGUAUAGGUCAUAAGCAACUAUGACUAAGGACAAAGCACAAUGAAGGGAGCGUCUUUAUGUGAAGGUACAAAAGGGUAAAAUAACUUCAUUUCACUUUUCCCUGUACCUAAAUCUUCCUUUUUCAUACUUUCUUUGCAUAUCUUGUAUAAAAGGAAGAGAAAGCAUGUUCAUGCAUUAACCCUGCUUAAUACCAAGUUUAACUUCUCAAUUACUCAUUCUUGCAUCUUUGCUAAAACUGGGUGAAGUAAUUUUAUUGUCAAAGAGCUUAAAGCUUAAACUUGUAACGAGGAUAAGCUGCCUUUGUUCCAAAAGGUGGAUGGUCCUUAAGACUCUUUGAAAUCCUUAAGGGUGAAUGCUUGAGAUGCUUAUAACAUGCUUUCAUAAGUGCAUAAACUGUCAUGAGCAUCACACUUAUACUAUGACACAAUGCACUUCACAUUCUCUAUGAUAUAGACAUGAUCUCAUUAACCUAAUUAUGUGCACUUGGCAUUUAAGACCAAAAAUUUGUAUUCCUCUCUAUGAACAUAUUUAGGGGGAGCAAUCUAUAUUAUAUAUAAUUGUUUAAGCUUAAUUGACAUAUCCUUUUAAUCAUAUCUCUUUCCUUUGGUACAUUUGCAUAUUUCCUAUCUACAUUAUACCAAGGCUAAGACUAAUAUGUUUUCAUGAGCAUCUCAUGUAUUAAGUCUUAGAUUGAAAGGGAAAUGGAGUAUUCGGCAAAGACAUAGCUUCCACUCUACAUCUUUGGUAUUACCCUUCCUUGUUGGUAUUCCGCCAGCUCUCCAAUUUGGUAUAAUCUUCACUCAUAUAUUGUUUGCCAAAGGGGGGAGAAAAUAGUUACAAAGGGCUUAUAUUUCACUCAAGUAUCCGUUUUUGGCGAUUCAUGCCAAAGGGGGAGAAAGUAUUAGCCCAAAGCAAAAGGACCGCACCACCACCAAUUUUCAAAUUUUCAAAAUUGAAGAAAAGAUUUUAAAAUGAUGAAUUUUUCAAUUGAUAUCCUAUUGUAUUCAAAAGGGGGAGAAAGUAGUAUUUUCAAAAUUGGUAUCUUAAAACCCUCUUGAACACUAAGAGAAGGAUUUUAUUGAGGGGGAGUUUUGUUUAGUCAAAGGACAAGCAUUUGAAACAGGGGGAAAAAAUUUCAAAUCUUGAAAAUGCUUCUCAAAAUCUUAUUCAUAUACCUUUGACUAUUUUGCAAAAGACUUUGAAAAGAUCUUCUAAAAGAGUUUGCAAAAACAAAACAAAUGGUGCAAGCAUGGUCCAAAACAUUAAAUAUGAAGAAAGCUUUCAUGCAAAUCUUAUGAAAUAAUAGAUUGGUUUAAUUCCAAGCAAUCUUUGCACAUAUAUUAUGCAAACUAGUUCAAUUAUGCACUUAUAUAUUUGCUUUGGUUUGUGUUGGCAUCAAUCACCAAAAACGGGGAGAUUGAAAGGGAAAUAUGGUCAAACCUUUUCCUAAUUGAUUUUGGUGGUUGAAUUGCCCAACACAAAUAAUUGGACUAACUAGUUUGUUCAAGAUCAUACAAUUUUACAGGUGCCAAAGGUUCAACACAAACCAAUCAAAAGAACAAGUUAGGUCUCAAAAGAAAGGAGCAAAAGGAAACCGAAGGCUGCCCUGGUCUGGCGCACCGGACAGUCUGGUGCGCCACCGGACAGUGUCCGGUGCACCAGGGUGAAUCAGCUUGAACUCUUCACCUUCGGGUUUCCCAGACGCAGCUCCGCUAUAAUUCACCGGACUGUCCGGUGCACCAGCGGAGCAACGACUAUCUGCAUGCAACGGUCGACUCUGACGGAUGAACAGUGCCGCGGCAGAAGUCAGAGCAGCGGUCAGAGGGGCACCGGACUGUCCGGUGUGACACCGGACUGUCCGGUGCCACAUGAGGACAAAGUCUCCAACGGUCGACCAGCUCAGAGACCUAACGGUAGGGUGACGUGGUGCACACCGGACACUGUCCGGUGCGCCCAUCGCCAGCAGCCUUCUCCAACGGCUAGAAUUUGGUUGGUGGCUAUAAAUACCACCCCAACCGGCCACUUCAAGUGGUGGGAGCCCAAGCAACAUUCCAAGUCAUCUAGUUGACAUACUCAAGCCCUCCCAACCACAUAUAUUCAUUGAUCCAUCCUAUACACAAGAUUUAGACCACUACAACCAACACAAGUGCCACAAAAGAGAGAGCAAGAAAAAGAGAGCUACUCAUUUGAGUUUAGCACUAGUGCCUUGUGAGAUUCAUUGAGAGAUAGUGUGUGCUACAUCUUUGUGUUCAUUUGCGCGUGGAGUUUUGACUCCCAUUGAACUUCCUCCAAAGUUUUGGAGGCUUGUAAAAGCUAGCAAGAGACACCAAAGAGUGUGGUGGUCCUUGUGGGGUCAUAAGUGAUCCUUGAGAAGAAGAAGAGCUCGCCGAUCUUGAGUGAUCGGUGGAGAGAGGGAAAGGGUUGAAAAAGACCCGUCCUUAGUGGACUCCUCAACGGGGACUAGGCCUUCGAGGGCCGAACCUCGGUAAAACAAAUCACCCGUGUCUCGUGUGCUUAUUGCUUGUGAUUUGUUUGUCCUUUCCCUUCUAAGUUUUUCUUGCACUACUCUUUGCUAAUUCUAUUUGGUGUUGCUUUAAGUUAAAUUCUCAUUUAGUGAAGCAACACAUUGCAAGAGGGAACUUGUGUUAUUGCUCUUCUUGCCUAAGCCCUCUUGCUUUAUUCUCAUAGACUUAUUAGUAGUAUUGAUUUAUCAAUUCCGCAUUAUUUGAAAGCAAUACUCUUUACAAGCAAGGACUUACUUUUUAUACUCCGAUAAUUAUAUAUCUUGUUCUAACCACUAAUCAAGGGAUCUAGUUGGGGGAUAAAGUUUUAAUAUUCAGGUUUCGCCUAUCCACCCCCCUCUAGGCGACUUACACUUAGCCAAGUUGUCUCUCGUGAGAGUGACCCCCCUUCUCAAAUACCACACGAAAAUCUUAAGUUUCAUCGGUAUUUUCAUCUUCCAAAUUGUAUGGUCCUGCCGGCCUUGUCCACUGCAAAUCAUUACAGAGUAUAACGAUUGCACUGUGUACUCUCCGUUCUGGGUCAGAUUCCAAUGGAAGUGAUCUUUCUCAAGGUUGAGGGACACAUCAAGUACCAAGGCCACUAGUGAGUUCCACUGCCUCAACGUAUCACCUUGUAGACCUCUACGAAAAGAGACAUUAAGGGGAGUAGAGCUGAGAACAUUGGCCACUGUAGCAUGCUUUCACCUAGUAAUGUAGUAAAGGGAAGGAAAUCUGUGCUCUAGUGAAAAAUCCCCUAGCCACUUAUCUUCCUAGAAUCUAACGUUUAUCCCUCUAUUGGUCACAAACCGCCCAUGUGAGAGAAAAAGCUCUUUUAUUUUCAUAAGACCCGACCAAAAAUGAGAGUCUCCAGGUUUCACCUGCACCUCUCCAAUAGUCUUGUUACGAAAGUAUUUUCUCUUUAAGAUUUGUUGCCACAUUCCCUCUUCGUUGGCUAGCUUGAACAACCACUUAACUAACAAACACUUAUUCUGGGAAUCAAUAUUCUUAAUCCCGAUCCCCCCUACCUCUUUUGGUUGGCAGAGGACGCCCCACUUUGCCAACCUAUAUUUUUUUCUUUUCAUCCUCUGAUUGCUAGUAAAAACGAGAUCUAAGAAAGUCAAUCUUUUCUAGAACCUUACGGGGUAUUUCAAAGAAAGAUAACAUGUAUACCGGGAGACUAGAAAGAACCGAGUUAAUAAGGACUAAGCGUCCUCCCACCGAGAGAUGCUUUCCUUUCCAGCUACUCAGUUUCUUUUCUAUUCUCUCUAUAACACUAUUCCACUCCGCAUUCCUAAGUUUUCUUAAGUGCAUAGGAAUCCCCAAAUAUGUGAAGGGGUACGCCCCCGCUUUACACCCGAAAAGGUCUGAAUAGGCCUGCUCAUGUUCUUUGGCAUCCCCGAAACAGAAGAUCUCGCUCUUAUGAAAAUUUAUCUUGAGACCGGACAGUUGCUCAAACACACAUAAAAUGAGUUUGAGAUUUCGAGCUAUGUCAAGAUCAUGAUCCAUAAAGAGUAUUGUAUCGUCUGCGUAUUGGAGGAUGGAAAGAUCAUCGUCCAGCAGGUGAGGGAUAACUCCCUCAAUAUGCCCCUCUCUCUUGGCACGGUUGAUAAGAGUAACCAGCAUGUCAACAAUGACAUUAAACAGGACUGGAGAUAACGGGUCACCUUGUCUUAGACCUUUCUUUGUUUGAAAGUUAUUGGUGAGCUGGUCAUUAAUCUUUAUGUUCAUGUGACCUCUUUGGGUGAAGGCCUCAAUCCAAUCACACCACUUGUUCGAGAAACCUUUCAUCAGCAAAGUUUGUCUAACAAAAGACCACCGUACUUUGUCGUAAGCUUUCUCAAAAUCAAUCUUAAACACUACCCCAUUUUGCUUCUUACGAUGUAAUUCGUGUAAGGUCUCAUGAAGAAUCACAACACCUUCCAUGAUAUUAUGACCGGGAAGGAAAGCAGUCUGGGUAGGGCUAAUAACCUUGUGGGCCACUGUCAUUAGCCUAUUCAUAACCGUCUUGGUAAAAAUUUUAAAGCUAACAUUCAGCAGACAAAUUGGUCUAUAUUGCUCUAUCCGGGAUGCAUCAUUUGACUUUGGCAGCAGAAUAAUCGUGCCAAAAUUCAAGCUAUGCAUCGGAAGGCAACCUAGACCAAAUUCUCUGAAUAAAGCCAUCAAAUCGUCCUUAAUUUCUUCCCAAAAAAAUUGAUAAAAUUGAGCCGGAAACCCAUCGGGCCUAGGCACCUUGUUUUGUUCCAUUUGGAAGAUAGCCUCCUUAACCUCCUCCAUAGUAAAAUCUGCCGUCAGCAAGUCGUUUUCCUCCGAGGAGAUUUGAGGAAUAUCUUCUACUCUGGAACUGUCCAGAGUGAUCGUUGGAUCUUCGGUGCUGCCAAACAAGGAUUUAUAAUAUGAGGUAAUAUGCUGCUUAAGCGCAACAUCACCCGAAAUUUCCUUAUCCCCGUCAUGUAAUUUGAAGAUCCUUGUUUUCCAUUUGCCACUAAAUGGAAAAACUUGGUGUUUGCAUCACCCUCCAACAAACAUUUCGUUUUCGCUCUUUGAUACCAUUUUAAUUCUUCUUCUCUGAGUAGGGCCGCCAGCCUGUUACGCAUAAAAUUCCGCCAAUCUAAUUCUUCAGUAGUAAGAAGGCAACUUUCUGCUUUCUUAUCAAGAAUAUCAAGGUCUUGGAUAAUGCGUUUUUUUCCUUUUUAUUUGUACCACUGACAUUUUUUGCCCAACCCCUUAAAAAUUGCCUAACCUUCCUUAUCUUGUUUUGCCAUUUUUCCAUGGCCGAUACCCCACCAUUAUCCCUACACCACAGACUUGACACCUUCUCCCUAAAACCCUCCCUUAAGAACCAACCCAGCUCUAAUUUGAAACUGGGAGGGGAGUAGGUUGAAGUGUCAAUGCCGGUGCUUAGGAUUAGAGGUGUGUGAUCGGACACAUCCAUAGAGUGGGCCACUACGUUAGAUCGGGGAUACCGUAAUUCCCACUCAGUGGAAACCAAUACCCUAUCUAAUUUUUCGUAAGUGGGAACCGCUCUCACAUUAGCCUAAGUAUAUUGUCUACCCGAGAGAGCCAACUCCCUUAGGCAAAGUCCGUCAAUAACGGCAUUAAAGAGAAAAAGGCCACCUCGGAUUGUAAUUGUCAUUGUUCUUCUCGGACGCAUUGCGCAGCAAGUUGAAAUCCCCUCCAACCAUGACAGGUUCAGUGAUUUUACUAACCAUGUUCACAAGUUCCGCUAAAAACUGUUCCUUAAGGUGGUCUUGGGCGGGACCAUAAACGCAGACCAAAGACCACCUAAACCCAUCAUGCUUAUUUCUUAACAAAAAAUGGACAUAGAAAUCUCCUUCAUCUAUGGCACCUAUGUCAAAAACCGAGAGUUCGAUCCCCAUAAGAAUACCUCCCGACCGACCUCUAGGUUCUUUACAAUGCCAUAGAAAGUCCUUGCCCGCACACAAAUUUUUGAGAAAAGUGGUCGAGAACUCUUUUUUAACAGUUUCGGACAGCGUAAUAAAACUAAGAUUAAACUCCUUAGUUAAAUCCGCAACAAAACGAUGCUUCUUAGGGUCUCCAAAACCAUCACAAUUCCAAAACACCCCUUUCAUUUUAACUUUUGUUUUUGCACGAUAACUUCUUCUUUCUUUUUUUCGAUCUAACUUUCUUCCUAUGUGUAUCACUACCUGGAUCCACUGGAUUUUGACAAUCCGCCUUGUUGUCAACUCCGUUAUCCAUUAAGUCAUCCAUGAUACCCCCACAAAGAUUAUUAAGAGUAAGUCUGUCUAAUUCCUCAUCUGACUCCUCAUACACUAUGUCAUAAACAGUCCCUUCUACCACGCCAUCCUGACCCACCUGACUCACCAUACCUUUAUCAUAGCUAUUAAGAACCUGGAUUGACUUAGCUAAAUGGGAUUCCUCUACACCUAGAGAGAUACUGAUCGCGUCAAGAUUCGAAAUAGCCAAGUUCAAAGGAAUUUGCAAAACUUUAUUACAUGAAAUAGAGGAGGGAGAUGGGCUGUUACCUCCAUUACGUUUAGCCUUCAGCCUUUCAGCACGGGCCAAGGAGUUUUCAUCCAUGAUGCUUGUCCUCCGCUUGCGACCAGCUGCGACAGAUUGUGAAGCUUCUGUACUAGUCGACCACACGCUCGACAUGAUUUUCAAGAUGGUGGUGCCCCGGGCGCUGCUAGGCAGAUUUUCAAGAUGCGGUCUGGGCUCCCCCCUCAGUCUAUAUACAUUACAUAGUCGACCACACGCUCGACAUGAUUUUCAGCCCAGGUUGCAGUCCUCGGCUCUCGGCCACCCUAGACUGGAUAAUCGCUAGCAGCUCGACCGAAUUUUUUGUUUUUUAGCCCCUUUUGUGACAAAAAUUUAUGUUUGGACCCCCAAAAAUUUUAUUUGCAAGUUUGGACCCGAUGCUCGGUGCCAUAGGCUGUGGCGUCGAGGUAACACAGCUCGGCGCCACAGCCUAUGGCGCCGAGGUCUGACGUGGCAGCUUCGCCUAGGGCUGACCUGGCACCGACGUGGUGGCGACGUGACCUCGUAGCUCGGCGCCACAGAUCUUGGCGCCGAGCUACGGAUGCCUAUAAAAACAGCCGCGCGGCUGGCCGAGAGCAGCACAUUUCCUCUCAUUUCCAAACUUCGUCAAAAUUUGCUGGAUUCAAAGAUUUGAGUUGGUUCACUUCGUAGACCAAGGUAUGGUGCCCAACUGAUUCGUUUUGUAUAUUGGGUUCUUAGUUUCAUAGUUUAAUAGUUUGUAUAAACCUAUUAUAUUAUCAUUUCGAUUAUUAGUUUGUGUAAACUUAUUAUAAAGCAUAUUAGGUACAAGUGAUAAUUAUAAUCGUUUAUUAGAUGAAAGACAUGUACCGAGAGGCGUUGUGGAAGAAGAGAGGUCGUCCUCGGGAGUUAUAUCUGGACGUAUCUAGUAAGGAUGCUCCUGUUCCUCCUGAACUCCCCGUACCUAACUGUGACUGUGGCAGACUGGCUUGGGUACAUCAAUCACAACAUCCAGACACGACUGCUCGCUGCUACUACCUUUGUGGCGGUUUGGACGUACGUAGCUUAUGACUUGUCACUUAAUUUUGUUCGCAUUCAUUAUUUUGUAGAUGUGUAAUAGUGCUUCCUUUCCAUAAUUUUAGGGGCAUCAGAGGUGUUUCUUUUUCUAGUGGAUCGAUGGUCCUGAUAAAUUUGACCCUCGAUAUCUUAUUUUCGUUAAUUGGUUGAGUGGAAGGACUAGUCAUGAGCGUUUUAAGCGUUGGGUACCUCCUCCCCCGAAUCCUCCACCAAUGACGGAUGCGGAGAAGGAGGUAGCAACAGAAAGACGGAUGGACUCACCGCCUCGAUGCGAUUGUGGUGACCGUGCUGUCAUCGAUGAAGACUAUGAGAAGCAGUUCUGUUGUCCGAACAUUGAUUAUGUGAGCCCAUCGAUACACUAAAUGUAUGAACUAGUUAUUAUUUACAAUAAAUUACUAAUUUUUCUCCUGCAGCCAUACGAGUGGCGUAAGUGUCGUUUCAGAGAGUGGUUGUAUGGUCCUUUGUCCCAUUGGCCAGAGCCAGAGGUAAAGGAAAAGAGAUACAAUCAGUGGGCAGAAGAAGAGGUGAAAUUUGAUCCAGUACUCUGCAAAUGUGGUAUUGAAGCUAAGUAUGGAUUAGUUCCUUCCGAGCUUGGUGUUGGAUAUUUUUGUGGACAUAUGGUCGAUUACGAUGAGGUUGGUAUUUAUUUAUUUUUUUGCACCAGUUGUAAUGUUAUAGCGGUACUUACUAUUUUUUUUGUAGGAGACGAGGAAAUGCAGUUGGGAGAGUUACGACGACAAAGGAGAGGUGAUGCGCACAAUAGAGUCCAAGAGACUAAUGGGACAGAAGAUGCGUUGUGGAUCUCAACUCGUCGAUUCGUACAUUAACGAUCGCAUACGCGACAUGCGUAGGGAAGCAAAAUCUGCCUUUUAUGAUAGCCCGAAGCGUGUAGAGUAUAGGAGGUUGAAGGCGGCAGAUGAGAAGAGAGCACAGGAUGCAAGGGAAUGGGAAGCGGCUCAAGCCGAGAAACAGAUGUUGGAUAAUCUUGCUGAUCGCCUCAAGGGAAGUGAGUGAGAAAAAUGAUACUAUAAUUAUGUUAAUAUAAUUUAUUUAUCUUGACUUUGCUAACUUAUUUUGCACAUUAUAUUUGCAGAGAUUGGAUGUGGCGUAAACUAUUUGGCCAAUGAGGCGCAUGCAAGAUAUGUUCAGGAUAAAAUGGCGAUGGUUGAGCUGAUGGAGGAGGAGGAGGAUGACACAUCUAGAUUGAGUGAGCUUAUAGCUCUCGCAGAGGCAGGAUUACAUGAAGAAGAGGAGGACGACACAUCAAGGUUGAGUGAGCUCAUCGCACUAGUUGAGGCAAGAUUACGUGCUCAAGAGGAAGAGGAUGAGUUUAUGUCUCAGGCCGCCGAAGAGGUAGAGGCGGCUUAUUACAAGAAGAAGUCUGAUGAGGCUGAGGCUAAGGAUGAGUUAUUCUCCCAAGGUGCAGAUGAAGCAGAAGCCAAUUAUUACAAGAGAACUGGUGACAAGUGUGAUGCAGGACAAUGCAGCAAGUGGAAUAAGGUUGUCGUUGAGGAUUGCGCGACGGAUGACUCCGAAGAUGAGUUACUUAUAGAUUGUGAUUUAGACUGAAGAAACUUGUAGUAUUUUCGUAUCCAAAAUAAUUUAGAACUCUACUUGAAUAUCUAAACUAUUUUAGAGCUCUAAAGAUGUGUUACUUAUUGCUUGUUAUGUUUUUUACAAUUCACAAAAAAAUUUGCAAGAGUUCCCCUUGUUUUAUUAACAACCACAGUUCAAAUAAUCACAUAUUAUAAGACAUGACCACAUUUCAACAUAUAAUACAUCACAAAAUAACAUCUAAUAUAAAAACAUCCACAAAACAUAGUUCUUCAUACAAUGUCCACAAACAAAGUCCAAAAUACAAUGUCCACAAAACAUAGUCCAAAACACAUAACAUAGUUCACAUUACAACGCCUCCAGCAUGAGUCCAAAUCACAAAGUUUUCAGCAUAAGACCAACAUCACAAAAGUAUUCAUUUCCUCCUAGUGUUACCCUUGCCCUUGGCCCCAAGAGCGUCGGUGCCUGGAGUGUAAGGGUCUCGUGGACGCCUUCUACGUGGUGUUAGCUGUGAUGGCUGAGUUGUAGGAGCAUCCUGCAACUGAGAUGGUCCAAUCUCCUCCUGACCUGCGGCGCCAGCGCUAGUGUCGUCGUCGUCGUCCUCGUCGUCGUGGGCCACAUCCUCAAACGUGUCCUGCGUUGAUCGCGAGGAGCUCAGUCAUGCUGUAGAUGGUCCAACUGCACAAAUGGGAGGCUGAACGUCCUGCUGCAUACGAGGCACGGGCAGCCGCACGUCAACGCCCGCUAGAGACCGACAUCCACACCGAGCCGCUGCACGACGAAGACGACGUGAUACCCUCUGUAAUUGAAAUAUUAGUUACAGACAUAUGUUACAACAUACAAAUAAACAAGUAUUCUUUUAAACAUUGGUACUCACUAAUAGUAACGAAAGUGUAGUACUAUCUGAAGUUCUCUGUGAGAUACGCUCAAGUUCAACAACAGAUACGAGCAUAGAGUUUCCCUAUUCACAAGUUAAAACAUUAGGAUGCUCAAAACUAGACAUAAAACAUUGAAUUGAAAUCUCUAAUUUUAGUAAAGAAAUAGUUACCACUCUGUCAAGGAUUGGAGCAGCCUCAAUUUGGGACCCGUGCCGAGCAGCUAUGUCGAAAGCUGUGUCUUCGUCGUCUGACGAUUCUUGCUCGGCGUAGUCUGCAACUGUCCACUGUCCCUUCAGCUUGCACCUAGUCACACCAGCAUACCAAAUCAAAUACCUCCGGAAGUUGUAGUUUGUGUACGCCUGUUCGUUCUCAUAGUUAAGAUCUCCCUGCUGUUCCCAUUCAUCAAUGUAAUCACGGUGGUGGGUUUCGAAGUCCGUGACCUUCUUCUGUCUCUGUCUGUCGAACCUGCAAAAGUUAGAAACAUAUAUUAGUAACUCAUUCAAAAUUUGAAUUAUUAGUUAUAAUAACAAUAGUCACUCACUUAUGAAGUUCUAUUGAAGUCGAGAAUGGCUCCACCGGAAACUCCUGUCGCAAUCCGAACUGUCGAGCAACUCUGUGGGGCAAGUGGUACUCAACAGCAUAAAAACAGAUGAGGGGACACCUCAUUAGGUAGAGGUCCUCGUCUAUUGAGCACAUGCUGCUCAACUGUAUGCUGGCGAAAUAUGGAUCAAGAUACGGUUGCCAGGUCACCUGCAAAAGUUUUAGAAAGCACAUGUAAGUUUAUAGUCAUUUUACCAAUUGUUUAAGGAAUAAGAUAAAAGUAGACAACUCACCAUCGAAGGAGUAAGUGCGUUGAGCUCGUUUGAGUACUCCACGUAAGCACGCUGGUGUCGUGUGAAUGGCUCCUCGACCUGGUCCCAGCGGUAAGCAGCCGUGGGUUUAAGCCGAAGUCCGGCUACCACGAACCACUCACGAGGAGGAAACUCUCUGGGUCGCCCGACGGGUAUGUGUGCCCACAUCCACAACUGUAGUAGGUAGACACAUCCACCUAAGCUAGCGGUCCUCGAUGAACGACGACAAGCCUCGCAAAGUUGCCUGUACAGGAAGGCCAACACUGCAGAAGCCCAGCUGUAACCUCCUGUCGUGUCCCAGUCAGUCAGGCAGGGCAGAAACAUCCAUGACGCGCUGUCGCCUGUCGCGUCUGGAAAAAGAACUGAACCAAAGAGGUGGAGAAUCCAAGCUCGACAAUGGUAUCCAACCGUCUGCUCGUCUGCACCAGGUGGACACUGCCCAAAGGCCUGCCUAAGCCAGGUCAGUGGGACUCCGGUGUUGUGGCUACCUCGUAGGUCAUCCGGAAGCAGUCUCCCAAGAAAGGCCUCCACCCUCUGCCUCCAUCCGCCUGGUGAUGCCUGACCGGUCACUGGACGACCAGUAAUGCUGAGACCAAGAAUCUUCUGGCAAUCUUCAAGCGUCACGGUCAUCUCACCGUAGGGAAGGUGGAAAGUGUGAGUCUCUGGCCGCCACCUAUUGGAAGACAAACAAAUACAAAAUCAUUAGUAUGCAAAGUAGAUUUGAUAAUUGUAAAUAUUAAACAACUAGAGAAGUCUUUACCUGUCGACCAGAGCCGUCAACGCCGCUGGGUUGAAAGUGGGCAGCCCACGGCGAACAUGGUAUGAUACGACGUCCAAGCCAGCCCUCUGUAGGAGAGGAGUGUACCUUUCAUCAUACCUCAUCUCCUCCAGAAACUGGUCGUGGGUCCAGAUUCCCAGAACGGGCAACACCUAGCAAUCAAAAGAAUUUCAUUAGUCAAAUAUACGUCACAUAUAUUAAUUCAAAAAUUUAAUAUAUGUGCAAAAUUUGACCUCUCCCUCUGCGGUGAGACGGCCCCUGUGGUGCUCGUCGUAGUGAGGGUCCAGCAAGUGGAACUGCGCCAUCCUGCAAAUUAAGAUAUCAACAUAUUAGAAUAUAAGUUGUGUACAAAGUGUAACAAAAAUAUCGACAUAUUAGAAUAAAAGUUGUGUACAAUAAAAUAUUAAAAUGUAUCACACCUGACUAAGUGACCAAAUGCAUGUACGUGAGUUGUGGCCAAGUCUACCGCAUUUUCCGCAUUCAUUCUGCUCUGGGUCCACGAGAAAGUGGGACACUCGACCUCUCCUACUGCGACUAGAAACCUGAUCCAUAACCAUGUUGCACCGGCUCCUUUUCCUACUACCACGUUUGUCCCAUCGAUGCGUUGGAUCAGCAACGUAUACCGGACCGAUGUACGUUGGCCAUUGUGACUCAUCAAGAAAUGGCUCAAAACGAGGGCUCCAGGUACGUACUAAGCUCUCUACACUGAACUCAGAAGGUAUUCUGCUCUCAAAUGCAAAGUUACGAUGACGUGCGGCCGCAACAUAAUGAGAACAUGGAAAAUGGUAUUGUCUAGGUUUACCACAACCGCACAAGAAUGCAUCAAGUAACACGACAUGUGUCCUCGAAGGUCGCACCUCACCGUCGGAAGUUAUGCCGCCUAGUGUUGUUACCUCGUAUUUACCCAACUCCUCAUCAAAGCAUUGUACCUCAUGUCUAUGGGCACGUUCCUUUGCAUUAUUAAGGUGUGAUGUUGGUUUAGGUGCCCAUCUCUGCCCUCGCGUCUGCAUUGCCUUGGCCUGCGCGUGUCUAUCAUUAAACCAAGCCACAAGCCUAUAAAAAGUGAAUGUUACUAUAGCAUUGACUGGCAUGCCCCGUAUACCCUUGAGCACACUGUUAAAUGACUCGGCCAUGUUGCUAGUCUGAAACUCGAACCGCCAGCCACAUUCGUCGUAGGCCCUUGUCCAUUUCUGCGGUUCCCUCAGCAAUCCAGCAAUCCAGUUCUUACCUUCAGCAUUUGUUGCAUCUUUUAGUUCCUUCAACUUAUCCUCGAAAAACGAAACCUCCAACCGUCGACAUACCUCCUCAAAAAGGGGGAAGUUAGCCUUGCUAUGAUCCUUUCGAAGAAGAUUUUCUGCUAGAUGUCGAGUGCACCAUCUGUGGUGCAUGGGUGCGUAGCCAGGAAUCUGCUCUUGCACUGCAUUAAGAAUACCUUGGUGUCUGUCAGAUAUGACACCAACCUCGCGUCCAGGGCCUACGACAUGGAUGCGUACAAGCCGCAAGAACCAAGACCAACUAUCUCUGUUCUCCCUCUCCACCAAAGCAAAUGCCAAAGGAACCAGUGCGUUGUCUGUGUCGCAUGAUAUGGCAACCAACAAUGUGCCCUUAUACUUCCGAAGCAGGAAAGUACCAUCAAUAGAGAGCACGGGACGACAAUGCCCGAAAGCCUCUACGCACUGCGAGAAACACCAGAAAGCACGAAAAAAUAUCUCUCUGUCGUUCCUCCAUUCAUUAGGUUUGGGGAUGUACUCGUAAUGCAUGCCUGGGUUUUUUGCUUUGAUUGCAUUGAACAAUGCUGGUAACUUCUCAUAACCUCCUCCCAAUCCCCGUAUAUCAUCUUCCAUGCUCGCUGCUUUGCCCUCCAUGCUUUCCCAUAUUUGAUCCUGUAACCAAACAGCUCCGAAGUCAUGGUCAUAAUUGACUUCACCUUCAAGUUUGGUUGACCCUUCAAUAUCCCCAAUAUCCUUUUCGCAAUCAGGGUAGAUGUCAACUGACGAUGCUUAGAGCUCAGCUCUGUCUGGGCACAAGUGUGUGGACCUACAAUUUUGGUGAUCUUAAACUUUCCGGUGUCCUUCUGCCUUCGGGCACAUACCCUCCAAUUACAUUCUGACACCUCGCACACAACAGUGUAACGACGCUGUGCAUACGAAUGUCUCACCUUGAACGGCCUCUUGUGGUUCACAGAAUAUUCAUGUAGCCAUCGUCUCAGUGUAGGCAGGUCCUUGAAAAGUAAGCCUACCUUAAUCUCAAUGCUGUCGGCGUUAUCCGGAGCCUCUAGCAGUUCAUCAUCACGUCCUUCAGCAUAUGCACGAGUGGAAUGACUUAGACUGCUAAAUUCAUGUACUGCAGGGUCACGCUCCGGACACAAACGUCUUAUGAGUUCAAUUUCUUGCUCGGUCAUUUCUUGAACCGGACGGUCAUCAUCAGAAUCUAAGGCCCGUGCAGCCUCAUAUGGCUCCUCCUCAUCCUCAAUCUGAACAUCAACACUAUUGGAUGCCCUACAUAUGUUGUCCAUAUUAUAUGACAUAGACACAUCAAGAUAAGCACCAUUAUCGAUUUGUGGAGAUCCUGCAUCGGGUCAAAGCAAGAAAUACCACAUUAAAAAGUCUAAUGAAACGAAAUAACGAUGGAUACGAACAACGUGUCAAAGACACUUACUAGGAUGAUCGUGAACUGGAUCCUGGGUCAAUGGGAUCUCUUGGGGGGUACCACCGGAUUAGAAGCCCCACAAACGCCAGGAAGAGGACAAGAAAUCCCAUACUCGUGCGGCCCCGAUUGAGCAUCGGGCACAACAACCACUUCUUCCGGAAGCUCUACCAAAGGAGCUUCAAUACGAGAUGCAUUUGGCAUUUGUGGAGACAACCCGACUGGACCAUCGCAAUGCCUAACAGGUAACUUUUGAACAACCACAUCCAAACAUGGUGGAACCAUCGUCUUCACAAUUCUUAAAUAUAUCACCCAAUCAUCUUCUGAGGUAAUGGAGAUCAACCGUCGGACAACUGUUCCAUAUGUAAUAUGGGACAACAAACCCUGAAUUGAUAUUCUAGGGUCGUUUAUAUCGCAACUAAUCUCCUCACAAGCUUGAGCGAAAAUCUUGUCAAAAGAUGGUCUUUCAUCGAACAACAUGGUCACGAUCUUCAUACCAUCAAAAGUAACAUUCCCAUAAGCAUCUAUCUCCACCCUUCCUCCAUAGUAUAGUGUUACUAGGCUGUCCAUCUAUUGCAAAAAUGGAUUACUAACUCAAUAAUGGCUAUAUACUUAAGCCUAAAAACUUACUAAGUAAUAAAUAUAUAUUAACUAAUAACUAUAUAGUAAAUAUUAAAUGAAUACAUCAAACGAAAUUACAUAAUCUAUGAAUAAUGUACGAAAACAAUGUAUACCUGAGAUCGCGUACGAGUCCAGCUAACGGUGGAGAAGGUCAAGUCGGACAAACACCUAAGUACAAAAAAAACUAUUGUCAAUAAAAAAUUUGGCAGCACCUCCCAUGUAAAGUAAUGUUUAUAGAACCUGCAAAUAAACGACAACAUGAUGGUUGCCAACACAGAAAACAUGUAAUAUCAAUGCGCUAAACAAAAUGCUAACUAUAUAAUCACUAAGAAUUUACUAAACACUAACAAUAUGCUAAGCAAGAAACUAGCUAACUAUUUUAAUAAACACUAACAAGAAAAUAUCUAACUAUUUACUAAACAAUAAAUAAGUGGAUAGCUAACUAAUUACUAAACACUGACAAUAGCUAACAAUUUACUAACUAAGUAAUUAAAAACAAAAAAAUUAUCUGGCGGCAGUGGCCGGGCCGGGGGCGCGCGACGGUCGGGGCGGGAGCUGGCGCGCGCGGUGGCCGGAGCUAGAGCUGGCGCGGUGGCCGGGCCGGGGGCGCGCGGCGGCCGGGGCGGGCGAGCUCGGCGGCCGGGGCGGGCGAGCGCGGUCGCCGGAGCUCGGCGGUCGGGAAGGGCGGAGCUCGGCGGUGGUCAAGAACGGCGGCGGCUCGGGCGCGUAGAAGCUGAAAACAAACAGAGAAGAAACGCAGAGAAAAGGGGCUUGCGGUUAAGUCCUAGCUCGGCGCCGAGCUAGGCGCCACGCGGACAUCCACGUCACUCCUGCCCGCCAUGGCCACGUCAUAGCUCGGCGCCAUAGCCUAUGGCGCCGAGAUAUGUUACCUCGGCGCCAUAGCAUAUGGCGCCGAGCUAAGAGUCCAAAAUUGAGAUUAAAAAUUUUUUAGGUCUAAACGUGAUUUUAAUUCUGAUAAAGGGCUAUAAUGCAAAAAAAAUUCGGGCAGCUCGACGUGCCCGACAAAUAAUGUGUCCGCCCCCGAGUGUCGCAGCGACCAUAGCAGCUGCCAGAGGCCAGAGCUCCUAUGGUGGGUAUCGGUGCCAAUGCUCGCAUGGCUAUCAGGGGAAUCCUGGGAAGACUGGAUGAGGCUCUUUUAUGCGUCACUAACGCAACCAGGAUUGUUUCUCCAGUUUCUUGUGCUCACCAACGCCGUUUCGACCGUCCCCGCGCACUUGCUUUCCUCGCCGGCCCAAGCCUUUCAGCAUUUAUUUACUGUGCAUUUCUUGACUCCUUUCAAGAUGGCGUGAAAUAUAAUCUCUGCUACUAUAACGCCAUCCCUCUCCCACCCCACACGCCCGCAAAAAGAUAAUCCAAGAAAUGGUCGCCAUGGUUUGAAUCCUAAACCCUAAACCACUGCACGCCACUUAUUGAUUUAUCCUAUACUCCAAAUAUAUAUGCUAAUAUUUUUAAAAUAAAAAAACAUGUUGGACCGAGCCGACACUGUGGACCGUGGAAGACGGCCCAGGCACGGCACAGAUCUACUUUAAAUCGUAUCGAGUCAUACCAUGACAUUAUUAAAUAGAUCGUGCUUUAUGUUGGGUCGCUAGACACAACUCAUUCGAUCAUCUAUAGUCCAGUAUUUCCUCCUUCACCGUCUUUGAUCUUGUGAACAUGAAAAAAUGCAAGAAAAAACUUCAUCUUGUCUAAUAACCCCACACCACAUACCUCGCCAUUAAGACUUAACUAAUAUAUGAGUUUGGAUUAUGUUUGAAUAGCUAUAUCAUUUAAUCAAUGUUUACCAAUAUAUAGAAUAUGUAGCGAUGCACGGGCAACUAACUAUAUACUUAUAUAGUGUAUCUGUGUAUAUAAACAUUUGUUUCAACUCUAGGGUUAGGUUAGUGUCUAAUUGGUCAUGUUUUUGUUUCUCCACUUCUUUGUGCUGGUUUUUUGAGAGUGCUUUUAGUAGUAGAGGACAUAUCCGAUGCACAUGAAAACUUUGUGCACAUGGUGCACAUAUUAAAUUAUCACUAUCCAUAUCAGAUCUAACGUCUCUGGUUGAUCAUUGUAAUUUAUAAAUAACACCUUCCACCAUUACAGUCCAUCACGUCGGAGGGUGUCCUUAGCAAAUAUAUCAAACAACUACCGACGUUAGAUCUAAUAUAAGUGAUAAUAAUUUAAUAUGUACAUCAUAUGCACUAAAAUUCCAUGUGCACUGGAUACGUUCUCUUAGCAGUAAAUGUCACGGUGAAUUGUUGUAUUCAUGACUUACGUAGCUAAGUGACGCGCGCGGCCAUUCCAAGCGAAUGGCCUCCUAUGCGGCAUGUUUGUACGUUUGUCCCUUUUUUGAUCCUCGCUAUAAUCACCACGACCUGUCCAAGGCCAUGCCGUAACAAAAUUUAUACAGCACAGUCAUCUUAGUUUCCAAGGUUGAUCCAUAUAUACGAACGAACAUGUCACCGCAGCAACCAAGAGCAAGCGUCUUCUCCAAUCCGGAAGAGUAAGACCGGUGCACAAAGAGAGGAAGAAGAAAAGAUGUGCUGUUACUCCUGCCAUCUCAAGGUGAUCUGGGACAGGAUGGUGCCGAGCUGCCUGCACCUGCAGGACCAAGGCCAGAGCGGCGAGAGGGUGGCCCUGGCGGCGGCGGCGGCCGGAGCCGACGCGAGGCAGCUCACCCUGGAGGAGAUGCUGUACCCGCCGCCGAGCUGGGAGACGGCGGCGGAGGCUGCGACGCCGUCGCGGCGCAGCUCCCCGAAGGUGUGCCCGGUGAACCUGGCCGACUUCUUCUCGGACGAGGAGGGAGCGGACUCCGGGACCGGGAGCGGCGGCGGCUACUCCGCGCCGGGCGUCAACGAGAGCGCGUCCGUGUCCGUCGUCAGCCGGGCGUCGCUCCGGGGCCUGCACAGCGUGUCCCGGAGGGUGAGCUUCAGGUCCCCCGACGAGUCCGACGUGUUCAUCAUCCCGGCGAGAGGCCACUCCGACGACGACGAUGAGUGGAGCAGUGACGGUGAGCCAAGCAGGACGUGACGUGAACAAACCAAGAAGAGAGAGAGUUCAUGCCAGUGGCAGGUUCUGCAAUAUGAUGAGUGGAGGACCGGACGUGAGUACGUGACACGUCCUGCAGGAUUGUUAGCUGUUUUUCUUGGCAAGAAAACAUGCACAUGUUCAUGUUGCAUUCUUGUUUGUGCGUGUGUUCUUUUUGCCGUGACAUGUAGAGACACCCGUAGACUGCAUCUGCAUCGAUCUCCGGCGUUUCAGGGGUUUAGUUUUGAGUAGUGGCAGCCCACAAAUUCCGGCAGAUCUCCGAGAGUGGAGGAGGAGGUGGCGGUCGCUCCGUCGACGGGCUUCCCUCCAUCACUCUCCUGCUGCCCGUCUUGUGCGGAUCCUGAACAAGCCACCACGCCUCGUCUUGUGCUCUUCUCCUCUCGAUCGCGCAUGUCCUGUCCUGACCUGACCGGCCCAUCGCCAUCGCCAUAGCAUCGGGGGUCGAGCAGCUCGGCGAAAUGACGCAGCUGGGCUGAGGAGAGCGGUCGAUCGAGAGAUCAUCCAUCGGGGUCAGGGACUCAGGGUGUGAGCGAGGGUGUAGGUAGGGUGGGUAAAGAUGGACAAGAUGGAGAGCUACCUGAACGAGAACUUCGGGGGCGUCAAGGCGAAGCACUCGUCGGACGAGGCGCUGGGGCGAUGGCGGAGCGUCGUCGGCGUCGUCAAGAACCCCACCAGGCGGUUCCGCUUCACCGCCAACCUGGGCAAGCGCUCCGAGGCCGCCGCCAUGAAGCGAUCCAACCAGGAGAAGCUGCGGGUCGCCGUGCUCGUCUCCAAGGCCGCGCUCCAGUUCAUCCACGGCCUGCCGCCGCAGGGCGACUACGCCGUGCCCGCCGACGUCAAGGCGGCCGGCUUCGGCAUCUGCGCCGAGGAGCUGAGCUUCAUCGUGGAGAGCCACGACGUGAAGAAGCUCAAGUCCCACGGCGGCGUGGACGGCCUCCUGUCCAGGCUGUCCACCUCGGCGUCCGACGGCCUCGACGGUAGCAAGCUGAUGGCGGCCCGGCAGGAGCUCUUCGGCGUCAACCGCUUCGCCGAGGCGGAGCCCCGCAGCUUCUGGGUCUUCGUCUGGGAGGCGCUCCAGGACAUGACGCUCAUGAUCCUGGCCGCCUGCGCGCUCGUCUCCCUCGUCGUCGGCAUCGCCACCGAGGGGUGGCCCCACGGCGCGCACGACGGGCUCGGCAUCGUCGCCAGCAUCCUGCUCGUCGUCUUCGUCACCGCCACCAGCGACUACCGCCAGUCGCUGCAGUUCAAGGACCUCGACAAGGAGAAGAAGAAGAUCACAGUGCAGGUCACGCGGAGCGGGUACCGCCAGAAGCUCUCCAUCUACGACCUCCUCGCGGGCGACAUCGUGCACCUCGCCAUCGGCGACCAGGUGCCCGCCGACGGGCUCUUCGUGUCGGGCUUCUCCCUGCUCAUCAACGAGUCCAGCCUCACCGGAGAGAGCGAACCCGUCGCGGUGAGCGCCGAGAACCCGUUCCUGCUGUCGGGGACCAAGGUGCAGGACGGCGCGUGCAAGAUGCUGGUCACCACCGUCGGCAUGCGGACGCAGUGGGGCAAGCUCAUGGCCACGCUCAGCGAGGGCGGCGACGACGAGACGCCGCUGCAGGUCAAGCUCAACGGCGUGGCCACCAUCAUCGGCAAGAUCGGCCUCGCCUUCGCCGUGGUCACGUUCGCGGUGCUCACGCAGGGCCUGUUCUGGCGCAAGCUCGCCGACGGCUCCUACUUCAGCUGGACCGGCGACGACGCGCUGGAGCUGCUGGAGGUCUUCGCCAUCGCCGUCACGAUCGUCGUCGUGGCCGUCCCCGAGGGCCUGCCACUGGCCGUGACGCUCAGCCUGGCGUUCGCAAUGAAGAAGAUGAUGAACGACAAGGCGCUCGUGCGGCACCUCGCGGCCUGCGAGACCAUGGGCUCCGCCACCACCAUCUGCAGCGACAAGACCGGCACGCUGACCACCAACCACAUGACCGUCGUGAAGGCCUGCAUCUGCGGCAAGGUGAAGGACGUGAACAGCUCCGCGGAGACCAAGACGCUGCCCUCCGACCUGCCGGCGUCCGUCGUGGCGAUGCUCCUGCAGUCCAUCUUCAACAACACCGGCGGCGACGUCGUGCUGAACCAGGACAGCAGGCGCGAGAUCCUGGGCACGCCGACCGAGGCCGCCAUCCUGGAGUUCGGGCUCGCCCUUGGCGGCGACUUCGCGACGGUGCGCAAGGCGAGCACCCUGCUCAAGGUGGAGCCCUUCAACUCGGCAAAGAAGAGGAUGGGGGUGGUCAUCCAGCUCCCCGGCGGCGCGCUGCGGGCGCACUGCAAGGGCGCGUCGGAGAUCGUCCUGGCGUCCUGCGCCAGGUACCUGGACGAGCACGGCAACGUCGCCGCCCUCGACGGCGCCACCGCGGACCACCUGAGGGCCACCAUCGACAGCUUCGCCAACGAGGCGCUCCGGACGCUGUGCCUCGCCUACGUCGACGUCGGCGACGGGUUCUCCCCGAGCGACCAGAUCCCGACGGACGGGUACACGUGCAUCGGCGUCGUGGGGAUCAAGGAUCCCGUCCGUCCCGGCGUCAAGGAGUCGGUGGCGAUCUGCAGGUCCGCUGGCAUCACCGUCAGGAUGGUCACGGGCGACAACAUCAACACGGCCAAGGCGAUCGCGCGGGAGUGCGGCAUCCUGACUGAAGGCGGCGUAGCCAUCGAAGGCCCAGAUUUCAGAGUCAAGAGUGAGGAGGAACUGCAAGAUCUGAUACCCAAAAUACAGGUGGGUGGGUUAGCGUUGAAAGAUGUAGAUAAAUCGUCUGCAUUUCUGGAGCUCCUUUGAUCGAUUUCACGCUGCGAUUCAGGUAAUGGCGAGAUCUUCGCCGCUCGACAAGCACACUUUGGUGAAGCACCUACGAACAACAUUUGAUGAAGUUGUUGCGGUCACCGGCGAUGGCACAAACGAUGCUCCUGCGCUACACGAAGCCGACAUUGGGCUUGCGAUGGGCAUUGCUGGCACUGAGGUACUAUCUACUUCGUGUUCCUAAUGACGACAUUAGACAUUGGAAUUGCUCUUACAUAUAACUGUGGUCAGUAUUAAGUGUACAUCAGAGUAUCAGACUAACAAUGUAGGUGCUGCUUUUCUCUGACGCCAGUGUAGCACCUAGCUACUUCUUCUGUUCUGUCUAGCAACAUACCCAAUGGGUAUUUACUCCAUUAAGAUAUAUUUUUUUUUAACAGAAAGGGGAUUCCCCCCCUAUUUCAUUAAGAAAUAGGACCACAGUUUUAACAACAUUCAAACAGAAAAACUACUUAUUACACCACUUAGCUCAUAGAACUAAAAGGGCAGAAACAAACCAACCAGGCCUAAGGAGGAUCACUACAGUUUUUGGCACAGAAAGCCAUACCGCACAGCCACUACGACCACUACCAACCAGUUUUUGGCAAGGCCGACCACAAACAAAGCCCCAGCGACCAGACAUAAGCAACACAUUGUGAAAACACAAACCCUAAAACCAAAAGGGCUUCUGAGAGCCAGGCAAGCCACACAUCUAAAACAAACAGACAUCGCGCUCAAACGUUAGUUGCACAGUCUUUUAUCCAUCGGCGCCCAACCAAAAUUCCUGUUGAAGACCUCCUUAACCAUUCUUCUGAGCAGGGAGCUUCCUUCCAGCAGCAUCUUUCUUGAAGUUUCUUUCUGAAGAAUCGCCCAAGCAUCCAACCAAGAGCAGCACAUAAACACAGGGUUAACAGCAUUUAAAGAGGAAAUGUUGUUGAAACAGAAAUCAUUUCUAUGCUUCCACAGCGACCAGAGAACUGCACUGCAACCCACAGUGAUCAGAUUUUUUUCAUGCCCUUUGAAUUUACAUAACCAACUCCCAAACAUAUCCUUAGCACUUUUGGGAAGUGUAAGAGACGGACAGGACAUCUGAAUAAUUUUCCAAGAAAAAGAUGCAACCUGGCAAUUAUAAAAGAUAUGGCUGGUUGUUUCAAGACAACCACACCACUCACAAUUAACGUUCCCUUGCCAUUUUUUUUUCCUCAAAUUUUCCUUGGAUAGGAUUUUAUCAUUUAUGACCAACCAGAGGAAAACUUUAAUUCUCUGAGGUAUUUUUGCCUUCCAGAUGAACCAAUAAGGAUCCCUAUUUAAAUUUACUUUAAAGUUUCUAUAGGAUGAUUUCACUGAAAAUCCUUUCUUAUCAAGCAACCAGCAUGGUUUAUCAUUUCUGUCUAUAAGACAGAAAUCUGCACAGUUAUUUUUCAAAUCAUCCAACAGAUUGACCCCAUCUCCAAAUAAUCUUCUUCUAAAGAUUAAGGAGUUACAGUUGUCUCUUAUGGCCCAAUUCACAUUUAUCUCUUUAUUAAGAGAUAAUUCAAAAAGUCUUUUGUAUCUCAUGGAUAAAGGCUCAUCACCACACCACUUAUCCAACCAAAAACUAGUAGAGACACCAUUUCCAAUUUUCAUUUUUCUGUUUUUACAAUAUUCUUGCUUACAAUCCAUGAGGCCUCGCCAAAACUGAGAGUCUCCUUGUUUUUUUUUAACACACAUAAUGGUUUGCCUUUCAUAUAUUUUUUCCUAACAAUUGUUUGCCACAGACCUUCUUCCAUCUCAAGUUUCCAUAACCAUUUGGUCAACAAACUGAUAUUCAUCCAUCUUAGAUUUAGAAUCCCAAAACCCCCCUUAUUUUUCUCAGUGCAGACUGUAUCCCACUUCACCAAGUGGUAUUUUUUUAUAUUGUUUCCCCCACACCACAAAAACCUCUUUCUGAAAGUAUCCAUUUUCUUCAAAACAGCAGAAGGAGCCAGAUAGAGAGAAAGCAUGUAGAGAGGGAUAUUAGACAGACUACUAUUAAUUAGAGUCAAUCUUCCCCCAAGACUCAGAUAUCUUCCUUGCCAAACUCCCAAUUUUUUUUCAAAUUUCUCUUCCGUGUUAGCCCAUUGAGUUUUACUCAGUGUUUUAUGAUCAAUAGGAACGCCAAGGUAACAGAUGGGGAGUUUUUUAAUUGGGCAUGUAAAAAUCUCAGCAUAAGCCUCUUUAUUAUUGUUAGCAUUGCCAAAACAAUAAACCUCACUCUUAUGAAAAUUAAUUUUAAGGCCAGACAUUUUUUCAAACAAAAUUAGGAUAAACUUCAAAUUCCUAGCAUAUUCAAGGUUAUCCUGAAUCAAAAGAAUUGUAUCGUCAGCAUAUUGAAGAUAAGCACAUCCAUUGUUUAUAAUGUGAGGAACCAAACCAGUAAUCAGUUUCAUUUCUUGUGCUUUUUCAAUAAGGCACGCAAGACCAUCCGCUGCAAUGUUAAAAAGUAAGGGGGAAAAGGGGUCACCCUGUCUAACCCCUUUAUGAGUGGGAAAGUAAGGACCAGUCAUGCCAUUAGUUCUAAUAGCAACUUUUCCUCCUUUCACUGUCUUCAUCACCCAAUCACCCCAUUUAUCUCCAAAGCCUUUUUGAUGGAGCAUGCAAUACAAGAAUUGCCAAUUAACUUUGUCAUAGGCCUUCUCAAAAUCAAUUUUGAGAAUAAUCCCAUUCUGUUUUUUCUUUUUUACUUCAUGAAUGAUUUCAUGUAAAGCUACAACACAAUCCAAAAUAUACUUCCCUUUAAUAAAACCAUACUGAUUCUCACUAAUAACCUUGUUGAUACAAGUAGAAAGCCUGUUAUUCAGAGAUUUAGUGAUGAUUUUAUAACAAACGUUUAAAAGACAAAUAGGCCUAAAUUUUUUCAUUUCCAUAGCAUUAUCCACUUUAGGAAUUAAUGUAAUCAAGCCAUAGUUAAGCCUUUCAAUAUCCAACUUUCCUUUGCUGAAAUCAUCACACAUAUUCCAAAUAUCUUUUUUAAUAAGAUCCCAGAAAUCCUGAAAAAAUUCUGCAGGAAGACCGUCAGGACCUGGGGCACUGUUAUGUUUAAGAUCAGUGACAACCUUAAAAAUUUCUUGAUAGCUAAAGGGAGCAGUAAGGAGUUUUCUGUCAUCCUCAUUAAGCUUCCUCAUAUUCAUAUUAUUCAUAUGAAUAGUUGAGAUCAUUGAAGGGCCGAAAAGAUUUUUAUAAUAGUCAGUAGCUAUCUUAUUAAUUUCCUCUUCAUCUUCAACAAGUCUCCCAUUAUCAUAGAGAGCAUGAAUUUUCAAACGUCUCUUAUUGCCAUUAGCUUUAAGAUGAAAAUAUUUAGUAUUUUCAUCACCAGCAAUGAUAUUUUUCUCUCUAGCAAUUUGUUUCAUUUUGGUUUCUUCUUCGAGACAAAGAUUUUUCAGUUGAAAAUCAUAAUCCAUUUUUUCUUCCUUCUCCUCCGCAGAAAGAGUUUCUAAUUCAUUUUUAAUGUCCAGUCUAUUUAUUUCUCUUUUCAGAAUAUUAAUUUUCCUCCUAUUUUUUCCUUCUUCAUUAAUAUUCCAACCCUUCAAAGUUUUUUUAAGUCUUUUGACUUUUUCUUUCCAGAUGUCAAUGUUUUUUCUGCUUUUAACUGGAAGAGUCCAGCUAUCAACCACAAUGUCUCUGAAAUUUGGUCUAAACUUCCAACUGAGUUCAUAUCUAAACUCAUGAGUCAUCUUUUUUUUUUCUUCAGUUUGAAGCAAAAGUGGCACAUGAUCAGAAAGAGAUCUAUCAAGACCUCUAACUGUUGCAUUGUGAAACAUCAAAUCCCAUUCAGGGUUAACCAAAAAUCUGUCAAGUUUCUCAAAAGUAGGAUUACUCCUAUUAUUCGACCAAGUAUAGAGCCUAUCAGUAAGCUCAAGCUCUAUAAGACCAUAAAUUUCAAUAAUAGAAUUGAAGAGAGUACUCCAAUGAUUUAAAAUCCCAGGUUUGUUUUUCUCUUCAAUUGUUCUAAUGAUAUUAAAAUCACCACCAAAAAUAGUCGGGCCUUUGCAAUUAGAACAAACAGAGGAGAGCUCACUGAGGAAUUUAUCUUUAUUUUCCAAUUGGGCCGCACCAUAAACGUUAACAAAAUUGAAAGUAACAUUUUUUGAUUUGUGGUGAAUUGAACAAAUAAUCAUAAACUCCCUAAUUUCCUGAUUAAUGAUGUCAAAGAUAUCAGAGUUUAUGCCAACUAAUAGACCACCAGACCUGCCCCUGGGAGGGGAAGAAAUCCAAAAAAAAUUUCUUUGAGGAUUUAGAGCCUCAAACCAACUUUGAUCGAAUUUUUUUCUUUUGGUUUCUUGAAGACCAAAAAAAUCCACUUUAUGUUUUGUAAUGAGUUCCCUCAGAAACUCAAACUUCCCCGGUUUAACCAAACCCUGACAAUUCCAUACAACUCCAAUCAUUAUGGAACCAAUAAGUCUGCAGAUUCUCUGACUUUUCUAAUUCUCCUCUUAUUAGGUGUGCACCUAACUUUAGGAGAAUUAUUUUUCUUUUUAUUUCUCAGAGAAUACUUUUUCUCUUUUUUCAUGUCCUCUUUCUUAUUGUGCACCAAAAGUUUUUCUUUAUCAGAUUCACUAUCUAAUACCUCCUGAACCAUUUUAUCUAUAGAAUCAGAAAUUUCCAAUUCAUUUUCAGUAUCAAUUAUGUUUAAAGCAUCAUCAGGAACAAUGUCAGAUUUACAAUCAAUAUAUCUUUCUAUCUCAAUCAUUUUAAUGUCAUUAAGAUUCAAAAAAAUCUCCUCAUCAUUCUUUCCUAAACUAACAUUAAGCAUAUCAGCCAUCUCAACCAAAAUAUUAUCACUAGUGUUCAAAACAGAAAAGGGAUUGGAGGACAUACCUUUGUUUAGGAAGGCAUCUUUUGCCGCCGCCCUUGAGAUAGCUUUUUCAGUAAUCUUUAAGUCUUCAGUUGCCUCCAGUCUGGUGCUCUUCCUGGUGCCUUCCAUCAGAUCAGCAUUUUUUCCUUUGUUCUUCUUGCUUUUUUCGUCAAUGUUCAUAUCCUGUUUGUCUGUGUCCUCUUUUUCAGAAGUCUUAUCCUCCUGAGAAUUAGCAAUAUCCACACCCAUGUCUUUGACUAAGACAUCAAGUUCCUGAGAACUUAGUAAGUCAUCUUCACUUUCAUCAAAAUCCACAUCACCUUCAGCUUUUUCAUUUUCAUCUGAUUCCUUUAUCAUCUCUGGUAAAUUGCCAGAUUUAUCAGAUUUCAUCAAACUCCCAGUCAUCCUAGAAGUCGACCCAGUAUGGAAAUCAGUAUCCAUAUCAUUUCCAUCUGACCCAGUAUCCUCAUUCUUAGCUCUCUUUCCACUUUUCUCCAUUACAUUUUUCCCAGACAUCUGCACAUCAACAGAAGCUCUUUUUCCCAAAUUAAUAGAUUCAUCAUUCCAUCCUUCUGCAUCAAUAUUCUCAACUUUAAAGAAUAUGUCGUACAGGUAAGGUUUAACUCCCACUUCUAUAAUUUCUGGUAUCAUGUCAAUGCUUUUGACAUGAACUUUAAAUCUGACCAUAUCCUUAGAUUCCAGAGAGUUCAGAUCAAUUUCCUCAACAGCCCCAAUUGUUGAGCCAAGUUCACAGAUGGCUUGGUAGUUUAGAAGUUCUUCAGGAACAUUUUCAGCGACUACCCAAGUGGUGUGAAGUCUGGAUUUGGCUUUGGCUUGAGAAGACCAAGGAAUAACACUGAUUUUCACCCCAGAAAUUUUCAUUUUCAAUUCAGGAAAGUUAACAACCUCAUCUAAACGUUCCUGAGAAGGAAACUGCAUUAAAAAGCCAGAUGGACACUUGGUUGCCUUCCAGAUUCUACCCCAGGGAAAAUGAAAACUAAAAUCCUUUUCCAAGUCCUCACAUCUAACCUCUCCCUCAAUGACUUUAACCAAACCUAAAAAGCUUUUUCUAGGUUUCUUGGCAGCAUUUUUAGCAAACUGAGAAGCAUAGAAACCUAAACCAUCAGCUGCCAUUCCCACAAUAGGCAUAGUCGGUUUACUCUGCUUAGGCCAAACACAUUUAGCCGUAACAUGCGUUUCCUUCCUGCAAAUCUCACACCAAAGAGGCUUGAAACACUCUCUAGCAUGAUGACCUUCAUCCCCACAUUUCUGGCAAAAAACACGACGACCAAGAUCCAGAUCCAUAGGAAUAACAGGAGUCGGAUGAUUCAUGUUACCUGGAUCACCACCAUCGCCUGCAGAAGAUGUCUGCCCCUCUUGCUUGGUCUCGGGCUUCAAAUGGGGAGGUCGCAGACGCCAGCUGAGAUUACGAUGCCUUCCCCACGGAGGCGAGUUUUGCCUCUGCGGCUUAGGGAUUUGGCGAUCCCAUUUCGCGUUUUUCCCCUUUGAAUCCAUUGUAGCCAAGCUGUUAGGGAUUUGGGAACCAAUCCCUACUCUCGGCCACGGAUCAGGAGAGGAAGGAGAACGAAAAGAGACCGAUCUCCACCCCCCGCAAAAACUAGAUCUCGCCUUGGUAGGCAGCCGCCAAAGCACGGACAAGAAAGCAGCGAGGUGAGGAAGGGGGCGAGCUCCAACUAGGUCAUCUGGAAACCCUAGCGGGGAUUUCAGCGAAGCCGACCUAGAGGGAGAGAAGAGAGGCGAUGGGAAAGGGGGCGUGUUACCUACGCGAGAUGGGGAUAAGGCCAAGCCAACCGGUCUGCCAACAGUCCCCGUAAGAUUUCCACGCUUGGCCUUGUGAAUCUCAACACCAGAGGUCCAGCCGCGCCAUCGACCCACGCACGGGGCGGCCCAGUCCUGUACCUCCCUGGGCUUACAGCCUUUUCGGAGAAGGGGAGAAGACCGCUUCCCGCCAAUGGAGAUCAACGAACGGGAGGGAUGAAUGAGAGGGGGCCGCACGGGAGAGGGAAGGGGAGAGAGACGAGCCAUCCCCAGCUCUCCGGACUUGAUUAGUGAUCGAAAAAAAAGCAUUAGCUCAUUCGCAGAGAGAGAAUCUCCAUUAAGAUAUAUAUAUAGGCUAAAUAUUUUAUUCAUGGAUUUUUUAUUAGACAAAAACCUUCAUCCAAUGGAUAAACGGGUAUUAGAACGUUUUGCCCUCACCUAUACUCUUUAAUCCACGGUAUAAAAUGUCCAAUGUAAUAGCGUGAACUUGGGCUUCUGUCAUCCAUAUAUUUUUACUAUUUAACAACCUUUCGGACGAUAAUGUCAUAGAUGACUUAAGAACUAUUUGAUAAUAACAAUGUAAUAGAACAUGUAAUGUGUUAUGUGACAUUAUCGAGUGUUGUUACUUUAUCCAAUUACCUAUGGUGUUAUUGAAUGGAUGAUUGAAUGAUGCUGGAAAUUAUGUAAUUGUAUUUAGAUGGAUAUACUUGAUGUUUGUAUAAUGUAUUAUUUGAUAGAUAUUUAAUCUUUGUGGGUAUGAGUGACCCAUACCCACAUAGUUAUGGGUAUGUCGGUAAAUCCACAUCCACUAGUGGAUAUAGGUGACCCGACAAGGUUUUUUUUGUCAUGGGUAUGUGUAUGAGAUAGUAAUAACGGAUGGAUAUUUACCCAUUUGACAUCUUUAGUUCUGUCCCAAAUUUAUAAGACAUUUCAGUAUUUCUAGUGAUAGGAUUGUGGAUCCUACCGGGAAUGUGGUAUAGGCUAGGGGUAAGACGCAGGGGACCGACGAUGAUCAUGGCGCCAGGGCGCCGUGGCUGAGCUUGACUGAAGGAGAGCAAGAGAACAGAGGGUGCUACAAUACUCACGGUGCUGUUAGAUUAGGGCUCAAGCGGGAGGAGGGAGAUGAGGGUGGCAGCUAAGGGCUCCUAGCUCCGUGAGGAAAGCCGACAACAAAUAAGUUGUUUCUGCUUGAUUGCAAAUGGAGGUGUACAGAGUUGUUUUAUAGUCUCUCCUCUUAUCUUAUCGAACUCAUAUCUAAUAGCUUCUUAUCUUAUCCUAUCUAACUAACUCCUAUCUAAUAGCUUCUGAUAGCUAUUUCCUUAUCUAAUCAUAACUUGGCCCUUAAACCUCUUGAUUCUGAUCUUGACGUCUCUUAUAGUUAUAGCUGAUGAUGCCGGUCAUAACAUCUAGAUUCAUAAUAUAUUUCAUUUUUCUAAUGUUUUGUUUAUUUGAAGGUGCACCUUAUCGUUUCUAAUAAUGUUUGUUUGAAGGUGGCGAAAGAGAGCGCCGACGUGAUCAUUCUCGACGACAACUUCUCCACCAUAGUGACUGUCGCCAAAUGGGGCCGGUCGGUGUACAUCAACAUCCAGAAAUUUGUGCAGUUCCAGCUGACAGUCAACGUCGUUGCGCUCAUCGUCAACUUCUCUUCAGCUUGCCUGAUAGGUAAAAAAAAAAACCUCACGCUGCUGCGUUCAUCUGUAGGUGACUGAUUCCAGUCUGAAUCUGAAAUAAUAGACAUUGACUGGAGCCCGUAAACAAACUCAUAAAAUGUGCUUGUCGAUUCAUCAGGGAGCGCGCCCCUGACUGCGGUGCAGCUGCUCUGGGUGAACAUGAUCAUGGACACGCUGGGAGCUCUGGCGUUGGCCACGGAGCCCCCCAACGACGAGCUCAUGAAGAGGACUCCCGUCGGAAGGAAAGGCAACUUCAUCAGCAACACCAUGUGGAGGAACAUCAUGGGGCAGGCCCUCUACCAGUUCCUCGUCAUCUGGUACCUGCAGUCUAGGGGGAAACGGCUCUUCUGGAUCGACGAGGGCGCCGCCGACGCCGACCUGGUCCUGAACACGGUCAUCUUCAACUGCUUCGUGUUCUGCCAGGUAACUAAACUACCUGUGACAAUAGCCUGGCAAAGUAUGGUUACUGGACAUCUCAGAUGUCUGCGGAUGCUGAAUAUUUCGUUAGAUGUUUUUUUUUUCUUUUCCUUUUUACCAUGUGAAGCUAGCUGCGCUGACUGACUUCCUUCUCGGCCGUGCGUGCAGGUUUUCAACGAGGUGAACUCGAGGGAGAUGGAGAGGGUGAACGUGUUCCGAGGCAUCCUGGACAACAACGUGUUCGUCAUGGUCCUCGGCAGCACCGUCGUGUUCCAGUUCGUGAUCGUGCAGUGCCUCGGUAGCUUCGCCAACACGACCCCUCUCAGCCUCGCGCAGUGGGUCGCCUGCGUCGCCAUCGGGUUCGUAGGCAUGCCUAUCGCCGUGGCGGUGAAGAUGGUGCCGGUGGAGUAGGCCGGCCUUCAGUGGAGGCAGCCAGGCAGUUUUGGCCGUUGUUGCUUGCCCUCGUCAUACAGACAUCUUCCUCGCUUAUGAUCUAGACUUCUCUGGAGGUCGAGCCGCCAUGGCGAUCGGCUCGAUUCUGAAAAGUGUUGGGUAGAAUCUUGUAGCUUUGAAAGUUUCAGUUUCAGUUUUUUUUUUGUUCCCAGACGUUCUUCAUUUGGAAGUAGUAACUGUUGGCUUGAAAUGUUUAUUACAGAUGUACUGAUUUUUUUUAAGAACAGAACAGGUUUUAUUCAUUUGUUAUUCUACAAAGGGUUCCUGUGUCUUGAGAUAUAUAUAGUGUUGUAAUUUCUAGUAACGGAUCGGUGAGCAUAGUUUGUGUUAGAUUUAUAAGAGGAGGCACGAAUAAGCCACAUUUCCGUAUGGGCUCUCUAGGUAACUUUUAUUUAAAAUGAGAUGAUAAGUUUAAGAGAGAUUAUGGAAUACGGUUUUCAUAGGUUGGAUUUAAGAUUUAAGGUCGUGCAUUGCUACGGUUCAGAGUUUAGGGUAACUUUUAUUUAAAUUGGAUAAUUAUUCAUACAUAUUCUAAACCUUUACAAUGAACACCCAAAAGUCUCGAAUGUUUGUGAGAAUAGUGGUGGCAAAGUCCUACUUGAGAUGUCAUUUGGUUCACAUAUUGGUAACGUAAUGGGUAACCGAUAACGUUAAAAAAUCAUAUUUUUUAAGUCCAACUGUAAUCGAUACCACACUACAAAUGAAUACCGCCUUAUUCAAAUUUGUUACCGCCGGUAUUCGAGUGUGAAUCGUUACCAUUACCAUUUACGUUACAUUCCGUGAAACAAACGAUACCUGAGUUCCUGUGACUUCAAAUCUCACAGGCGGUGGCGGCGGCGACGCUAUGACAGGUGUCUGUGCGGCACUCAUCCCCUCAAACAAACAAUUACAAUUUUGGAUUGAACCUAACUAAUUCUAAUUUACGAAACCGAAGGCCUAUGUAUCUUAAUCGGUGACUUGACAGCUCUGCUGCGAUGGCAUUUUGAUUACGCCACUAUCAGUCUACACAUGCAUCACUUAUGUACGUGUAUUAUAUGUCCAAAUAGGCUGGGCCUCCUAAGCAGCCCGUGGCCGACAUGGUUUAGACCGGCCCGAGCAUGAAUUGACAUCUUGUUCACUGGACUCAUGUCGGCCAAGCAUAAUCAUCAUGUCAAGGCUAGACCUUCGUUGUGGCAUGAUGGGCUAGACCCGAUACAGUUCGAUUUUUUCUCUUAUUUUUUAUAAAAAAUAUUAUAUUAUGCUUUAGUAUAUAAUAUAACACAUAAAAAUAUGUGUUAUGUUGGCUAGAUGAGUGUGGAUAUAGAGACAAUAACUAAGUUUCAAAUCCUGCAUUUGCAUAUAAUUUUACCUUAUUUUAUUGAAAACAGAUAGAGAAGACCUCCAACGAUUUGGAUUCUCUAGAUGUUAAAAUUUAGCUAAAAAUGUAGUGAUAAAACUUUAGGUUCUAUGAGCUAAGAGCAACUCCGGUGGUUCUCUAAAAGACUUCCUAAAUCAAUAAUUUAGGUAGUUAACAUGAAAACUAUUCUCCAACAGUUCUCUAAAUGAACUUUCUAAAUUUAACAACUUGUCAUCUAACCUCAUUUUCUCUCUACAUUUGGCAACCAUUUAACAACUCCCUAAACAAAAAUGUUGACUGCAUUAUAUAGUUUUUGUGACUUAUUUUUUAUGUGGAUAAAUACAAAACAAAUUACAACCUAUAUUUAGAGAACUAUUGGAGAACUCACAUUUUUUUACUCCAAAAGUCAUUUAGCAACUUCUUAAAUCUGUGAUUUAGAGAGCUAAAAUUUACAUAACUAUUGGAGUUGCUCUAAGUCGAGGUGUUGGAGCAUGGAGUACGACAGUACGUACACCAGCCAACCUGCAGCCGUGCAGCGAGCCGUGGCAGGCCUACAGCGGGGCAACGACCCAGCAAUCCAAGGUGUCCAAGGCCCAAGUCACUGUGGCCAGCAGCAGCAGCAUGGCAUGGCCGCAAUGGCCCAGCAGGCCAGCAGCAUUGCUGAGGCAGGGUAGCUAUCUCCUACUCCUACGUGCCGUUGUUACUGUCGUAGAAAUAGAUAGAUUUAUUUAUUUAUUACGUGGAGCCUUGUUUGAACAAUGAAGAACAAACGAGUGGUCCUCUGUGGAGCUUGUGCACUCUACAUGCUCUCGAGAGCGGUUUAGAAAUCGUGGCACGCCAACAAAAUUCUUCUCUCUCCCAUAAUUUCGUCAGGAUGUGUUUCUCCGGUUUGUUUGAACGGUGACCACUAACCCAGCCGACACGCUGGCUGCACGCACUGCCGGAGCAUAUUUCCUGCGCCGAGAGCUCGGCAAUCAAUCAAUCAACCGAAUGGUCCUCUCUCUCUCUCUCUCUCUCUCUUUCCUGCAAGACCAAGACCAGUCAGGCCACCAGGGUGCCGGGCCCAGGAGCAGAGCAGGCAGGUCCUGGACUCCUGGUCGCCACUGAUCGCCAGCGGCCAGGAGCCCAGCCGCAUGCUGCCGGUGGCCUGUGGCGGUGCGGCCCCAAGCGCACGGCGGGCGGACGGCGCCACGCCCUCGGCGGCCUCGCCGCGCGCGCCGGGACAAAACUCAAGGCACUACGUGUGUAAUCAUGCCAUCGAUGGGUCACAUCGACUGCCACUGCCACUACUACCAUCGCCAUUGCUGAUGCCAGCAGCCCCCCUGGCUCGUGAGGCCAGCCGCAGGCCGCUGCUCCUCCGAGGGACACCGCGCCUUUUACUGCAGACGCUGGCGGGCAGGACAGGACAGGACAUCCGGACCGCAUCUCGUCGUCCAUCCGUCCAUGGUUGGUUGGUUCUAGCCGGCUGAUCCAAUUCCAAACAAGGUUAGGCUAAUUCAUUCAUCCGAACAAACAGACAGGGUCUGAGAAACUCCUUUGGAUUCCUCUGACGAGAAAUGAAAAGCCUCCGAUCCAAACAAACGCUCGCUGCUCUGCCCGAGGCCGCCCGCCCGCUGCUGCAAGCAAAGCAGGAGCUGCCCCCGGCGGCCCGGCGUCCAUGCCAUGCAUAUGCAUCGAACGAGGCCAGGGCCAGCCGCGCGCGCUGCUCUGCCCGAGGCCGGCCGCGCUGCUGCAGUGCGUGCAGGCAGCUCGCGCGCGCGAGGCGAGAGAGCCAUGCAUGAUGCAUGCAAUGCAAUGCACGCACGUCUCUCCAAGCAAGCCCCGCCCCGCCCCCGCCCCCUGGCGCGAAUUGAUGAAUCGGGCAGGCCAGGGACGGGGAUCGCGCGCAUGGCCGCGGCGCCGUACACGUACGUGUGCCUGCCCGGCUGCCAGUGACGCGUCGCCGUGUAGGCUGUCGACUGCGUCGUUUGCCGCCGUCGCCGUGGCACGUGCAUGGUGUGUGACCACCGCCGGGCGCGCGGUUCGAUCGGUCGGGGUGGUCAGGGCGGCCUGUGGCCUUGUGGGAGUCCGAGUUUUACCCGGCCCUCGGCUGGCGCAUCAAGCUCAGCUCUGCCUGCAGCCCUAUUAAUUUGGCCAUCAAGUCGCGGCAGGGGAAAAAAACGAUCAGCUGGAGAAGUAAUUACCACUGAUUUUGCAGCACAACCAUACAAAAAAAAUGCUACUGGCAGAUACACCCCAAAAACAUUAAUGCCGCGUGUUGGCUCUACCUGAACAGGGUCAGGACAAGCCUGUCGUCCGCGGUCCUGCAGCUAGCAAAAUAGCUAGCCAAGACAGGCGGUUCAACUGCAGACGAGACGACAGCGGCGCCGGUGUUGGGGCCGGGGUGGUGCUGUAUGUGGCCAGCCAGCCACGAACUCUUGCUCUUGUCACCGGCGGGAAUAUACAUGUUGCCCAGCCCUUCUCCGAUCCGCCGCCCGCUUGCUGCUGCUGGAGUCCGGCGUCCCAUCGCCGUCAGGGGAUCGGCCGGACGGACGACAAGCGUGAGCAGCCCGGAGUCGGAGUGCGUAGGGAUCUCUCUCCGGUAUCCGGUCGAUCUCCAGCCUCCACUCCAGUUCAGUCCCAGCAGGCUUCUCGAUCCCAGGCCGAUCGCGCGAGAUCGAUCGGGUGUAGUAGCCACAGUACUUUCUGUUCCUAGCUUUCCAAGGCAUAUUGCAUUGCGGUUGCAUGAUUCGAGAGUCAAAUGUUUGGCAGGACCAGUGGACCACGUACCGGCGUACCCAUCAAUCAUAUCGAGUCUCGACUGGAGAUUCUGUGCUGUGCCACUUAGGUACAGUAUCCGUGUGAUUAAUUGUUCUAACUUUUAGAUACUAUAUAUGCACCUAAAAACCCUUGAGACAACUCCUCCUUUACAAAUGAAAAGCGUAGAAUCUACUUGUUUAAUCUUUCUGAAAGCUCUACAGCUUAGGUUCGUCGUAUUUUACUUUGCUGCUAAUUAAUGCAUGUAGACGUCUUAUAUAUGCAUGUGUGGGUUUGCACUGUCGGCUGCUCUUAUCUUUCAUUCAUUCGUUCAGUCAGUCAAAUGACUGUUACCUGGCCGCUUGCGAAAGCAGCAGCUCUCUGUAAAAGACGACCUUUUCCCGCGCUUGCCUUGCCUGCUCUCAAGGCUUUUUUCAGCAGCAUCGAUCUGCACUGGCGCGAAAGCGAGGUCGCUUGUCACGCUCACUCACGGCCAGCGACAGCAUGCAUGACGCGGAUGAUGAAUGAAUCAAUGAACGGAAAAAGAACAAGUGCUACUACCUACCACCACGCACCAAAGCCGGAUGCAUGUUGGUGUGGUCGGCAGGAAGUCAAUGUGCGUGCUCUCUGCUCAAACCCAUCGAUCAUCAACUUUUGAUCAGCUACAGUGUUGACAUGCAGAUCUCUCUUCCAACCAAAUUAAGUUUCUUCACAGAAAAGGAAUAGUCUAGUUCGGUCUAAUCCUUGCAAUUAAGGUUAACCACCAAAAAGGAUGGACAUAUAUAAAUUGGGUAGUACCUCGUACGGUAGAAGACAUUAUUUUGGGGUUGUUUGUUUGGUUCUAUACCUAAGAUGCCACGUAAUUUAUGUCACACUUGCUUAAGGUUACACACUUAAUUUUUGCACCACAGUUUGCCACGUCUAAGGAAAUAUUGCCACACAUUUAUAAGUCAUUGACGAGUGAGAACAUAUACAACAGUAGAAAAUUCUUGUCACAACUGUGGCUACAAACCAAAUAUAUGACUUAGUCAAACUUGCAGACAGAUGCAGGCCACACUGAUCCAAAGAGGAAGAUCAAUUGGUUCUGAUAUGCUAGUUUUUCCUUGGAGUUCGACGGAUAAGACUAGCUUCAACGUUUCCCGCCGAGCUCCCUCUACCCUACCCCUGUAGCCGUUUAGGGGGGUGAAAUCCCUACAACGGUGCCCCCUCUACACGCUACAGUUAUAGUGUACGCUACAGGAAGACAACAAGUGUGGGGGUGCGGCAGUGAGCCCCCUGCCCUCGGUUUACGUGUGCGACAAUGUUUUUUAGUUGGAAAAAAAUAAUAACAGAUGGUGAAUAGGUAUGAAAAAUGAUAUUUUAUGAUUAUAGUGGGGUAUAGAGGAAGGAUUUAGGGGGAACCGCUGUAUAGGGUGGAAAUAUAGGGGGAAAGAGAACGCUGAUGUGGCAUGUAAGUGGGAUAUAGGGGGAGAAAUUUAGAGGAUACCGCUGAACACAGUCUAAGGGGACGAGGGAGGGGUCUCAUCCCCUAGCUAGGACGACGACGCCAGUUUUUCCUGCGGCAGUGCUGUCAGUAGCAUCACAGAUCCCUAAAGUCAAAGAACAAGCUAGGCAUGCAGCUAGUCGACUAAACAAAGGCGAUCGAGACAGGGCGCGACGCCCUUAAUUACUAGUUAAUGCUGUGAUCCACGUUUUGUGCUGCUGCAUACUCCUGCUACGUACUACGGGGUCUUCUUCAAACUUGGUCGGAGGAGUGCGCGAAUCCCGAGCCGUGUUAUUACUGGCAUGCACUUGCUCCGAUCCGUACGUCGAAGAACUCGAAGGAAAGACGACCGCAUUAAUUUUUUUUAAAGAACAGUGUUGGGUUAAGAGACUUGGUUAAAAUAUGAUCAGAUCCGUGUAGAAAAGUGCUCACAUUUAACAGAUGUAUAUAUAAUUAGAUUCGAUGUGGAAUAUAGGGUUUAGAGUACUCACAUUUAACAGAUCUACUUAAAGAAGUUCUUGAUUUAGCUAAUUAAGGCAAGUGAAGUGACCUGAUAUCACCUGGCUGGUCAAAAAAGAACCUACCUACAUUACAGUAUAGCGAAGUACCAACAGGAAAAAGGGAACUACGAACACACUGCUGUUGUCAACUUGUCAUUGGGACAUUGAUGUGUGGAUAUGAUGUGAUACGGCAUAAGGCUAUCCGCACUCAUGCUACCCUAAAUUCGUACUCCAAAAGAAAUAUUCUAUCUUAUUCAGCAAUAUUAUCUACUCUAUAUCACAAUCUUCUGCGGUCAUAUUUACUCUAUAUAUCAACUCUAUAUCAACUAUCAUAUAUUAUAUUAUUUUCUUUCACUUUACUCCGUUUGCUGUGCAGAUCUAUUGCGCUAGCUGCGCCCUUUGCAUGUGCUCGUACUGCACCAGCUGUGCCCUUUGCAUGUGCCCGUACGUUUGCAGUUGGAGCCUUGUAUACCCUGCAAAUAGCGUUUCUGAAGCCCACCCUAUAUUUACCGUCGCUCGUAGCGUGCGCCACUGCAGCGUUUCAUUUACUGCAUACGGCGAUAGCGUAUGCUUUAGAGUCAUCACUGCGGACAGCCUAAGGACCUCACUUCCAAAAUUAAUAAAUGCGCCUCUCACAAUUAUUAGACGAGUCACAUAUUUAACUAACAUUUCUUAUGUGUAACAAGUAUCGUUAAAUGACAUAGAAAUAUAUUUUUAUAUAACAGAUUUGUUUAGAGAUAUAAAUAUCGAUAGUAUAUUUAUACGUAUUUUAAAUCAAGAGUCUAAAAAAAAGACUGUAUGCUUGGAGUACAUACAUACAUGCGCAUUAUCAUGUGGUUCUUAACAAGGUCACAAGAUUGAGAACAACUGUAUGCAUGCCAUCGCCCAUUUAUCAGGCACGCCCGCAGCACAUCCCAGAACAAACAACAAUAAUAUCAGGCAGUACACGAGUAGUUCUUAGAACCCGCUGCUUCCCAUAUCACCAAUGACAGCUCAAUCAUAGAACCAAGCUAUGCCCAUCCUGUGUGCAACACAAAAUACAGCACGCAGAGGGCCCGUCUGGUUUCGCCGAUCACUACUGCCUCUGAAUGCCAUUUUGCUGCAUCGUUGGGGACCGCUGAAGUUUUUGCCUGGUCAGAGGCAGGGGCAUCUGACUGCAUAGGGUUCGCCAGUUAGGUUGUCUGUCUGGCUCUCCCCCUCAUCUGUCACCUCAUCCCUUUUGUGGCUAGCUUCUCUUCUCUUCUCCUCUCUUCUCCAUGGGAUUCAUCAUGGCUAGUGCAGCCGGCGAGGCCUAAUUGAUACACAGCCGCAGCGGUAAGGAUCAGCUGCGGGCUGCUGCUGCUCUAUCUUAUCUGCACGAGAAAUGCUUAGCGCUGAAAAUCUACCGGGGAUUACAUUAUUAUGCCACGCUUUACAUGCACAGUAGCUGCAGUAAACAGUAACUGCAUUGCACUAUUAGACACACAGUUGAAACACAAACAAACAAAAGGCAGGCAGGAUUCAUGGUUUCAGAAGGUAAUAAUCAUCACCGAAGGACAUUGUUUGCUUGCAUCAUGUAAAAAAGAAGAAUGAUGAGAGAAAGGUACUCCUAUUUCGUAUUGGACUAGUUAGUUAAUUGAGCUGCUGUAGGCUGUAGCAUUGCACAGCUGCAGUUAAGUCGCGCGUGUUGCCAAAGCAUGGUAGCCAGCUUUAUACAUAGAGAGAGGGAGAGAGAUAAAGAGCAGAAUCCGCACGAACAUUUCGCUCUCCGAUAACCGAUAUGUUCUUAGUAGAACCGUGAUUGGCAAAACUACAAAGUAGUUGGGAGGGGGGGUCAAAAAGAAGAGAGAAGGUGAAAAAAGGGGGCUAAAACUGACAACAAAAGCAGCAACAGCUAGCAACAAUCACCACCGAGGGGGGAAAUUAAAAAAAAACGAUGCCUGGCUUUCCCGCAUGCCAAAUCCGCACCCAUCACCAGGACACGUACGACGCCUUCUCCGCCGCCAGGGCUCCCCUCAAUCCGCUGAGCCGCUGGUCUGCACCACGACGACGGUAACGGCGACGGCGAGCUCGCUCCAUAGAGGCAAGAAGGACGGCGACUCAGAAGGCGAGGACGAAGGAGAGAGCUAGGUAGGGGUCACCGUCACCGGAGCGGCAGCAGGCGGACGGGGAGCGCGGAACGUCGUCGUGCGUCGCCGUCGCCGGCGACGGUGGCAUUGGCGCCCUCCUCGUCUUUCUUCAUGUCCCGCCGGGCGUCGGGGGCCGGGACGGAGACGGGGUGCUGCUGGUGGUGGCACCGAGAAAGCGCGUGUGUGUUUGCUUUGCGAGGGAUAGAGGAGGAGGAGACACUAGAGGCCGCUGGUGCGGUAGAUUAGGCUUUUAAACACACACACACAUACAACCUAGCGAGAGCCAAGAGGUCGCAUCGCACGAGCCAGGAUUUUCUGUGCCUGCGUACAUGUGCCGCGCGUUUAUAUAUCACGCACAGUAACCAUUCCAGACCAGAGACCAGAGACCACCAUGGGAACCAAGAAGCGGCAAAGCCCAAGACAGCGUUAGCAGGCCCUGGCCCACCGUGCACCGCACCACGCGCGGCUCAGGCCACGGCCCACGGAAGCCUUAACCUCCAAGCUCCGGGGGCCCACAGGCCACUCCGUCCGGCCGAUGGCCUAUGCGCGAUGGCGACGGCAUGGCGCACGCGGUCCGUCGUGCCCUCGUCUCGUGGUGGUGGCAUCACAACCGGUGGCCUGUGGAGUGUGGAGAUGCACGGGCUGCGGUGCAGGGAAACCGUCGUUCUCAGAUCCGUGUGUGAUAGAACAUGAUGUUGAGAAACCCUGAUAAAGGGUUAUGUGGGCAAAUACCGAAUAUGCUCCUGAGGUCGAUCACGUCUCUAUAUAUAGAACUUGUACCCCUCAUAUGGAAUAGAGAAGAGAAAGAGGUCAGAGGUCCAACCCUAUAUCAUGUGUCUCGUGUGUUACUCUAUCGUGCUUCUGGGAAGGGAGACGAGUUCUUUAUAGCUUCUCGCGCCUCUACUGCUGACGGGAGGAAAGGGAGCGGAUCUGGUGAUCCGUGGUGACGUAAUUCUCAACACGUUAUCAGCACGCUCUACCUCGACGUUACUGUGGGAUCAGAUCUGCGUCAACUCAUCGUCAAGCCGGCAGGUCCUGGCCUAGCCGAACUGUCCUACGCGAUAGCCCUCGAUUCCUUUACGUAAUCUAGUGGUAUGAAAUUUGAGAUUGGAUGUGUUAUUUACUUUCCGAUCUAUGUUCGCGGAGAAAAAUAUGCUGGAAAAGUGAGUGCAGCAGAUGCAUGCGUGCAUGCAGUGCUCCUUGAGCCUGUUUGGUUCAGCUUUUUUCUGACCAGCUUUUUCGAGAAUCUAGCUGUGGGAAAAAUUUGGCUGUGUAGAGAAUCUGCGUAUUAUUAGGAUUACGUGCAGAGGAAGAUAAAGUUGUCCAUAGGACUCACGAUCUAUAAAGUGAUGGAUUACUACUAUUGCGACGACACAACCGAUUAUAUGUUUAUGUUGAUUUUGAAUGGUUUUUACCCAAACGAAUUUUAUAGAAGCUGACUGAAAAGCUGAGUGUUUGGCAGUCCGCAGCAGCUUUUGGUGGCCAGAAGCUACGAAAAGCUGAAACAAACAGGGGCCUUGAUUGCCGAGUAAAAAAAGUGGGCCCCAUUUCUUUGACUAAGCGUGCGGCUGAGAAAAACAAAAAAAAGAAACGGUUGCAUGAUGUCCUGUAGCGGCGGAGAAAGCAGUUGAACCAUGCAUAUUUAUUGCCCCAUUAUAGGUCACGGUCAAAGCAGUUGUAUGCGUCCACUGCAUGGCUGCAUCUGCAUGCAAUACGAUCUGAAAAUGGCGGCUCAAUAGAAAACGAAAAAGUGGAUUAGAUGUAUUGUGCGCGCAGAAACAGAUUCGUGGAAGGAGAGAAAAAAAUAGGAUCUUAAUGUGCUUUACAAUUUUUUUUAUUAAUUGCGGUUGAAUUUAUACAUAUUUUAAUUUAUAUACAUGUGCCAUACUAUUUUAUUCUAUUUUCCUGCUGAAUAUAACAAAUAGAAUAAAAAUUUGUUUUACAUUGCAGUUUCUACCUUAAUCAAUUAUUUCCCGCAGUAAAUAAUUAGUAGAAAAAUGUAUGCUUGAAUAUGAGAAAAUGUCUUUCAUACACCUGAUCUGCUUAUGCUUUAAUUCUAGUAUUAUAUUUCUGCUUUAUUUCUCGUAGUAGAUAUUUAGCAGAAAAUUAUUAAAAUACAUGUAAAGACUAUAUGGUGUAUACGUGAAUCGCUCUAAAUAUUUAUGAUGUGUUGAGCUUUUGGACUCACGUCGAGCGAUUAAAUUGUAUAGUGGGUACUCAGACACGUCGAUCAGACUACGUUAUUAAUCGAUCGAGUUAUGACAUUGGCUGAGCACCACUGGCUGCGCCCUGGCAACAAGACGCAGUAUUUGUGUCGUACGAACUUGGCUGCGUCAUUUGAUUGCUAUGUCGCACUCUCGCUUAAUCGGACCACUCUCGUUGAGUCGGACCGCCAUCAUCGAGUCACAUAUUUUUCGCACGCCCUGUAGGCAUUGUUUGUCUGUUGUGAUCAUCGAGCCACAAUUGUGCCUAUUGCGCAUGUUUUAUGGACUUGUCAUGUACCCCGACUAUUGAGUCACAAUUGCGCCUGUUGCGCUUGUUACGAAAGCUUGUUGUGUUGUCGUAGCCCAGAUGGCCACACACGCGUUGACGCCAGAUACGCUAGAACUUGUACUCGCGUGGAUUGUGGUGGGUUGUUCAAGCCCCCUAAAGUCACAUUAUACACAACCUUCGUAAACAAUUUUGGUUGUCUAUAUAUUUUAUUUGAUUGUGUUGUGUGACAUCAUAUAUUUAUUUAUAUUGCCAAGUGGCCAUAACAGCUGUAUCAAGCUCUAUAGUGCUUGGAAAUCUGGGAAAUUAAAUCGAAAUACAAUGAAACACAGAAACACAGAAACACAGAUAAGUUAAAUCUUUGCUCUCUCCUCGUGCAUAAAGUUUUACCCCAAGUAACCUGAAGAAAUUCAAUAUUAAUGCAUGAAAGCCUUUUUGGCACAGAAAACAUCACAAAUUGGGAUUCUAUUAGUAAGCAAAAGGCCUUACCAAAUGAUUUAAGACUAUAAAUCUCAACCAUACAUUGCUCAACCAGAUGUUAGCACAUUACUCUCUUUGUCGCUAAAUGACAUGAAGCAAACUAUGAGAUAAAAGGACAUGUAAUCGCCAGCAACACGAAGUUGUGAGUAUACCGAGAGGUUAUUCUGAGAAAAAUUUCACUAUGUUGGUGUGAAAAAAAACCAUUGUGUGUUCCCGUCGAACCACUUUACUCGUCCUGUCUAGGACAUCUAUGCUUGUGUUGCAUACAUCUCUCAGAAUUAUAAAUACUUAUAGUCACUAAAUUGACUUGGCAUGGUCCUUUGAUUGGUAUGGUAUAACUUUAAGCUAAAUGGAAAGGUCAGUCCUAAAUGGGCAUAUACUUGGAGUUUAUGUAGCAGAACUAUAUUGAAUUCCACCCUUUGAAAUGCUUACCGUAAUAUAUCUCCGAUCUACCAGGAGUAAGAAGAGUAGAAAAUAGCCAUGAAAUCCCAUAUUACCACAGAGCUUGAAGUGAAAUUGGGCAUUAGUAUGUCAUUGGUCCUUGGCGCCGGAAGAUCCAUAAUUCUUGACCACUAAGCUAUUGGUGAUGGUAAUUUGUGAUAGAAAUAUGAAGAUCUUAUGGAGACCAGAUGUAUUCUCCAUUGUCUUGAUGACUACUUCGUAUGAGAUCAGUAUUAUCUGUUGUUGAAGACUAGUCCCAGACGGAUAUUGGUAUUUCUUUCGGUCUUGCCAAGCAGUUAUCACCAUUUGCUUAAUCGAAAGCUUAGCAAUCAGGUGGUUUUCCCCAGAUAAAACGAAUUCUUGGCCUUGUAUGUUCUAUUCCAAAGUUUCUCUUUUUUUGCUGAACAAUGAAGAGAUCGAAAUAAUGCUUUAUAGAACAAAUUGGUGUGUAAUAUGAGAAGAAAAGUUUGCCCUGUUGACAGCUUACACAACAAAUAUUUGAUUGUUGUUAUAAGUUCUCUCUCAAAAUUAUAAUACCUAAAAAUGUUGAAUAAAUCGAUACCCAAUUUCAGAAUGGUAUGAGUAAUUGGGUAACCCAUGGGCAAUGAUAAAAACGAGCUGGACUAUACAUCUCUGCAUAUAAAAAUCUCUGCUUGGCAGCAUUAGCCUGAUGCCGUGCACUUUACCACCAUUAUAUAUGCGUAAAUUCUCCUAUGUGCUUGAAAGCACAAUGCAACCAAUGAAUGUUCUUGUGAGCACUAGACCUGAUGGUCAUUGUCCUUGUUGAUCUGAAGUCAACUACUUGCUCCAAACGACAAAUGGUGUGCAUGAGCCCUAAAGUAUUUUGUUUUUAUGGCUAACAUAUUGUUGCGCGUAUCAGUCUAAAUCCUGAUGAUGGACUGUAUAUUUGGUGAUAAUAACAGUAAGUUUGCAGAAUUGUAACCACAAAGCGACUUGUUGUUGUGUGUCUUGCUGAAAGUUGAGACUAAUCCUUCACGUUGAAGGACAAAUAUGUAGUAUUCAUGCCACUACAUCAAUCUAAGUCCAAAGCUCACUGCAUAAAACCCCUAUUUGUAAUGUGCGUAAGAUUUCCCAAAUAAAUCACCACAAUAGCAUACAUUGGCCACAAACUAGAUGAUUGUGGUUGGAGAUUUUAUCUGUAUGCUUUUAGAACAUCUCGGCAUUAGGGGGAGGAAUGCCCAUAUAGUGUAAUGCCUCAAAUUCUAUUAAACGCACAAAAGCCAAACUGAACCCGUCGUUCGGAGUGUACUCCUGUGUAUAUGGAGUUUGCCAGAAAUCGUUGAGGAGUAACCAUAUUGGUUUGAAUGCUUCUACCUGAUGUAGAUGUGGAUAUACCCGGGAUUAAUAUCAUAUCCACAUUUGACUUAUUGGUAUUUGAUCUAUUCUCGGGGACGCCUGCGAAUAUGAUCCAUCAGCAUUAGUCAAAGCAUAUGUUCUAAUUGCAGAUUCACGUGGUCUGUGAUAACUCUCCUUCGAUUAAUUCACCUUGAUGGUGA